CCUCAUAGAAAGAUCAAGGAGCUCACCAUCAAGAGUUAUGCCGGAAAGGAAUUUUCAUCAUGGGUUGGAGGUCAUUUGUUCUCUAAUAUGGUGCUUGUGCGCUUAGAGGAAUGUAACAAUUGUUUAUCGUUGCCUCCUCUCGGACAAUUGCCUCAUCUCAGAGAACUUUAUAUUAUUGGAAUGAAUGCAGUGGAAAGUGUUGGUGCUGAGUUUUGUGGAGAGCGUAUGUUGCCUUUUCGGGUAUUAGAGACUCUUGAGUUUGUGGAAAUGCAGCAUUGGAAGGAAUGGCUUCCUUUCCAAGCCGAUCACGAAGGUGGUGCUUUCCCUUGCCUGAAAACACUCUUAGUAAAAAAAUGUUCUAAACUGGAGGGUAAACUGCCAGAGAACCUCAAUUCUUUAGCUAAGCUUGAAAUUGUUGAAUGUGAAGAAUUAGUGGUUUCAAUUGCCAACUGUAAACAACUUCGUCAGUUAAACAUUGACGGUUGUAAAGUGUUGGUGCACACAGCUGCUAAGGUUGAGUUUGAGUACUUAGAGUCCUUGUGCUUUUCAAACAUUUCGAAGGUGAUGUCUCUGCAAACAGGGGAAUUGUUGAAGAAGGGAUUAAGCAAGGUUAGAGAUUUGAAGAUCAGUGGAUGUGAGGAGGUGACGUCUUCACUGAAGAAUGAGGAGGGUAGAUUAUUGCAACAGUUGACUUCUCUUGGCAGUUUGAAAAUUGAAGACAACUCUCGUCUAGUUGAAGAAUUGGGAAAAGAAGCAGAGGAGUUGCAAAUAUCGGAAUGCAAGCUUGAAUUUCUGGAGUUAAAAAAGUGCGAAAAUCUUUUGAAGCUACCAAAAGGAUUAAAUCAGCUGUCGUCUCUUCAAGAGCUUCGCAUACACAAAUGUUCAAGUCUAGUUUCUUUCCCAGAUGUUGGUCCGCCACCUUCUCUUAAAGACAUCGAGAUUAGAGAGUGCGAUUCGUUGAUAUAUUUUGCAAAAUUCCAGAUUCCCCAAAAUCUCCGAAGAAUAAAGAUAACAUGGUGCAAAAGCUUGAAAUCACUAGUAGAUGAGGAGACUGUUGGUUCUUCUUGGUCGUCUUCUACUCAUACUUGUCUUGAGUACUUGAGUAUCAAAGGAUGUGAAUCUCUGACGUCGUUAUCAUUGAGUGGCCAGCUUCCCAGGACACUUAAACACCUUGAGAUAGAGAAUUGUGAACGACUGGGUUUAAUAGCACCGAACGGGUUCUUCAGCGACAACACCAAUCACUGCCUUGAAUAUAUUACCAUCUGGAAUUGCCAAAAUCUGAAAUCCUUACCGGAUGGCUUAUGCCACCUCAGCAAUCUUCAAACUCUAGGUAUUCGAAAAUGUGGAGGUCUUGUUUCCAUCCCGAGACUGAGUGAGGGGAGAAGACCCUCCAACCUGAGAAAUAUCGAGAUCACCGAUUGCGACAAAUUGGAGGCGUUGCCCGAAGACAUGCUCAAUCUCAACUCUCUUGAGUACUUGAGCAUCGACUACCGUGAAGGUUUGACUUUUCCUCCCAACCUAACAUCACUUAUAAUAUGGAAGGUCAAGAGUUGUAAGUCAUUGUGGGAGUUGGAGUGGGGGUUGCACAGACUCACCUCUCUUAGAGAAUUAUGGAUCAUCGGUGAAGACCCAGAUACGGUGUCGUUUCCACCCGACAUGGUCCGGAUAGAGACACCCCUCCCCAAAUCUCUCACUCUUCUCAAAAUAGAAGGCUUCCCGAAUCUGAAGAAACUGAGCAGCAAGGGCUUUCAAUUCCUCACCUCCCUUCAAUAUCUGGGACUUUGGAAUUGUCCAAAGCUAGCAUCCAUUCCAGAGGAGGGUCUGCCUCCUUCACUAGAGCAUCUUAACAUCCAUAAGUGUCCAGUGCUAAAAGAGAGAUGCCAACCAGGAAAAGGACGCUACUGGCACAAAAUAUCCCACAUCCCUGCCGUACAUCUGUUUUGAGAUGAUUUGAAGCUGAUGGUCCAAGUAUCAUCUCUCGAGGAAUGUUUUAAUAUUAUUAGUAUGGUUUUGGGGGUUGAGGAGUGGCUGCUUUGGGAGGCCUUCAAUUGGCGACAACCGGGAUAUUUCUCGGCCAACGUUUCUUCUUCCGGAUUCCUAUGUUUGCUUGCUCCCCUUUCACUUAUCUCUACUUAUUAAUGCAACCCCCUUUAUCAAUCAAAAGAGGGUAAAAAGAUAAUUUAAUCUUUUAUCACACACAAAAAAAAUGAUGGACAAUAAUGUAAUUUUAUAGGUCUAAAUUUUACUGUUUUUUAUUAAAGUUUCAUCCACAAGUGAUAUUAAAAUACCUUCAACAUUAAAAAACAAAAAUAAACAAAACAAAAAAAAACAAAAACAAAAAUCUCCCACUCCCCUCACGUUCUCUCUCUCUCUCCCUCUCUCCUUCUCAUUUUCUAAAAAAAUAUGUUCAUACACACAAAAGUGUGUAGGCAAAUGCUAGUUUGUAUUAUAAGUGUGCUACUCCUUCUCCUAACUUUAUGCCAACUAUGCCCCUUAAGUAUACUUAAUUCUUUAAUUUUCUUGGGUUAGAGUCAAGGUUAACAUGUUUUUGCACAAAACUAACUAAGAAAACACUCUAGUUACAUUAUAUUGUCAAAUUAUCGAAUUUGAUACUAAAGAAUUAUACAUAAUUAUAUUUAACCGUUCUUAAUUGAGAUUAACAGUGUAAUAAUAUAAAUUUAUCAUCCUUCAUGAUAAAAGAAAGCUUUCUUUAAUGAUAAACUGGUGUUAAAUAAUUGAUAACCGUUAAUGAAUAACGAGUCAUGACUUGCAAUAAACCUCACACACACCAUCAAAAAAGUUUGCAGUCGUGAAUAGACUUGGCAUACGGGUCUUAUUUGUCUCAUCCCGUUAUAUCUUCAUGGAUCUUAUCGUGUCAAACUAUUAUUUUAACAUGUUCUUAACAGGUGACCCUAUAACGACCUAAUUCGUUAACGAAUCAUGUCAUUUCUUGUCAAGAUAACGGAUCAUGCAAGAAAUUGAUAUAUCUAAUGUCUAGAUCAUGCAAGAAAUUGACAAAAUGCAUAAUUGAGAGUGAGACCCACUCCUCCAUGUUAUUAUAUUGACAAUAUGUUCCCUAACCUGGAAUUGGAUCCUCGCCGGAUCUAAUUGCUGGGGAUCCUAGGGAUCAACCCACGUGGGCCGUUGAUCAAAAAUCGUGCGGUCACAAUUAAAUGUUUUAAAAGUAAAACAGUCUCGUUUUGAUUGAAAAAUAUAAAAAAGAAAAAAAUUGUGGCCGCACAAUUUUUUAUCAACGGCCCACAUGGAUUGAUCCCUAGGAUCCCCAUGAAUUAGAUCCGGCGAGGAUCCAAUUCCCCCUAACCGCACAAUUUAUUAUAUCCAAUGUCCAGAUCUAGCAAAAGAUGUCUUAUCGAGUUUUUAAUGGGUGACACCUAAUGACCCGAUUCGUUAACGGGCUCUUAAUGGAUGACCUGAUUCGUUAACGAGUUGAUCAAAAACAUGUUAUUUUUUGUGUCAUUGCGUGUUAGAUUAAUAGUUGAUGCAAGAAAUUGACAAAAUGCAUAAUUGAGAGGGAGACCCACUCCUCCAUGUUAUUAUAUUGACUAUGUUCCCUAACCUGACCAAAAUCCACCAUGAAAUUCCAUAGCAUUGAAACAUGACGCCCCCAGCUCCCUAAUACGCUGUCGUUUUGAGAUUCCCCCACCCCGAAAAGUCCCUCAUAACCGUUGCUAACCCUCUCUCAGAACCCACGCGCCCAUUCUCCAACCGUUUAAACCCCACUCACUCCCACUCUCUCUCUCUCUCUCUCUCUCUCUCUCUCUCUCACUCACUCUAUACAUGUUCUCAGUCAAAAUCUCCAAGUCCUCUGCUUUGGCAACGAAAAUCGAAAACCCAUUUGUUUCCAUCCAUCAGAACUCGAAAUCUCCAUAUUCAUGUCUCCAAGAAAGCUUCUUGUUUUCUGGGUCGACGUCUUCUUCCUCAUAACUCUCUUCCUCCGCCGUGGCUCGGCCGAGAACGUCAACUUCUACUUCCCAUCUUUGAACUUCCGAAACCUCACCUUCCUCGGCGACUCCCACAUCCGAAACGGUGUCUUGGGGCUCACCGCGAGCUCACCGUCCCCUCCUCCAGCGCCGGUGCCGUCAUCUACAACAACCCAAUUCGGUUCUUCGACCCGGAGUCCAACAUCACUGCUUCUUUCUCCACAAAGUUCGCUUUCUCCAUCGCCAACGUCAAUCCGAGCUCCUACGGCGACGGCAUAUCGUUUUUCCUCUCGCAGGAGAACUGGACGCUGGGCAGCCCUGGUGGAUAUCUGGGUCUCGUCAAUUCCUCGCAAUUGACCAAGAACAAGUUCGUAGCCGUCGAAUUUGACACGAAGCUCGAUCUUCACUUCGACGAUCCGAACGACAAUCAGGUCGGAUUGGACAUUGAGAGCCUCAAUUCGAUCAAGACCGCUGAUCCGAUUUCACAGGGUGUCGAUUUCAAGGGCGGAAUUCGAUCACUGCUUGGAUUGAUUACAAGAACGACCAAUAAAAGCUUAAAGUGUAUCUGAGCUACUCGAAUUUCAAGCCUGAAAAGCCGGUUUUGAGCGUGGACAUCGAUCUCUCCGAGCAUCUGAAGGAGGUUAUGUUCGUGGGUUUUUCAGCCUCAACGGAGGGGAGCACGGAUAUUCAUCUGGUUGAGAAUUGGAGCUUUCAUACCUUCGGGUUUGUUGCGAAAAUGCCGAGGUUGUAGCCACACAAUGUGUCCGAUACUUAGGUGGCGGUGAGUCCGAGGAUUCCCGUGUCCGGUUCAGGGGAUAAGCAUCACCGGCGGCUCGGUUUGGGACCUGGGAUUGCUGGGCCAGCGUUCUUUUGCGUGGCGCUGGUGGUUUUCAGUUAUGUUUCCGUGAUGAAAUGGAUGGAGGUGAGAAAACAGAAGAGCUUCAAAGCAGAGCUGGUGGCAGGGCCAAGAGAGUUUAGUUACAAGGAGCUGAAAUCUGCCACAGGAGUGUUUCAUCCCAGUAGGUUGGGACUGUUUACAAGGCGUUUUUUGUGUCUUCAGGCACCAUUUCUGCGGUGAAAAGAUCCAAGCAUUCCCAUGAAGGUAAAACCGAAUUCCUCUCUGAGUUGUCGAUUAUUGCUUGCUUGCGUUACAAGAAUUUAGUUCACCUUCAAGGCUGGUGCGUUGAGAAGGGUGAAUUGCUUCUUGUUUACGAUUUCAUGCCUAAUGGGAACCUCGAAAAGGCGCUGUACCAAGAAUCUGUACAACGAACUUUGUUAGAUUGGUCUCGGAGACUGAAUAUUGCGGUCGGAUUGGCGUCUGUUUUGGCAUAUCUGCACCAGGAAUGUGAGCAGCAGGUCAUCCACAGAGACAUAAAGACUGGAAAUGUGUUGCUUUACGGGAAUUUAAACGCAAGGCUCAGUGAUUUCGGGCUUGCAAAGCUCAUGGAUCACGAUAAAAGCCCUGUUUCCACACUGACAGCGGCAACAAUGGGGUACCUUGCGCCUGAGUAUCUUCAAUAUGGAAAGCCACCGAAAAGACUGAUGGUUUUAGCUAUGGUGUGGUGAUCCUUGAAGUGGCGUGUGGAAGGAGGCCAAUAGAAAAAGAGCCGGGAAGUGAGAAGGCGGUGAAUUUGGUUGAUUGGGUUUGGGGGCUGCAUUCAGAAGGGAUGAUUAUCGAGGCGGCUGACAAGCUGCUGAAUGGGGAGUUUAAUGUGAAAGAAAUGAGAAAUCUGUUGCUUGUCGGAUUAAGUUGUGCUAACCCUGAUAGUGCGGAGAGGCCUACGAUGAGGAGGGUUCUGCAGAUUCUGAGCAAUGAGGCAGAAGUUCAAGCCGUCCCAAGGGUGAAGCCGAGUCUGAGUUUGUCUAGCAGAUUGCCUUUGUCCCUUGAUGACAUUGUUUCGGAUUGUGAGGAGGAUUCCAAUAGCCCUACAAGCUCGAUGUGUGAGAUCGUCAUUCACUGAAAAAUAUAUGCAGAUUUGAAGAGUUUAUAGAUAGUUGGAUUCUUCCAUUCUUUUAACUUUACCACUGCUUUUUUUUUUUUUUUAUCUAUCCUGUAGUUUGAAGAUUAGAGACUGUAUAGUCCACUGGCCUGAGUUCAAAGCUUUCUGUUGAACUGUGUGGUCUCUACUUUGUCCAGGACAAAAAAAGCUUCUUGCUUGAAUAUUUCAACUGUAAUGGAAGACUAAUUUCUGACUGGUUUACAAGUUGAAUGUUACACACGAACGAUUUCUAUACUAUUCGAUCUUACUGUUCUUAUACCGUUCUGUUUCUUGGGUAGUUUGAUUUGGUCUUUCCUAAUGGUACGAUACUGAGCAGUGGGUGAUCUGUAGAGUGAUUCUGUUUGCACCCGUAAAUCUGUUCGACACACACCCUCUCCCUCUCUCAGGCUAAAGUAGCCAUGGCAAAGGGAGGAGAACUAGGAAGGUUUUUGAGAGAUAGAGAGAGAGAGAGAGUGUGUGUGUGUGUGUGUGUGUGUGUGUGUGUGUGUGUGUGUGUGUGUGUGUUCUUUGGGUGUGAGAGUAAGAAGAUGCAGAAAGUAGAUAUAGCGAUGACAUUCAUAGAACUUACAGAUUCUGAACUUUUUUAAUCUCCCUCUAUGCCAGAAGAGAAUUUGAACUAUCUGCUUUGCAGAACUUGAGAAUUUUUCGGAUUGCAUCGCUAUCAGGAGAAAUUCUCAAGUUUUGGUAGUGAAGUAUUCAAGAAUAGUACACUGCAAUCCUUCUGUUUCAUAAUUGACCUCCUUUAUACACGCAGAUUUGAAGCUUUUCGCCAUCGGGAUAAAUUCUCAAGUUUGGUACUGAAGUGUAUUAAGCAGAUAAGUACGUGCAAUCAGUUAUGGAAGAAUUCGACCUGCUAUGCACAAACAGAACUAAGAAAGUGGACGAGUUCUUAUGAGCACAAGAUUUUGAAAUUUACCGGAUCCUUGCGUCUAAUUACCAUUGACAUUAUUCCAGUUCAACUCCUUUUUGAUGUACAGAUAAAAACUGUGUACCAGGCAAAGCCAAACCAGAACGUUCUGCAAGUAAGAACUCCGUGCUGGUCAAGUAAUCUGCCAGGCCCAGACUCAAGGCAGCAAGCUUGGAGAAAUGCUGAACCAGAAUAUGCAACAUCGUUCUUCUCCCCUGAAAUCGAAUUGUGCACAACAUCAGUGAAUUCUCGAUGGCCCUUUUUGUGGUCUCCCUCUCCGAUCCUGGUUUCGGAUCUUUGUUUUGCGAAAUAGGUCUUUACUGUUCCUUUCACGUCGACGAUGAGCCAGGAGUAUGGAACUUAAGAAGUAUCCCUCAUGACAAAGCAGAUAACCGUAUCAAUCACUAAGCGGUUUACAACAUCAAGUUUCCGAAGAACAUUUCAAUGCUGUACAAGACCUGCAAAUUAGCAGCAAACUGCCGUAGCUUAUCAAUUGUGACAGAAAUAAGUUAAACUAACCUUGUAUAUUUGAUCAAGAGCUUCAAAAUAAUUCAUAAGAUCUAAUAUUAAAAAAAAUGUAAAAGCAAAUACACUGAAAGAAAACACUUAUGGUGAAAAUAUUUUUGGAACCAAUUAUUUGUGAAAAUACAAGUAAAUCCUCGAAAGCACUUAAAAAAAUACAUUUCUAAAAGAAACAUUUCAAUCAUUUUGAAAAGCACUUCAACUUCUUCUCAUCAUUCUUACAAAAUAAGAAUUUGUACAAAACUGACAUAUACUUGCUUCAACUGAUUAUUCUGCUCCAAGAAUCAUCUGCAUAAUAUAAAUACAAAAUCCACGAGGAAAAUAGAGUUUCGCGGUUUACAUAGGAAUUAAACAAUAAUGUACACACAUACACAAUAUCCACAAAUUAAGUGAUUUCCCGAUUCACCAUAUAGAAUGUUGAGCUUGUUGCGAGUUAUACAUUAGUUAAAGUAUAAAUAGUAGUUUAUUGUCCCAUAUUAGUGAAGUACAUAUGUAAUAUCAAUUGUAACUUUUAUAUAUACUCCACUUUGGAGAUUAAUGAAUAUAUAAGAAAUUCACAAAUAUUAUCAUAUAUAUUUUUGGUAUUUACCAUGUUGAGUUUAAUAUUGCUAUUUACCAUGUUUAGUUUAAUAUGGUAUCAGAGCAAUUCGCUCUUGGUGACCAGUGUGCUUUAAUUUUGUGCCCACAUUUUUCGUGAUCUCCUAUGUGAAAAAAAAAAUUAGUGAAUAGUGUCGCGCUACAAUACAACGUUUGCUACAGUGCAUGAAUAGUGGUCCUCUACAUUGCCGUGCACAGUGAUUGCUACAGUGCCGUGAAUAUUCUCUGCUACAGUGCUGUGAACAAUGAUUGCUACAGGUUCUGGUAAAUUGUUUUCAUUCUGCUGCGUAUCUUUUGUGCCUUUAUUGUUCGUGAUUUUGUUCAAUGACUCAAUAUAAUCAUAGUAUUGUUAUGCAUCUUGGUGGAACAAUAAAUGGAUAAUUGAUACUGGGGCUACUGAUCAUGUGACUAGUGACCCUAGAGUGUUUGAUGAGUUAUGUGACUAUGUUUGUGAUCCGUAUAUUACUAGUGCAAAUGGAGCACUUUCCCCUGUGAAGGGUGAAUACACUAUCUCUCUAACUCCAACCUUAUCACUGGUCUGUGUUUUACUUGUUCCUGAUGUUAAGUGCAAUCUUUUGUCGGUAUGAAAACUUCUUGAUACCUUAUAUUGUUCUGCUUACUUCUAUCCUACGUAUUGUUAUUUUCAAAACAUUCAAACUCAGAAGAUAAUUGGUCAUGAUAAAAAAAUAGGGGGUUUGUACAUCUUGACUAUGGAGGAUACUGUUGUUUCCGGUUCAAAUAAUCAUCAAGUUUUAAGUGCUAAUGUCACAUCCCGACCCAUGGUCCACCACAUCCCGGGCUCGCUCCACCACCGUAACACGAUAUUGUCCGUUUUAGGCCCCGACCACGCCCUCACGAUUUUGUUUCUGGGAACUCACAUGAGAACUUCCUAGUGGGUCACCCAUAAUGGGAGUGCUCUCGUGCGCUACUCACUUAACUUCCGAGUUCCGAUGAACUCCGAACCCAGUGAGCUCCCAAAAUGCCUUGUGCUAGGUAGGGAUGGGAAUAUACAUUUAAGGAUCACUCACCUAGGCAAUGUGGGAUCUUACAAUCCACCCCCCUUAGGGGCCUGACGUCCUCGUUGGCAUACCACAGCCAGGGUUAGGCUCUGAUACCAAAUUGUUACAUCCCGACCCGGGGUCCACCAUAUCCCGGGCCCGCUCCACCGCCAUAGCACGAUAUUGUCCGCUUUAGGCCCUGACCACACCCUCAUAUUUUUGUUUUUAGGAACUCACACAAGAACUUCCCGAUGGGUCACCCAUCAUGAGAGUGCUCUCGUGCGCAACUCGCUUAACUUCCGAGUUCCGAUGAACUCCGAAGCCAGUGAACUCCUAAAAGGCCUCGUGCUAGGUAGGGAUGAGAAUAUACAUUUAAGGAUCACUCACAUGGGCGAUGUGGGAUCUUAUAGCUAAAGUGGAUGACAGACAUCAAAUUUGGUUGUGACAUCGACGAUUGGGACAUCCAUCAUUCAGUUAUAUGAAGCAUCUAUUUCCUUCUUUGUUUCGCACUUGUAGUGAUUCAGAGUUUAAGUGUGAAACAUGUGUCAUGGCUAAGAGUCAUCGUGCUUCCUUUCCUGUAAGUGAUUCUAAAGCUACUUUGUCAUUUGAUUUGAUACAUUCUGAUGUGGGGUCCGGCGAAAGUUACUUCUAAUGGAUUCCGUUGGUUUGUUACUUUUAUUAAUGAUUAUACUCGGUUAACUUAGGUGUUCUUGAUGAAGAAUAAGAGUGAUGUUCCGUUACUUCUUCAAGAAUUUUGUACAAUGGUGUCUACUCAGUUUCAGACCAAAGUUAACGUCUUCAGGUCUGAUAACGGAUGAGAAUGUGUAAAUCACACUUUGACAUGUUUUUUUCUCGUGAUUAUGGUAUUAUUCACCAGACUACUCCAUUUACACCCCAAAAAAAUGGUGUGUCCGAACAGAAGAAUCGUCAAAUAAUGGAGGUUGCUCACUUUUUGAUGUUGGAUAAAUGUGUUCCUAAUCAUUUGUGGGGUCAUGCUGUUUUGGCUGCUAUGUUUUUGAUCAAUCGUGUUCCAAGUAGGGUUCUUCAUUUUCAGACACCGUUUGAUGUGCUACAAAAACAUGUUUCUCUUGUUUCUGUAUUAAAGCUUCUUCCGAAAGUGUUUGGGUAUAUUGCGUAUGUGCAUGUCUACUCUCAUCAGCGGAGUAAACUUGAUGCAUGUGCUCUCCGGUGUGUCUUUAUUGGGUAUGCUAACAAUCAAAAAGGCUAUAAGUGUUAUCAUCAUCCGACUCAAAAAACUUAUAUUACCAUGGAUGUUACCUUGCAUAAGAAAAUUUUGUAUUUUAUGAAGCUCUCUUCCGACUCUCCACUUCAGGCGGAGAGGGGGAGUGAAAUGCAUAUUCAAAUAAAUGGUAUGGAUGAUGUGUUACAGGCAGAGUUGGGAACAUAACCUAUUAUGUUGCGUGAUACUAAUCAGUUGGCUACAGAUAAUGAUCGAUCACCUGUCAUUCCCGGAACUAUUUCUACUGAUGACAGAUCAGAUGUGCCCAAUGAAUUGCCUAUUAGUAUGUCUAACGAAUUACAUUCUGAUGAUCGGUUGUCUGUUGCUAAUAUGUCUAAAGAGUUGCCUGAUGAUGGUUCGUCCAGUGAUGAUUCUUCUAACAGUUUGGUACACAUGAAGUAAAUUCUGACGAUUCUUCUAUUUAUCAGUUGCCUCCAUGAGCUAAUCGUGGAAAACAUAAAGUACAAUAUGAUCCUGAUAUGCAUGCCAAAGCCAAAUAUCCUAUCAACAAUUAUCUGUCUACUCAUCGUUUGUCCAAACCAUAUGCAUCUUACAUAUGUCAGCUAUCUAGUGUAUCAAUUCCAAUAAAAUUGCAAGAUGCUUUGUCUAACCCUAAGUGGGUUAAUGCCAUGAAAGUUAAGAUGGAAGCUUUGGAAAAGAAUUCUACUUAGGAUUUGGUUCCGUUACCAAACGGGAAGAAAGUCGUUUGAUGUAGAUGGUUGUUUACUAUUAAGCACAAAGCAUAUGGUUCUAUUGACUGGUAUAAAGCCAUAUUAGUUGCUAAGGGUUAUACUCAAACCUAUGGGGUGGACUAUCAGGAGACCUUUACUCCUGUUGCCACACUUAAUACUGUGCGUGUUCUUUUGUCCUUAGCAGUAAACCAGGAUUGGCCUCUGUUGCAGUUUGAUGUUAAGAAUGCUUUCCUUCAUGGUGAUCUUAAGGAAUAAGUGUAUAUGGAUCUCCCACCUGGUAUUGGAACAUCUCCUGGAAAAGGUGUUGUAUACAGGUUACAAAAGGCCUUAUAUGGUUUGAAACAAUCUCCUAGAGCGUGGUUUUUGAGGUUUACAAGUUCAAUGAAGAAGUUUGGGUAUAUCCACAGUCAUUCAGAUCAUACUUUGUUUCUAAAGCGACAAAAUGGUAAGCUAACUACAUUGAUUAUAUAUGUUGAUGACAUGAUAGUGACUGGUGAUGAUCAGAAUGAGGAGAUACAACGCCUUCAAAAGUACCUAGCUACUGAGUUUGAGAUGAAAGAAUUAUGUGAAUUGAAGUAUUUUUUUGGAAUCGAGGUUGCACGAUCUAAGCAUGGUAUUUUUCUGUCUCAACGAAAGUAUGUUCUUGAUUUGUUAGCUGAAACAUGUAUGUUAGAUUGCAAACCUGUUGAUACUCUGAUUGAGCAGAAUCAUCGUCUGGGCUUAUUUCCAGAUCAAGUUUCUACUCAUAAGGAACAAUAUCAGAGGCUUGUGGGGAGAUUAAUUUAUUUGUCUCACACUCGCCCUGACAUUGCUUAUGCAGUUAAUGUGGUAAGUCAGUUUAUGCACUCACCUAGUGAAGCUCAUAUGGAUGAAGUAACCCGUAUUUUGAGGUACUUGAAGAUGGCUCUUGGCAGAGGCUUGGUUUUCUCCAAGAAUGGUCAUUUGAAUAUCGAAGGGUAUACAGAUGCAGAUUGGGCAGGUUCUAUCACUAAUCGGCGAUUUACAUCUGGAUACUUUACGUUUGUAGGUGGUAAUUUAGUUACUUGGAGAAGCAAGAAACAAAAAGUGGUGGCUAGGUCAAGCACAGAAGCUGAGUUUCGUGAUAUGUCUCAUGGUGUAUGUGAGUUGUUGUGGUUGAAAAAAUUGUUGAGAGAUCUUGGGUCUAAACCCAAAGGUGCUAUGAAACUUCAUUGUGAUAACAAGGCUGCUAUUGAGAUUGCUCAUAAUCCAGUGCAACAUGAUCGAACAAAACAUGUGGAGAUUGAUCGACAUUUCAUUAAGGAAAAAUUGGAUGCUAGAAUUAUUAUGUUUCCGUUUGUGAGAUAUGAAGAUCAACUUAUUGAUGCUCUUACUAAGGCUGUGUCUAAUAGUGUGUUUUCCAACUCGCUUGACAAGUUGGACAUGCGUGACAUCUUUGCACCAACUUGAGGGGGAGUAUUGCGAGUUAUACAUUAGUUAAAGUGUAAAUAGUAGUUUAUUGUCCCAUAUUGGUGAAGUACAUAUGUAAUAUCAACUGUAACUCCUAUAUAUACUCCACUUUGAAGAUUAAUGAAUAUAUAAGAAAUUCUCAAAUAUUGUCAUAUAUAUUUUUGGUAUUUACUAUGUUGAGUUUAAUAUUGGUAUUUACCAUGUUUAGUUUAAUAGAGCUAUAUAUAUAUAUAUAUAUAUAUAUAUAUAUAUAUAUAUAUAUUAUAUAUAUAUAUAUAUAUAUUUGUAGAUAACAAUGUUCCUUAAUUUUGUGAGAGAAUAUCUUACUUUGAGGUUAGAUCGAAGUAGAUCAGACGACGGUGCUGACAGAUGGGAAUGUAAGAGAUGAUGACAGAAGAAGAGAAAGCACACUCCCAGCAACGGUAAAGACUCUCCUUAGCCGAUGGCGGGUUGUGCUCUCUCUCUUCUGUCAACAUAUAUGAACUCUAACCUCAUUCCCCAUCUCAUCUAUACACCCUUAAUGCCACAAAACUCAUGCAUUCAUCCCUGCAGAGCAAACCAUCAAUUAAUAGGGUGAGGUAACGCAUUCAGGCUCAUAUAAAUCUGAUAUAUUGUAUACAAUGCAUAUUAGCAUGUCUACUACCCCUUACAUACAUACAUACAUACAUAUACAUAUAUAUACAUAUAUAUAUAUAUAUAUAUAUAUAAGCAUAUCAUAUGUAUAGAUACUGGCGCAGUUGUAGAAGAGGUAUUUAAUGGCACAAACCCGGUUUAGUGCAACUUUCGGUCUCGAAGUCAGAUUUUGGCCCAUGAGUUGCGGGGGACAAACAGUUUGUGCCGUGAAACUCCUCUUCUACUCACACACCAUACUCUGCAUAGAUAUAUGAUUUUAAAUAUCCGUUAAUUCAUUAUUAUAAGCAUAAUUUUUGCUAACAGAUAAAUAAUUAAACAUAAGAACUUGCCUCUAUAUAUAGCCAAAAAUUAACCAUGAUCUGGGAUUUUUUUUUUCAUCAAGCCAAUAAAUAUGUACUGAUCAUGAAACAAACUGAUCAAUAUCAACAUCCAUCACCAUGAAGGGGUAAUUUGUGAGUGAAAUCAAUACUGAAUUUAUAAAAUUUAUAUGUAUAUAUAAUGUGUUCAGAUAUGUAUUUAUAUAUACCUAAUGUAUGCAUAUGCAUCAAAAAUCAGAUUAAAACAAUAUAUCUACUUAUCACAGGAACUACUUCAUACAAAUAAAUAUAAUUUAUCAUGACAGUUUAAUCAAAACACUGGCUAAAAAUUGAGAGAGAGAGAGAGAGAGAGAGAGAGAGAGAGGAGAGUGAGAAUUUUACUCUUAGGGUUCUUCAACUUUUGCUUAGCUGGUCAUCAGAUACGAUUUUCACUGCAGAAACUACUAGUUUCUCUUCACUUUCCAUGAAAGAUAAAGAGGAAAGAAGAAAUAAAGAAGUAGAUAAAAGCAGAGAACAAGUGUGGGAGUGAGAGAUACGUAUAAGCUACAAAUUCUAUACCUCAAUGUAUCAGUUGUUGAUGAAUAGUGUUCAUCUUAUAGGGACCUGGCCGCUGACUAUAACCGGUGACUUGUAGUAUGAUUUAUGACCGUCUAGUGAGCGUAAACUGGUUUCGACACUAGUUUUUAUUUUAUGAUUUAGAUGUUGUAUUAAACAUUAUGGAUAGCCACCGUUUUAAAUAUCAAUAUGCGUGAAAAUAUCAAUAUGCAAAUUUAUAAAAAUGUAGGUGGACACGUCGAUAUCGGUUGCCUUCAUAAAUAUUAAAGAAAUUUGCAAUGUGUGAUAUAUCUCAUUCAGAUUUAGUUGAAAUUAAAAAAAAAUUCAUAAAAUUUCAAAAGUUUGAAAUUUGAAAUGAGUUCCCGCAAAAUAUAUGUAGUGUAUUAGUAAAUAUUGUAGAUAUUUAUUGAUUUUCUUUAUCUUGGUGAUAUAGGAUGAAGUUUGUAUUUUACCCCUUCUAUAUUGAUUCUUAAUUUUUUUUUAAUAUUUCAACGAAAAUAUUGACGAUUUGUAAAUAUUUUAAACACAAGGUAGUAUAUAGGAUUUCAAAUAUAUUCAAACCCAAACGUUACUAUUAUCCGGAAUUAAACUUACAUUUUAAUUAAAAACAGGCUACCUGAUUAACAUAACAAGAUAUAAAAUAACACUUCCUUUUUCUCGAGUCUGCAAGCUUAUCCGUUUGUACAAAUUUGGUGUUAGGACUUGGGAGAUUCUUUUCAAACGUGAUGAAACUUUUCACUGUCAAAGGACUCAAAGUCGUUAAUGGCACCAAUAAAAUUUAAAAUUUAAAAUUGUAUUUAAUAAAGAAGAAAAUGACGUUGAUAAAGAAUAAUAAGACCCGUGGUGUAAGCAACGUCAUAAAUGGGUAACCAAAAAUGGUGGGGGUGGAUGUUGACCGGCUAUUUCAGGUCGGCCGGAUCCAAGAAAGGGUCUUUGUUUCUCUCUCACCUCACCUGACAUCACCCGUGAUAACCGAUAAACUCGUCGCUUUCGCGACUGUGGAGAAUAUCGAGACCGUUGAGUGGUGCCACGUGGAGGACAUGCACGGGUGGUAGGCUGGUGAUUUGGGAUAUGAACAGUGACUACCUUCCUCUCAUGAAUUUUGCAUACUUUAGUUUAUUAUCUUAUUUUCCACGCCGAAACUUUAUAUUAAAAAAAUAAUACAUUUGUCAAAAGUGCACGAUAAAAAUUUUUAAAAUGCAAACAACAGUGUACUAAUUAUUAGAUCGGUGCCAUGCUAAUCUCUAUGAUUUAGUGAAACUCUUCGUAAUACAUUGUUAUUAAUAUACCAAAUCAAAUCAAAAUUUUCAUUUACAAUUCAAACAUAUUACUUUUACCACAUUUUCAUACUAUAUUUGUACCAUCUUUAUAAUAAAAAGGGGAUCUAUAUGUGUCGGUUGGUCCUACUUCUAUUAAAAAGUGGUACGAAUAAUAUGAUAUGAAAAUUAUAGUUAAGUGUAGCAUUAGACUACUUUUGCAGACGUUCGUGGUACUGAUUUUAAUCUUCUACUAUAAUACACCUAAACUUGUUAUUUCAUCAUGUUAUUUAUUUUUAUUUAAAUGAGAAAUAUUAUGUUCGAAUCUCAUGAUUGAUUAUAUUUCCCGACUAAUUACCCAGAUAGUUUAAAUAUCGAUCGUUGUAAUGUCAUUGUCCACCCUCUAAUUCAAAUUAGCAGCAUUAGGGAGGUCCAUUUAAUGGGGUCAUCAGCCAUGACAAGGAGCUUGAAAGAUUAAUAGACUCUGAGCAUCUUUGAUUGGUCAACACUCGUUAGGUCUUAUUCUUGUAGCUAUAAUUGGAGAGAUUUUUCAACAUAUUUGAAAUACGAGACUGUACAUUACAUGACACUGUACAAAUGAAAAGAUACUUGCAAAACUUAAAAUAAAACUUUUGUUUAUAUAUAUAAUGACAUAUUAUGUACCACCCAUGUUUCGAAUAUAUUGAAAAAUUACUCAAACUCAUGUGAAAAUGAAUGUUUUCCCUUUUCAGCCACACGUAAAAUAUAUGGUUCCCAUAAAAAUUCAAAAAUCAAGAGGAAGCCUGCAAUAUUGCUAUCAGAAAGCUCCCCUCAUCAUCUCAGAUGGUCCUGGGGAGAGGAAUCGAUGAAUGGAUCACAACCGUUGGAUCCAUUGAUUGAAAUGUGGGGCCUUCUGCCACGAGACACGUGUUCAUGCCCUAGAGAUGCAGGUGAAGUUCAUGCGCCGAUACAGAAGAAAAAUGAAAAGGCAUGCUGAAAAUAAUUCAGAUAUUUUGAUGCCUGAGAGCGACCGGAGACAUAUAUCCAUUGACGUCACUCGUCUAAUCGAUAUUUCUCAUACGUUAAAAAAGUGAACUAAUCGUUCAUCUUACGUUUAAACCGUGAAUCUGCUUGAUCGUUAUCACAAGUAAUGUAUAAUUUCCAAUUAACCUCAUUUGUGUUCAUAAAAAAGAGUGAAUAAUCGUAAGUGCCAAAGCCUUGAUACAAUGGAUUCAAGGCAAAUGAGAUUUGGAAACAACUGGCAAUAAAUCAAAUCAAUAAUUCAUAUAAGCAUCGGCUAAAAAAAUGCCAUUUUAGUACAGAUAAUUACAUUUCUUUUCUUCAUAAUCUCACGUUCCUAACAGCAUAACAAAAUCUCAGUAAAGUACAGAACCUGCAGAUUGCUUCAAGACAAUGUCACAAUAAGUAGAAACUGUAUGAAUUAGUUUGAAUCACUAAGUCAGCAAAACCUCCAAUCCGGGUACUAAUUAGUUCUGAUUCGAUCGCCUUCAGAAGUAAUUAAAGUGUCUAUGAUCUUGUAAUGUGAGAGACGCCCACGCAACGGAUCAUCUUGCGCAUUAUCUGUGUUACUUCUCAGUUUUUCAGACUUCGAAGCAGGAUUCAUAUCACUUUUCUCAUCGAAGAUCUCUCGUUUUAGGGUCUCUGAUGCUUCCUUGGAUUCAACCAAUUUAGUUUUCCAUUUAAUACCAACUGCCUCAGCCUGAUCUGCAAACAAGACUUUUGCGCUAGCUGAACUGCAGAUUUCUUUGUAAGUUUCAUAAUUAGCAGCUCGGGUGCUUCCACCUUCCAAAAGUCCCGUGAGGGGAUGCAAAACCGAGACUGGACCAUCACUUCUCUCUAAUGUUUCCUUCAACGCCAGAAAUUCAGAGACAAAUUUUUCCUUGCUAAACUGAAUGAAUACUGCAGUUUCAUCCAAGUGGUAGACAGACGUGACAGAGGUCGGGCCAAAGACUUUUGUGAUGCACUCCCUUAUAUCUCGUGCCUUGAGUUUUGAUGGGAAUCCCCAGAUUAAAGCAAUGUUCUCAAACAUAAUCUGCGCGUACCUCUUUUUGUGAUUAUUAUACCCCGAAGACAUUGCUUUCUUCUUGCCGGUGGUUAAAUCAAUAAUGUCUCCAUUACUCCAACUGAGGUAUAAAAGGUUGAUUUGCUUCUGGAGCUUCUCAUUGUGGGGCAACUUUUCAGAUGACAAACAAGCCUGAAAAUCAAUUCCGAGAUGACUGCAUGUCUGAGCAAAGACACAGCCUGUCAUAAAAGCAUCGUAUCCUGCUUCAUGUUUGGCUCCAGAAUUCCAGUUGGAGGACCUGCAAAUAGAUAAUCGUGAUAUGAAAGACUUAUUCCUUUGCUUUUCCUUUCAUUUGUAUAUAAACUGCCAAUUUUAGUUACAUUACUAAAACUAUCUUUCUCCAUAUGUAAUGGUUAUUCUUUUAACCAAUAUGUAAUGGUUAUUCUAUGAGAGAGAGCCACGUGGCAUGCACAAGUAUAUACAUCUCGUAAAGCAAGUAGAAAUAGAAACAAAUUGACAAACUUAUACGAACUUGUUAUCCGACAGAUUUCUAAAGUUGGUUGCAUCUAAAGAAUGUAAUGUGUAAUUAACCCCGGUCAAAAAUGUCAUGCCAACCUAGUCGUUUUCAGACAGAUCUCUAAGUGCCCUACGCCAUUAAUGAAAGUUAAUGAAAAUGCUCUCCUUCAUCUGUCGGGUUUCAACUCUAUAUCUUUUUCCAUUCAAACUGUGACAAUGGAAACCACUGAGACCAACUAAAUGAAUUGAGCACGGCCGAGAUAUCAUUAUGGACAGAGAAUGGAAAAAGCAAACCUCAAAUCAUCCACCUGAACUUCAACUUUGACACACAAUUGGACUUCUGAAUCAGUGCUUUUCUUCCCAAGAGCAAUUUGCGGGCAUAACAAAGCAAAUGCUGACGAAAGUGAUGUUCUGGACUUCUUCAUCCGUUGUUGGAGCACAUUAUCUGUAUUCAACAGUACUUUGGUGUCAAUGAUGUGUGGAAAAUACUUGUUAACAGCAGAGACAAAUUCCUCAGCAGUCGAAGGUAGAGGUCCCAAGAAUUUGUUGUAUAUAUGGGCAAUAUCUGUAUGACAACAAGAAGACAUCUUAGUAAUAUAUAAAAUCAAAUUGACCUUUUAUGAAAGUAACAUCAAUACUCAUACCAAGAAAGCAAUUGUGACCAACAAUCAACUUUUGUUCUGAGGAAAGAAGGUCAAUAACAUGACGAAACCCAACUGCAGCUUGAACUUUCACCUCUGCUUCCCUACGAUGUUCAUCCUUAACCUCUUUCUGCAAAAGAUUGCAUACAGAAAACUAUAAUUCCUCCUGAGGUGUAGAUGAUCAUCACAUAAUAACAAAUACACUGACUUCCUUUGGUGAUAAUUUCUGUUCUCCCUAAUGCACCAACAGCAUUAUGCAAAAUUUAUGCCCAGAUAGUAAUUAUCAUACACACUGCCGUUUGUUUAUUAACGAGAAAUUAACAGUGUUGAGACAUUUUAGUUAAGACUUAGAAGAAGAAGAGAAAGAAGAGUUUCAAUAUCUCUAAUGGUUGUUUCGAUGGCUACGAUAGAAAUCCAGAGAAAACUUGUUGAUUGACUUAUUGGAAUACUAAAAAGUAAAAACAACUCCAGGCCCAAACUCGGACCAUCAAGACCUUUAGAAAGUAAAUCAUUUUCAAUAAGAAAACAACCAAAUUCUAAUAACCGAAAGUCUGAAAACUAUUUCACAAAGUAAACAUCCUAAGUAGUCUUUCACAGUUGAAGAGCAUUUGAAAAUUUCACAUCAUAUAAACUGGAGGACACAAAUUACUUACCAGAAGCAAAUCCCUGUCAUCCUUGGAAUCUGUCCGCACAACUAGUUGCUGUUGACACGACUUUUCACCAUUUACCUGAACAUAAGAAAGAUCUUGGAAAUGCUUUCUCAUGACCUGCAAACGUUAAUUUUAAUAUUCAGCUUAACAAAACCAUGACUAAGAAGAAGAAAAAAUGUUUUUUACGCAUAUAGAGUACAUCUCUGCAUUAUUAUAAAAAGUAAAACAAUACUUUUUUUUUUUUUUCGUACCCAGUGCACAAGGCUCCCGCUUUACGCAGGGUCUGGGAGAGGUGAAUGUUGGCUAGCCUUACCCCCAUUUAUGGAGAGGCUGCUCCCAAGUAUCAAUCAAAUCAUUUGCUUGGCUAAAAAGGUUAAAAUACAAUAAAUAUAUUCACAUCCAAUUUAUGAGAUAUCAUGCAAAAGCAAAUGUGAAUGAUUACAGAAUCAUGAAUGCGAAUAAGAAACACAAACUUGCCAAAAAGAAGACCUAUUAUAGUGUGUCAAGAUACUCGCAGCAUAAAGUGUCAAGAUAACUGCAACAAAAUAUCCAUCCAAUGACUUAAGACUCAGAUCAAAGUCAAAUAAAAGUUGUUGCUUCAUAAUUUCCAAUUUCAGUUCCUUACCAGCCUCAGUGAGCAUUUCACCAAUUUCAAUCUCUUCCUAGAACUUUUAUACUUAUCUAUAACAAAAAUUUCAAAACCCGGUUUCGAGUUACUUUUCCUUGAACAACCAGGGAAAAGGCGAAUAGACAUAGAGUAAGUUUUUGAAUUAUUUGAGGCAAUUACUAAAGAAUACCUAGGAUCAUGUCAUGGAUCACAUGUCCAAGAUUAACUUGUUACAAGUGAGAAUCUUAUGAUAGAUGAUCAAAAUGUAAAAACCAAACCCACCAUUUGAAUCAACCUAAGCUGAUGAGAAGUGAAUCCCUUCAAACUAAGAGCUGGACGCAUCUUGAAGAAAAUGGUUUGUAACUGUUGGGAAUCAUUUGAGUUUUGCUGAAAUUGGAAUCCUCCAUUACUACUUCUCAAGUUCAACAAACCAUCACGCCAUUCAGUGAAUGUGUUCUUCAUCCGUUCAGCAAAGAGAGUGUCAGCAAUCUUGACCACUGGCAUGUGCACAGGUUCUUUCAAGUUUGAACAUCUAGUCAAUAACUCAUCAUCAUAUGUCAAGCUCAAACGUCUCAGUGCCUCACUUUCCUGCCCUCUGGAUAAAUAAGAUAUUCCUGAGAUUGUACAACCAUUUAACUUUACAAACUGAAACCAUCAUAAAAGAAAAGCCAGGGAAGUAACUUUCACACCAGUUACAAAACCUUAACCAUUACUUCAAAAAGAAAUCAAACAAUUUCACUACCUUCAUGUAUGCAGACAUUAAAAUCGAACUGGUAUUUAGCUAAGAAAUCAAUCGAUGUUGUCUGGCAAAGAAACUCAUAAGUGGGGCCUGCAACCGGAAGCUCUUGACGCGGAAAAAUGUAAAAAUUGUGCCUGUCAGCACACCCAUAGUAUUACACAAUAAAAACCACAUAAAAAGUUCAAAACGAAACACCAUCAUUGCACAAACUUAUUCAUCUCGGAAAUUGUGUGCCUUCGCAUUUGCUUCAAACAAUCCUAGACAGCAAACACAUGUAUAAUAUAAUUUACAAACCCGGCAAAGCAACCGAUUUUACGUAAAAAAUUUCAAAAUUUAAAUUUUUUUUCUCCUUUUAAAGUUCAACUUACUACAUUUACCAGAAAAUCCAGUCACAUUUAGCUUUUCAAUCCAAAUAUCAUGAUCAAAGCAAAAGACUCGAACUUUAAAUUUUAUCAGCUAACUAACACGUAAUUGCAAGAGAGAGAAGCAAUUGCCAAUGUUUCAAUAACAAUAAAAUCAAGCAAAAUCCCUAAUUUUUGUUCCUUACUUUCUUCCUCACUUUCUGGGCAGCCAAACAGAGCACAAACAAAAAUCAAGAAUGGAAAAGAAAAAGUCACAUACGGAUGAGCAAUGAAGGAGCGCUUGGAGGAGUCCCAGCGGAAGGGGCAAACUCCGAACUGAAGCACGGCGAACUUCUCGGCCGAGUCCUUGACCUUAAGGUAGCAGACGUCGGCGCGGUCGAAUUCCAGGGAGUCACGCCACGGAGCGCUGGUGAUUCCGGUCAUCUCGAGAUCGAUGGCCACGAAAUCGGCGGCGGCGACAUGGCGGCGCAGGUCGGCGAGGGCCGGCUCGAAGUUGGAUUUGGUCACGUUUUUUAGAGGGAAGGUGGAGGAUUGUUGUUGUACGGACGACGAAGAGGAAGAGGAGUGGGAUAGGGCACGUGAUAUCGCACGUGACAGUGCCCUCACCGGGCGGUGAGUGUUCAUUUUCUGAGCAUUUGCCUGAGCUUUCGGCCCUCGGGGGUUUAUGCAGAGAGUUUUCGACCCAAGGUAGAAGAUGAAAUGAUACCGCCUACGACGUCGUUUCUGCAAUUUUCAAUAAAUCUUUUCCUGGGGGAAUCGGGUCGGGUUAGCCCAACUUGAAAGCUAUAUAGAAAGGCCCAGCCAACCAAGGGAGUUCUGUUUUCUGCCCGGAGAAAUGAUUUUUACGCGUCAUUUUCUCUUUCUUCAAACGUUCACCUGGAAUGUGUAUAUUUUCCUUCUUGUAUGAUUAAGUCAUUUCUUAUUUUGAUUCUGAUUACGAAUUAACAAACGCAUACUUUUUGUGCUUAGAAUUUCUUGUUACGAUGAAACUCAAUGAAACUACACGUUUGAUUUACUUACAUUCAUAAAGCUCGAGUUAAACGAGCGGCUAAUGCGAGGGAACGCUUUGCUAAAGGGUUGGAGAAAUAGAGACGAAUAAUAAAGAGGACUCCCCUGAAAAAUUAACACACUUGAUGAUGACACACAAUCUAAUACAGACGGCUCUAUUAUUGUAUAUAAGACUCACUCGUUGUCUUAUUAAAAAUUGUGUCAGCAGGUGAAUCAAUUUUGUAUGUCUAAUAACAUUAUCUUUAUUCAGUUAGGGACAAAAGUAAGGACCAAGAACAAGCCAUUGCUAGAGCACGUCCAUAUUGAAGGUUCUGAGGUUAAUUUACAAGAAAGGAAUAACUUAUUUUAAUGGCAUACACUUUUUGUGCUCACUUUUUUCAUUGUGAUGAAGGGGAAAAGAUGUUUUGGGAAUAUGUAAAGUAACAAGAAACUUGUGGUUUGGUUGUAGAGAGCUAUACAUAUUUAUUGUCAAAUCUUUUUGUGUUAGGCACAUCUUAUUGACGAACAAUUUUUCGGUGUGUCGGAAAACGGCUCGAUACACUAAGCGUAAUAAUAUAAUUGAAUAUAAAUUUGAAAAAAAAAAGUUGCAACCAAUUGUAUUGAUACUUGACACGCCAAUCGUGCUUCGGACAUUGAAAAAAUUCUCUUAAUUGACGACUAGGACCAGAUAAUGUAUGGCAUGAUUCAUGGAUAUGUAAGUGCAACGUAGACAACACAAAAGUCUAUGUAGGGUUGGAGUAUUUAUAAUUUAAAAAUUCUCUUAGUCCAACUGUUUUGCCAACUUUUAUGUAACUUUCUUCCAUGAAAUGAAUUAUAAAGAAAGAUUUUCAAAGUAUAAAUUUUAUAUAAAACACUUAGAGGGAGUUGGAGAAAAAAAAACUUAAUUAGUUGGUAACUUAGAUGUUUUUUUUCAACUGGUUUUUAGUUGUGAAAUCUUCAGUGUCUUUAUUUAUGUCAUUCUCUAAUUUAUUAUGAAAUAGACUUAAAACUCAAGUGGUAAGACACCUAUUAUUGUGUUUAGUUCCCUCACCUCUUAAUAAAUAAGUCGUAAUUCACUAUUUUUUAAUACAAGUGGUCGGGGCAAAUUUCAAACCUAUAUUUCACACAACACAUCAUGUAUUCUCUCUUUGAAGUUGAUGAAUUACACGAUGGUGCCCUGGGGGAGGUUAAAAUGUCUAUGUGAGUCUUCUAGACUCUCAAAUAGUAGAUUGUCACAGCGAAGCGACCAACUGAUCCCCUUUAAUAAAAGAAACACAAUAAAGUUGAAGAUGAAAGGCUUGACCACAAAACAAUCCACUACUUACAAUGGUAAAUAAUUACUAAUAGUAAUAUUUUUUUUUAACAAGCAAUAGUAUUUACACUAAGGGGUGGGAGUUUGUCAUAAUAAUAUGGUUCAAUUUUACCUUUGAUGAGAAUCGAAUUUAAAACAUCUCAUAUACAAGCGAAAAUAAAUAUUACUAAUUUGAAAUACUAAGUGACACUAAUAGCAAUAUUAUUUACAAUCUUAUAUUUUCAUACUCUAUAUGCACUCAACUUCAUCCUUUUAUUCCUACAAUUGGUCAUCAUUCAACAAAGCCCCACAUGAUGACCCUCCAAAUGUCACCAUUUAGGACGUCCAAAUUGUGUCCAUGUUUCCAAUUUUGCUUGUUUUAUUUCAUCAAAAAAAAAAAAAAAAGCAUAUUUGGGUUCAAUGUUUUGGUUGGUCUUGGAAUAAAGUUGUUAACCCCCGGAAGCUCUUUUCCUUCGCAAUUAAGAAAGUCCCAAAAGUAGAGGGCCGAAACAUGCACGUACAUGCACUACUAGUCACUACUAGCCAUUUUCGAUUUUACCAAGGAAACACACAUCAUUGCUUCUGUUUUCCUUUUUCUUUUUUCUUCCCUCACGUAUCGGAAAGAGAUUUUUCAGUGUAUCAAAAACACAAUUCGGUACAUUAACUGUCAUAAUACAAUAAUUUGAAACUUGAAAAAAAAAUUUCAAUCAAUUGAGCCGUAUUCCUGGCACAUUGAAAAAUUUCUCUAUAGGAUAUAUACCAUUUUCACAAAUGCAAACUUGAUUGACAAUCUCGUUUGAAACUGUUUUUUAUUUUUAUUUUUUUUAACACUUCUAUUCACAAACACUUCUAGUAAAAUUGUUUUUAUUAAAAGCGCAUAAAUAAAAAUACUAAGGGUUAGCUUUUGUUGCCAAACAUAUCGUUAUGUUCUAUCAUCGAAGUUAGGAAUCCAAAAUAUAUAUAAAUUCUUACAAUAAAUCAAUUUUUAUGAAUUUAUUUGGUGGCCAUUUUAUGUGAUAAAUACGAUACAACCAAGUAUAAAUUCGGCCCAAAGAGAUUUAUUGGAGAAACUUAAAUUAGAUACGGGUGAUGUUAGUAAGAAAAUAAGAAACCAACAAAAGUAAAAGAUCAAAACAGAGAACAAAAGAUCAAACACCAUUUUUGGUCUGGAUUUAGCAAAUAUUUACUUAGAAGGAUAUUGUAGCAAAUUUGGAUUCAAACAUUGCUUGGUAAGAAAAAGAAUUAAUAUUGUAAUAUAAUUUAUUUAUUUUCCUGGAUAAUAAUAAAACAUAAUUUAGGAAAAUUAAGCUACUUAACAAGCUGGACAUAAUUACAAUUAUACUUUUUGAACAUCAAACAAGUUAAAUAAUAGAGACAUUAACACAAUAAUCUAGAGUCACAUUCAAUUCAAAUUAUCUUAUUCGUUGUAUCAGGAUUUUCAUGAUAGAUAUGUGUGUUAAGUCAAUGUGUUUGUUUGUCGCAUCCAAUUCAUAAUAGAUGAAUUUUAUAUGUGUUAGACUAAUUAUCUAAAGUACUGUGUCGUUUUGUCUCAUAUAAUUACAUUCUCACCAUGAUAAUAAAAUAGGCCCAAAUGGAGAGCACAAUGUAUAUUUAAUUAUUAUAUUUUAUUUUUUAUGAAAAACAAUUAUUUUAUUUUUAUCUCCUCCCUUUAUCUAUGUCUAUUUUUUUUUUGUUUUUCCGAAUUUUACUAUAAUUUCCUGCCCCCUCUAUAUAUACCACACUCUAGCUUCUUUCUCAGUUAUUCAUUUCUUCUCCAAUUCUCUGCUUCCCUUUCUGUCUCUGUGCGAUCCUCAUCAAAACCCUAAUCUUGAUCGCGAAGAAGCUCAAAUUUCCUCUUAUCACUCUCGAAAAAUCGAAGCUUGACGAUCCGAUCGUCGUCAAACAGCCGCUACAAAACGUUCCUCACUUCAAUUUUAGUUGCCGCAUAAUUUUAAUUUCCCCAAUUCAGUCUCUGCUCUUCGAUCAAUUCUUGGUUUUUUAGCGAUUGAUCGGGUACCAAUUCAAGGCGGUUCUCAAUCGUGCAAUGCUUUCAGUUCCAAUAUGAAGUUAAAGAGAAGGAGGGCGGUUGAAGUGGUCAGUAUAUUUCACCUGUGGAAUCGAUUAGAUUCUUGUAUGCAUACUGCGCAUAAUAUAUAUAUGUAUGUGUUUGUACAUGAUUAAAGUACUGGGUUUUCCCUAUGUUUUGAUUUCGAGAAGAAGUUGAUGGUUCUGGGUUAUGUUCUUUUUCUCUUUUUUUUUUUCUCAUUUCCCAGUGAGUGGCACUUUUGUAUGCAAUUGCUUAUAUAAUUCGUUUUGGGCAUCUAUCAAUUUGAUGUUUUCUUUGGUUGUUUAACUAGGGACUGAUACAAGAUAAGAAAGUUUAAUUUUUUUUACCUUAUUAUUGAAUUGUUUAUAUAAUUCGGAGUACGAAAAUGCAAACAUAUUCAGCUUAUGAAGUGAGGUUUUCAUUCUUGCAUGAGGAUUACAACCAGUACUAGGAAGAUCCUAGAGACAUGAUUAUACAUGAUUAUUCAUGACCAACCCAGUUGACUGUAUUAGUUUCGUUAUUGUUUCUUAGUUCAAAGAGUUAUUUUCUCCAUCGAAUGUCUAUAUGACUUUAUAUGUUUUUGUUGAAAUUGCUAGCAUUGAGAGAGAGAGAGAGAGAGAGAGAGAGAGAGAGAGAGAGAGAAGAAGAGGAGGGGGUGGAGGUUUGGUCGGUUCGUCAGUCUGUUUAUCAGUGUGUUAACGUUCAUGGAGCAAAUGUCAUGCAUGACAGAUUAUUUUGUCGAAAAAGAAGUUUUAAUCUUUUUAUAAGGAGGCAAUAUCUAGAUGGAACAAGAUUAAUUGGUUUUGACAUUUAUGCUUUAAUGUUUUGUAGAAAAUGUGUGGAAACUGGAUAAUUGUUACAGCAAGGUGAAGUUAGGAGUUCGUCGUUUUCUUUAAGACUUUCGCUAUGCAUUAAACAUGUGUGAAGUUAGGAGUUCGUUCGCUAUGCAUUAAACAUGUGUGAAGUUAGGAGUUCGUUGUUUUCUUUAAGACUUUUCUAUGCAUUAAAAUAUGUGGGACUUAGAUGUAUGAAUUGUUUUCAAGUUAUAAAUUUAGUACAUUCACAUCACACAGAAUAAAAUUUUGCUCAAACGGAUACUGCGCUUAGCUAAAAGUGUGAGAUGAAAUGGUGAGUGCGUGAAUGAUCUUAGUUCCUUAUAUGCAUCUCUUUGAAUAUGUCACUCUUAAGAUUUUCAGUAAUUAAAUUUUAUUAAGUGAACUUAACCAUAUUAUGUUAAGGUUCAUUAAGGUCAAUCCAAGCCACCUCAAUCCUUUCUUUAAAGGUACCAGACAAGUGUGGCACUAUUAACAACAUCUAUUAACAACAUUUUAACUUGUGUGCUUCUUGAAACUUUUUGACAUUAGUUUCAAUGUUGUUUAUUUCCUGUUAGUAGUAUGGAGACUUCUAACAAAGUGAUAGGGGGUAAUGUGUGUUAAAACAAAUUAUCUCUAGGAUAUGGUCUUGUUUGCACUAUGUUGUGUGUACCCUUCUCAUUGUUUGCACACCUUGAACAUCCCUUAUUGCACUUGAAGAACUUAUGUUUACAAAUAAGUCAUCUAUUUAUUGUUUAUUUGUUGUCUCUGUGGUACUGGGUACUAAUUUUAUAUAAAAGCAAUUUGGCGAGUCUGCAAAGUACUAACAACUAUUUGUUUGGUCUUGUUUUGUUUCAGCCCCCAAAAAUUAGAUCCUUCAUCAAUAGUGUCACUGCCGUUCCCUUUGAGAAUAUAGAGGAACCUCUGAAAGGUUUCAUCUGGGAGUUCGAUAAGGUGAUUUUAUUACCUUUAACUGUUACAUUAAUACAGUUAUUUACAUGCAAUAUGAUUUAUAUGCUUUUAUUUCUGGUGCAGGGAGAUUUCCAUCAUUGGGUUGAUCUUUUCAACCAUUUUGAUUCAUUUUUUGAGAAGCACAUAAAAUCCAGGAAGGAUUUGCAGGUUGAUGAUAAUUUUCUAGACACUGAUCCUCCUUUUCCGAGAGAAGCUGUUCUUCAAGUUCUCCGUGUAAUAAGGAUAAUUUUGGAGAAUUGCACAAAUAAGCACUUCUACAGUUCUUAUGAGGUAAAAUUUCCAUCAUUCACCUCUCCGUCGUUGGUGUGUAAUUUUCAGUUGUUUAUUAUUAGUUAGUUUUUAUUCCUUCUAGAUAUACAAUUAUACCAUUAUUGCUUUUUGGGUAUUGUAUAUGGGAUGAAGGCUUAUUUUUAGCUGGGUUGUGAUAAUUAACAACUCUGAUUAUUGUGCAUUUGAUUGUGUUAAUUUUUAUUCUUUACAUCAGUCAAUUUCAUUUAUUUUCAAUUCCUCCUUUUCCCAUUCAUUAGUUUUAUGUCUUUGUUUCAUAUGUUAUUGCAGCAGCAUCUUUCAUCUCUUCUUGCUUGCACUCAUGCGGAUGUGGUUGAGGGUUGCCUGCAGACAUUGGCUGCAUUUUUAAAGAAAACAGUUGGAAAGUAUUCCAUUAGGGAUGCUGCACUAAAUUCAAAGUUAUUCGCUCUUGCACAAGGUUGGGGGGGAAAAGAAGAGGGUCUUGGAUUAAUUGCUAGUGCAAUACAGAAUGGUUGUGACCCUGUUGCUUACGAGUUAGGCUGCACCCUUCAUUUUGAGUUCUAUGCAUCAAAUGAUUCAACAGGUGACAUCCCUGCCAACCAAGGUUUACAAAUCAUUCACUUACCCAACAUCAAUACUCAUCCAGAGACGGAUCUUGAGCUUUUGUGUAAGUUAAUUGCCGAGUACAAAGUACCCUCUAGCUUAAGAUUUUCUUUAUUGACAAGAUUGCGGUUUGCAAGGGCUUUUGGCUCUGUAGCUACUCGGCAGCAGUAUGCAUGCAUCCGCUUGUAUGCCUUCAUAGUUCUUGUUCAAGCAAAUAGUGAUGCUGACGACCUUGUUUCUUUCUUCAAUGCUGAACCUGAGUUUAUCAAUGAAUUAGUGUCAUUGUUGAGCUUUGAGGAUGUGGUUCCUGAGAAAAUUCGAAUUCUCUGUCUUCUUUCACUGGUUGCUCUUUGUCAAGAUCGAUCCCGGCAGCCUACUGUUUUAACUGCUGUCACAUCUGGUGGGCAUCGUGGAAUCCUGUCCAGUCUCAUGCAGAAGGCCAUUGAUUUUGUCACCAAAGAUACAUCAAAGUGGUCUGUUGUUUUUGCUGAGGCUCUAUUGUCUCUUGUCACAGUUUUGGUGUCAUCAUCAUCAGGUUGUUCAGCCAUGCGUGAAGCUGGUUUUAUUCCCACCCUUCUGCCUUUGCUUAAAGAUACAGACCCGCAACACCUUCAUUUGGUCAGCACAUCUGUGCACAUUUUAGAAGCUUUUAUGGAUUACAGUAAUCCUGCUGCUGCAUUGUUUCGGGAUUUGGGUGGUUUAGACGAUACAAUCUCUCGCCUACAGGUGGAAGUGUCUCAUGUAGAAAAUGGCUCAAAGCAUGAAGAUGAUGAUUCUGACAUCAUUGGGAGUAGUGCACAAGUAGCUGUAGGAACUUCCACAGAGCUAGACAGCAUGCAGCCUUUGUAUUCAGAACCACUGGUUUCAUAUCACAGACGAUUGCUUAUGAAAGCUCUAUUGCGUGCUAUAUCCCUGGGGACUUAUGCCCCUGGAAAUACUGCUCGUGUUUAUGGCUCAGAGGAGAGUCUAUUGCCACAAUGCUUAUGCAUAAUAUUUAAAAGGGCAAAGGAUUUUGGUGGUGGGGUAUUCUCACUUGCGGCAACUGUCAUGAGUGAUCUAAUACACAAAGAUCCUACCUGUUUUCCAGUUUUAGAUGCAGCAGGCCUUCCUUCUGCCUUCUUGGAUGCUAUAAUGGAUGGUGUUCUUUGCUCUGCAGAAGCCAUUACAUGCAUACCACAGUGUCUGGAUGCCCUAUGUUUAAAUACUACUAAUGGUCUUCAGGCUGUGAAAGAUCGCAAUGCUUUGAGGUGCUUUGUGAAGAUAUUUACUUCAAGAACUUAUCUGAAGGCCCUGACCAGUGACACACCAGGUUCGUUAUCUAGUGGAUUGGAUGAGUUAAUGCGCCACGCUUCCUCAUUGCGUGGGCCUGGAGUGGAUAUGCUGAUUGAGAUCUUAAAUGCCAUUUCAAAAAUUGGACAUGGGGUUGAUGCUUCGUACAUGUCAAUUGAUCCUUUGGGCUCUUCUACUCCUGUUCCCAUGGAAACAGAUGGAGAAGAGAGGAAUUUGGUCAUGUCUGAUAAUGGGGAAUCAUCCAAAACGGAGAGUUCAGAGCAGACUGUGGAACCACCUUCUGAUUCUUCAGUGGGGAAUGUUGAAUUAUUUCUUCCUGAUUGUGUGAGCAAUGUUGCACGUCUUCUUGAAACAAUACUUCAGAAUGGUGACACAUGUCGUAUAUUUGUGGAGAAGAAGGGGGUUGAAGCUGUCCUGCAGUUAUUUACCUUGCCUUUGAUGCCUCUUUCUGUUUCAGUUGGCCAGAGUAUUUCUGUCGCAUUUAAGAACUUCUCACCACAACAUUCUGCUUCUUUGGCUCGGGCAGUAUGUUCAUUCUUGAGAGAGCAUCUGAAAUCAACAAAUGAACUUUUAGUUUCAGUUGGAGGGACUCAACUUGCUUUGGUGGAAUCUGUGAAGCAAACUCAAGUUUUGAGACAUCUUUCCAGUCUUGAAGCUAUUCUGUCUCUGUCUAAUGUUCUGUUGAAAGGGACGACUACUGUGGUGUCUGAACUGGGUGCAGCUGAUGCUGAUGUAUUGAAAGAUCUCGGGAGCACCUACCGGGAAAUAAUUUGGCAAAUCUCUCUGUGCAAUGAUGUCAAGUCAGAUGAGAAGAUCAAUGCUGAACAAGAACCAGAGAGUGCUGAGGCAGCUCCGACUAAUGCUUCUGGAAGGGAGAGUGAUGAUGAUGCAAAUAUUCCAAUGGUGAGAUAUAUGAACCCAGUUUCUAUCAGGAAUCAGCCCUUGUGGGGUGGAGAACGUGAGUUUCUAUCAGUUGUUCGCUCUGGUGAAGGUUUGCACCGUCGUAGUCGUCAUGGUUUUACACGCAUAAGGGGUGGAAGGACAGGCCGGCAUUUGGAGGCUUUAAAUGUUGAUUCUGAAUCUUCCUCAACGGUAUCAGAGACAUCUACUUCCCAAGAUUUGAAAAAGAAAAGUCCUGAUGUUCUUGUGAUAGAAAUCCUCAACAAGCUGGCUUCCACACUGCGUUCCUUCUUCACAGCUCUUGUCAAGGGAUUCACAUCACCAAAUCGGCGUAGAGUCGACUCUGGGUCGUUGAGUUUGGUUUCCAAGACUCUUGGAACUGCCCUAGCUAAAAUAUUUCUCGAGUCUCUUAGCUUCUCUAGGCAUUCUACAUCAACUGGGCUCGAUACAUCACUGUCAGUCAAGUGUCGAUAUCUUGGCAAAGUUGUCGAUGAUAUGGUAUCACUUACAUUUGACAGCAGGCGACGUACUUGUUAUACUGCAACAGUAAAUAAUUUCUAUGUCCAUGGUACUUUUAAGGAGCUGCUUACAACAUUUGAAGCUACUAGUCAGUUGUUGUGGACACUACCAUACUCCGUGUCAACGUCAGGUAUUGAUCCCGAAAGGACAGGUGAAGGAAGUAAACUGUCCCACAGUUCGUGGCUGCUUGAUACUUUACAGAGCUAUUGCCGUGUGCUCGAGUAUUUUGUUAAUUCUUCUUUACUCUUAUCCACAACCUCUGCUUCUCAAGCACAGUUGCUUGUUCAGCAGCCAGUUGCAGUUGGUUUGUCAAUUGGGCUUUUCCCUGUGCCAAGGGACCCAGAAGUUUUUAUUCGUAUGCUGCAAUCUCAAGUUCUUGAUGUGAUACUUCCUGUCUGGAACCACCCUUUGUUUCCAAAUUGUAGUCCAGGUUUCAUUGCUUCUAUUGUCUCGCUUGUCAUGCAUGUAUAUUCUGGUGUUGGAGAUGUGAAGCAGAAUCGCAGUGGCAUUGCUGGAAGUACAAACCAGCGAUUCAUGCCCCCACCACUUGAUGAAAAUACUAUUACCACCAUUGUUGAGAUGGGUUUUCCAAGGGCUAGGGCAGAGGAAGCUCUUAGGCGGGUGGGAACAAAUAGCGUUGAAAUGGCCAUGGAGUGGCUCUUUAGUCAUCCUGAGGAUCCUGUGCAGGAUGAUGAUGAACUGGCUCGAGCACUUGCUCUUUCACUGGGAAAUUCAUCAGAUGCAUCUAAAGCUGAGAGUGUUGAAAAGCCUGUUGAUGUGCCGGCAGAAGAGGGUUGUGUGAAAGCUCCUCCUGUUGAUGAUGUCCUUGCAGCGUCGGUUAAAUUACUUCAAAGUAAUGAUACCAUGGCAUUCCCUUUGACAGAUUGCUUGUGACACUUAGCAACCAGAACAAAGGGGAAGACCGUCCAAGAGUUGUAUCUUAUCUUACUCAGCAGCUAAAGAAUUGUCCAUUGGAUUUUUCUAAUGAUACCAGUGCGUUGAGUAUGGUGUCACAUGUUAUUGCAUUACUUCUUUCUGAGGAUGGAAGCACAAGGGAAGUCGCUGCACAGUAUGGUAUUGUGACUACUGCAACAGAUAUCUUGAUGAACUUUAAGGGCAAAGAUGAGUCAGGCAAUGAGCUUCUUGUCCCAAAAUGUAUCAGUGCUCUACUGCUUAUUUUGGAUAACAUGUUGCAAUCAAGGUCCAGAAUUUCUGAAAAGGUUGAAGAUACUCAGACAGGGCCUUUACCUGAAUUAUCUGGAGAGCGUAUGUCAAUCCCUGCAUCAGAUACAGAGAAAAAACAGCUUAUGGAUGCCUAUGAAAAGGAUUCUGCCACAGCAUUUGAGAAAAUAUUGGGGAAAUCUACUGGUUAUUUGACUAUGGAAGAGAGUCAUAAAGUGCUAGCAGUUGCUUGUGACUUGAUAAAGCAGCAUGUCCCAGCAAUGAUCAUGCAGGCUGUUUUACAAUUAUGUGCUCGCUUGACAAAAACUCAUGCUCUAGCUUUACAAUUCCUUGAAAAUGGAGGCUUGGCAGCUCUAUUUGGCCUUCCAAGAAGUUGUUUUUUCCCGGGAUAUGAUACUGUUGCAUCUGCUAUUGUUCGCCAUCUCCUUGAAGAUCCACAAACACUGCAAACAGCAAUGGAAUUGGAGAUUCGCCAAGCCCUGAGUGGAAACAGGCAUGGUGGGCGCACUUCUGCACGAACGUUCUUGACAUCAAUGGCACCUGUAAUCUCUAGAGAUCCAGUAGUUUUUAUGAAAGCUGCUUCUGCAGUUUGUCAGUUGGAGACAUCAGGAGGUAGAACCUUUGUUCUGUUAUUGAAGGAAAAGAGAAGGAAAAGGAAAAAUCUAAAGCAGUAGGUGAUGAGGCUGGAUUAUCUUCCAAUGAGUGUGUACGGAUUUCUGAAAAUAAGAUACAUGAUGGAUCUGGUAAAUGCGCAAAAAGUCACAAGAAGAUCCCUGCCAAUCUCACUCAAGUGAUAGAUCAGCUUCUUGAAAUAGUCUUCAAAUACCAUUUCCCAAAUAGCCAGGAAGACUAUUCGAAUAACCCAUCUGCUAUGGAAGUAGAUGAACCCUCUAUGAAGGUGAAGGGUAAAUCAAAGGUUGACGAGACAAGGAAAGUGGAGUCAGAAUCUGAAAGAUCUGCAGGGUUGGCUAAAGUUACCUUUGUUCUCAAAUUACUGAGUGAUAUCCUUCUUAUGUAUGUACAUGCAGUUGGGGUUAUACUUAAACGGGAUUUAGAAAUGACUCAGUUGCGGGGAUCUAAUCAAACAGAUGGUCUUGGACAUGGUGGUAUACUUCACCAUGUAAUUCAUCGAUUGCUUCCACGCACCAUUGAUAAAUCUGCUGGACCUGAUGAAUGGAGAGACAAACUGUCUGAAAAAGCUUCUUGGUUCCUGGUAGUUCUGUGUGGUCGUUCCAGUGAAGGGCGCAGACGAGUAAUUAGUGAACUUGUAAAGGCUUUAUCCUCGUUUUCGAAUUUGGGAUGUACUUCCACCAAGAGCAUCUUAUUACCGGAUAAAAGCGUUUAUGCUUUUGUUGAUUUGGUGUAUUCAAUUUUGUCAAAAAAUUCAUCAUCCAGCAACUUACCUGGUUCUGGGUUUUCACCAGACAUAGCAAAAAGCAUGAUAGAUGGGGGAAUGAUUCAGUGUCUGACUGGUAUCCUCCGGGUGAUUGACUUAGACCAUCCUGAUGCUCCCAAAACUGUGAAUUUGAUACUCAAGACGUUAGAAAGCCUAACAAGGGCUGCUAAUGCUAGUGAGCAAUACUUUAAAUCUGAUGAGACGAGCAAGAAAAAAUCCACAGGGUUGAAUGGAAGUUCUGACGAUCAGGUAACUGCCCCAUCAGCUGAUACUACUGUGGGGGAUAAUCAGAAUGCAAGCAGUGAACAGGGUGUGAGAGACGUCGUACAGGUUGUUCAAGGGGAUCAAGGAAUUUCUGAAAGUGAAGGUAAUCCUGAAGUAAAUCUGAUCCAGUUGGUGGAACAAGAUAUGAGGAUAGAAGUUGAAGGACCAAUAGCUUCUAAUCCACCCAUGGAGCUUGGGAUGGAUUUCAUGCGUGAGGAGAUGGAUGAAGGUAAUGUACUACACAACACUGAUCAAAUUGAGAUGUCUUUUCGUGUUGAGAAUAGGACAGAUGAUGACAUGGCUGAUUUAGAAAACGACAUGGGUGAUGAUGGUGAGGAUGACGACGAGGGAGAGGACAUGGCUGAUUUAGAAAAUGACAUGGGUGAUGAUGGUGAGGAUGAUGAGGAUGAUGAUGAGGGAGAGGAUGAGGAUGAGGAUAUAGCAGAGGGCGGUGGUGGCAUGAUGUCACUUGCUGAUACUGAUGUGGAAGACCAUGAUGAUACCGGCUUGGGAGAUGAUUACAAUGAUGGGAUGAUUGAUGAAGAUGAUGAUGAUUUUCAUGAGAAUCGUGUCAUAGAAGUGAGAUGGAGAGAAGCCCUUGAUGGGCUUGAUCAUUUGCAGGUACUUGAACAACCUGGAGCUGGAAGUGGUCUCAUUGAUGUUGCUGCUGAACCUUUUGAAGGUGUUAAUGUGGAUGACUUGUUUGGUCUGAGAAGGCCGAUAGGUUUUGAUCGCCGCCGUCAGACAAGUAGGUCUUCCUUUGAGCGAUCUGUUGCAGAAGCAAAUGGAUUUCAACAUCCUCUCCUUUUAAGACCAUCCCAGUCUGGGGAUUUGGUCUCAAUGUGGUCAGCAGGUGGAAAUUCAUCCAGGGAUUUAGAAGCUCUGUCAUCAGGGAGCUUUGAUGUUGCUCAUUUCUACAUGUUUGAUGCUCCUGUUCUACCUUAUGAUCACGUACCAAGCAAUCUUUUUGGUGACCGGUUGAGUGGUGCUGCACCCCCACCAUUGACUGAUUAUUCAGUAGGUAUGGACUCAUUGCAGUUAUCGGGGAGAAGAGGGCCAGGUGAUGGUCGAUGGACUGAUGAUGGCCAGCCUCAAGCAGGUCCUCAAGCUGCUGCUAUUGCACAAGCAGUGGAGGAACACUUUAUAUCGCAAUUACGCAGUCUUGCUCCAGCUGAUAUCCCUGCUGAACGACAGUCCCAGAACUCAGGAGUGCAGGAGAAACAGCCAGAUCUCCCUCCUUUAAGUGAUAGUCAAGUAGCAGGGGAGUGCAAUGACAGCCAUGAAAGAAAUGAAGAUCAGCGUCAAGAUGGGGUUGAUGAAACAACACAUCAAGUUAACUCAAGUUCUGACACUGCUCCCUGUCAAGAACAAGUCAAUCCAGAAUCUAUAGUCGAAGGUGCAGGGGAGUUCUUACAAGCACCUGAACCAAUGUCAAUUAUGCCACCUUCAACGAACAGUACACCAAGCGAUAGCAUGGACAUUGGUGAUGGAAAUGGUGCUGCUGGUGAGCAAGUAGGGUCAGUGCCAGGUUCUGUCAACUCGUCUGCAGAAAUAAGUGCUGGUUUACAAUGUGAAGGGGGUUCUGUGCCUUCUAAUCCCCAUGAUGUUACUGUGGAGGCUGUGGGUUGUGAUAGAUCCUCAAGAGCAGAGGGUCAGGUUGGUAAUGUGUCGGCAAGUUUGGGUUUCAAUGUGCCUAAUCCAGGUGAUUCUCAUACUUCUUUGGUGCCAACAAAUAUUGACGUUGAUAUGAAUUACAUUGGUGAAAUAAAUGAAUUGGCCAUCCCAUGCCUACUUUUGAAAAUCGUACAGUUGAACCAUCAAGGGAAAACACAACUGUUGCUCCAGAAGCUAAUCAGGCUGAACAAGAUUUGAAUAAUGAGGCUGCUGGUGCUAAUACAAUUGAUCCGACCUUCUUGGAUGCUUUACCUGAAUAUUUGAGGGCCGAAGUUCUUGCUUCACAACAAGCUCAGCCGGUUCAACCUCCAUCUUAUGCACCACCUUCUGCAGACGACAUUGAUCCUGAGUUUUUAGCAGCCCUUCCUCCAGAUAUCCAAGAAGAAGUUUUGGCUCAACAAAGAGCACAAAGGGUUGCACAUCAGGCUGAGGGACCAGUUGACAUGGACAACGCUUCAAUAAUUGCUACUUUUCCUGCUGAUUUACGUGAAGAGGUUUUCAUCUGGAACUGCAUCUUUCAUGACCUUGAUUGUAAUGAUUAUUUGUCUUAUAUAUGUAAUUUUUCUCUUGGUCCAGGUACUUUUAACUUCUUCAGAAGCAGUUCUGUCUGGAUUGCCUUCUCCAUUGCUCGCUGAAGCCCAAAUGCUAAGAGACCGAGCAAUGAGUCAUUAUCAGGCUCGCAGCCUUUUUGGAACCAGCCAGAGGCUAAACAACCGGAGAAAUGGAUUGGGUUUUGAUCGGCAGACGGUGAUGGACAGAGGUGUUGGAGUCACAAUUGGCCGGAGGGCAGUUUCUGCUCUUGCAGACAGCUUAAAGGUUAAGGAAAUCGAAGGAGAGCCACUUCUGGAUGCCGAUGAAUUGAAAGCCUUAAUUAGGCUAUUACGAUUAGCGCAGGUAAAUUCAUAUUCCAAUUAAUGGUAAUUGGAGUGUUUAUAACUGGUUAUGAAAGUUUUAUGUUUCGUUGAAAUAUGAAUAUUAGGUUUUCUUUUUAAAAAAUCCAUAUAUGGUUAGAAAGUUUGGAGGUUUGAACAAAUUUAUGUGUACUAUAUAAGUGUUAAAGCUCCUGUUGAUGGGAAUAAUAAUGUGUAAAAAACGUCAUAUGAAGAAUUUUCGGUUGGCUGAAGAGUAGAAAACCAAGUGGGUUAUAUUUUCUCAAUUUGUGCUUUAAAAGACCUCAAAAUAACGCAUUAUUUGAAAAUCGCAUGUACACAUACAUGUACUACUUUUUUUUUUUUUUUUUCUACAUACUGUCACAUAAAAUCAUUCAUUAAAUGACUAUCUUCUGCUAACAUGAUCCAUUUAUUUUUUUGUGUGUGGUUAGCCCCUGGGCAAAGGACUCUUGCAGAGGCUCUUGUUGAACUUAUGUACCCAUAGCGUUACACGAGCAAUCUUAGUUCGUCAUUUGCUUGAUAUGAUCAAACCUGAGGCUGAGGGCUCAGUCGGUGGAUUAGCAGCUAUUAAUGCUCAAAGGCUUUACGGUUGCAAUUCAAAUGUUGUUUAUGGUCGAUCACAGUUGUUAGAUGGUAAGUCAUCUGACGCUCCAACAGUUAUCUGCAAUACAUUUGUUUCUUCUAUUUAUGGACUAACAAUUUGUUUGCUUUAUAUUCAUUUUCAAUAGGUCUUCCUCCCUUGGUGCUACGUCGAAUUCUUGAGAUCUUGACUUAUUUGGCCACAAAUCAUUCUGCUGUGGCAAAUAUGUUAUUCUUCUUUGAUUUCUCUGGUGUUCCUGAGUCAUUAAGCCCUAUCCAUAUGGAAACCAAGAAGGACAAAGGCAAGGAGAAAAUUGGAGAAGGAGGAUCUUCAUCAAAACCAUCUGGAAACACCCAGGAUGUGGACAUUCCCCUGAUAUUGUUCCUGAAGCUCCUGAACCGACCUCAUUAUGGCACUGCUCAUCUUGAGCAGGUACUACCUACUCUAUGGUUAACCAGUUUAAAAUGACCUCGUGGAGAGAUUAGCUGCUGUUUGUCUAUUCAUUUAAAAGUGUAGUGUGUAAAUCCCUUGGUAGUUGUUAGGUAUCCACAUAUUUAGUACUUCAACUUGAGAGCUUAUAUGAAUUUAAGAUUGGAGUAAUUCAAUUGUUUGUAAUGUUUGACUCGUUAACUAUUCUGGACAAAGGCUAGUACCUGCUCCAUAACUUUAUUUCUCUCCUUAAAAAUUAAGAAAAAAACUAAGUAUAUGGUAGAGAACGUGUGUAUUGCUUGCCGUAUCUCUAGUUGUACAUGUGGAGUCAUAAUCUUGAUUAUUUUAUUGCUGAAGCAUGUCCUACAGCAUGAUCCUUUCAAAAAAAAUUAUAAUUCAGCACCAUCUCAUGUUUUUAAUUUUUUUUUUUUGUGUGCUACAGGUGAUGGGCCUGCUUCAGGUUGUUGUGUAUACUUCAGCUUCAAAAUUAGAGGGCCAGUCUCAAUCUGAGAGGGCAGAUAAGCCUGUUGGUGAAGCUUCAGGAGAUGGUCAAAAGGUUCCUCCUUUGGAAUCAGAAUCUAAUCAGGGAGAGAAGCCUGUUAGUGGUGAAUCAUCAACUUCAGAUGGAAAGAGGAGUACGGAUACAUAUAAUGUUUUCUUGAAGCUGCCAGAAUCUGAUCUACACAAUCUUUGCAGCCUUCUUGGUCGUGAGGGGUAUUAUUAGCUCACUAAUUCUUAUAUGUUCAUUCUUUGAACGUAGAUGCAGUAUUUGUCAGAUUAACUACUCUCUUCUUUGUGCUACUAUAUGAACUGUGUUUUUAUGAGUGUCUAAUCUGAGUCCAUUUACUUGAUUAGGCUUUCAGAUAAACUUUAUAUGCUUGCUGGUGAGGUCUUGAAGAAGUUGGCCUCAGUUGCAGCACCCCAUCGAAAACUAUUUGUCUCAGCGCUGUCAGAACUGGCUCAUCGCUUGAGUGCCUCAGCUGUUGGUGAGCUUGUUACUCUCCGGAACACACAUAUGCUGGGUUUGAGUGCCGGAUCAAUGGCUGGGUUAGCAAUCCUACGUGUAUUACAAGCACUUUGCUCUCUCACUUCACCUAGGGCUAGUGAGAAUUCAGGAUUGGAGAAUGAUGCGGAUCAGGAGGAGCAUGCCAUCAUGUGGAAACUAAAUGUUGCACUUGAGCCACUGUGGCUAGAAUUAAGCAACUGUAUAAGUGCGACUGAAACAGCACUGGGUCAGAGUACUUUUUGUCGAACCAUGUCUAUAGUAAAUACUGGGGACCAUGCACAGGGUUCUUCUUCGUCUCCUCUCCCUCCUGGAACCCAGAGACUCCUGCCUUUUAUGGAGGCUUUUUUUGUUCUGUGUGAAAAGCUACAAGAGAACCUCUCUACUAUGCUGCAAGACCAGGCGAAUGUGACUGCAAGAGAAGUCAAAGAGUCCUCUGGAAACUCAGAUCCUUCAACUACCAAGUGCCACAGUUGUGGGGAUUCUCAGAGAAAGCUUGAUGGUGCUAUUACAUUUACAAAGUUCGCUGAGAAGCAUCGCCGGCUUUUAAAUGCUUUUAUCAGGCAGAAUCCAGGUUUGUUGGAGAAAUCCCUUACUAUGAUGCUGAAGGCACCAAGGCUAAUUGAUUUUGAUAACAAAAGAGCAUAUUUCCGGUCAAGAAUUAGGCAGCAGCAUGAGCAACAUCUCUCUGGUCCUCUGAGAAUAAGUGUUCGGCGGGCAUACGUUUUGGAGGAUUCUUAUAAUCAGUUGCGCAUGCGGCCUACUCUGGACAUGAAGGGACGAUUAAAUGUCCAAUUCCAAGGGGAAGAGGGUAUUGAUGCUGGAGGUCUGACACGAGAGUGGUAUCAAUUACUGUCAAGGGUCAUAUUUGACAAGGGGGCAUUGCUUUUCACCACCGUAGGAAACAAUGCAACUUUCCAGCCAAACCCUAAUUCUGUCUACCAGACAGAACAUCUGUCUUAUUUUAAAUUUGUGGGCCGUGUGGUAAUUCUUCUGGACUAUUAUUGACUUUUUGAAACUGACUUUAUAAGCUUCUUCCGUCUGUGUUAGAUUUUUCUUUAACUUUUGCUGCUGUGAUAAUUUAUUCAGGUUGCAAAGGCACUUUUUGAUGGGCAACUUUUGGAUGUUUAUUUCACUCGAUCCUUCUAUAAGCAUAUACUUGGUGUAAAGGUGACUUACCAUGAUAUAGAGGCUGUGGAUCCUGAUUACUACAAGAAUUUAAAGUGGAUGUUAGAGGUUAGCGUGCUUUUGAUCACACUCUGAUUUUUAAGAGUUCAAGGUUGGAUUGGAAUGGGUUUCGUUGUAGGUUUUUAUAUCUUUUUAACUGAUCUAAAAUGUGUCAUAUUCGUUAUUCUGAAAUUCUCUGCAGGAUUAAGACUCAGUUCCUCUAUUGCGUAAGUUUCUUUAAUUUGAUUUUUUUUCUCGUGUCCAGAAUGACGUGAGUGAUAUUCCUGACCUGACGUUUAGCAUGGAUGCGGAUGAAGAAAAGCAUAUCCUUUAUGAGAAAAACCAGGUAUUUGAAUUUAUAUGUUACUUUUAAGUUCUGUUCUUUAUUUUUGAAAGCUUUUGGGUUUUCACGUAGUGUUAUUGUAAAGUCUUUACUUAAAUGCCAAUCUGAUUUUCAUUCAAUGUUAUAACAUUAAAUUGAGCUCGCGGGUUUGACUAAUGUUGUACUUGUUUGUUGUGUUUUCCUUUCUUUAUACCUUCUUGAAAAGGUUACUGAUUAUGAGCUGAAACCUGGAGGAAGAAAUAUUCGGGUUACAGAAGAGACGAAGCACGAGUAUGUUGACCUUGUAGCUGAACAUAUCUUGACAAAUGCUAUCCGACCUCAAAUUACUUCCUUCAUGGAGGGGUUUAAGGAAUUGGUCCCGCGAGAGCUUAUCUCAAUUUUCAAUGACAAGGAGCUUGAGCUACUUAUCAGUGGUCUUCCAGAGAUAGAUUGUGAGUUGCAUUUAAAAUGAGCUUAUUACAUAAUUGAUAUGGUCUUUUGUUUCUCUUGUGAUAUCUGAAUGGUGGCAUUGUCCUUACAGUGGCUGAUUUGAAGGCCAAUACCGAGUACACUGGCUACACAUCAUCAUCUGAUGUUGUUAAAUGGUUCUGGGACGUGGUUGAAAGUUUCGACAAGGAGGACAUGGCAAGACUGCUGCAAUUUGUGACUGGAACAUCAAAGGUAACUGUUUGUACUACAAAAGAAAUAUGAAAAUAGUAUAUAUACUUCUCCAUAUCCGCUGGUUCACGACUAAAAGGGAUUUUGUAUGUGCUUUUGUACUUUCUGAGUGUAUGCGACCCCUCUUUUCCCUUGUCCCAUCCCUUUUUCCCAACAACCCAACCCCUCCCUUUAUAAUGUUCAUAACUUUUUUAAAGGGUCCGUUGAAGUGUGACUUGCGUUGAUUUUACCUUGAUAUCAUUUGUCAAUUUCAUUUCCUUUUUUUCACAGGGUCCGUUGGAAGUGUGACUUGCGUUGAUUUUACCUUGAUAUCAUUUGUCAAUUUCAUUUCCUGUGAACAUGGUUUUUCACAAUGCGCAUGUUGUCUCAUUGAACUUUGCCAUUGUAUAAUGAUUGGAGAUGGCAUGCGUAGCUAAUGAUUUAAAUGUAUGCUUGCAACAUGAUGCAUAUGUGGGGGCAAAUUUUUGUACUCGGUAAAACUAACAUAUUUGUGACUUUCAGGUUCCAUUGGAAGGUUUCAGGGCUUUGCAAGGUAUCUCUGGUCCUCAGAAAUUUCAGAUCCACAAGGCUUAUGGAGCUCCUGACAGGCUACCUUCUGCUCAUACAUGGUUAGUGUAAACAUAAUUUGAAAAAGUUAGUUUCUUUGAAAAAGUCAGUUUCUUUGUCCCCUUCACAUUCUCGUCAAGCUCGAUGUUUCUAAUGUAGUCCUAUGUCUUUUCCAGCUUUAACCAGCUAGACCUUCCUGAGUACACCACCAAAGAACAGCUUCACGAACGAUUGAUACUUGCUAUUCAUGAAGCUAGUGAAGGAUUUGGCUUUGGUUGACAGAAGGAAUCUCAGCAGAUAUUUCCCCAGCAUUCCAGUCAUCGGUCGUAUAGUUAGCAUGUACAUGUCAGUUCGACAUCUUUUUUCUUUCCUUAUUUCGAAAACCUUGGUUAAUCUUUUCUGAAAUCAACUUAAUUGUAAUUCGUUUGUUUCUUUCUUAUUCUCCACCAUUCUUUGCGCAGAUGAAAGAACCCGGUUCCUGAAUUUUGUCUUCCAGUAUUACAGCAACUUCUGAGGAAACCGAUGAUGGAUUUUGUAAAGAAUUCCGAAAGCAUUAUCUAUUGACGGGAGGCCGGCAAGCUUCUCAGGUGACAAUGGAUUGGAAUCUUAGAAAUUCUUUAGCGAAUUCUUUACAUGUCGGAAAAUUGGGGAUUCGGUACAGAUGGACGUGGAUAGAAAAUCUGUUUUGGUGUUCAUAGUAGAUAUCUGUUUUAGAUUAGUCAGUUUUCACUUUCUCCGACCUGAAUGUUUGGUAAUAAGCCUAGGAACAUAUUUAUGUAUAUGUAAUUCCAGAUGGUUUCUUUUGGGUUUCAAUUUAUUUAAAGGCGAGAAGGUGAUUCCAAUUUUGCUCCUUCAAUUUUAUUUGUGCACUCGGACAUGCUGACAUGCCCUCUUGUUCGUGGUUCUUGCGAGAGAAACUCGUCUGGCUUUGGCGGUAUCCUAAGCCAAACCGUGUUUUGUCAUUUGCUAAUGGCAAUGCAUGAUUAGCUUAGGAUACUGUAACAAUUACAUCCUCUUUCCUGAAAGUCCUCGUGAUUUGCCGGAUUCGUAACCAUUUUUCGACAAUGCAGUACGCAAAGGGGAGUAUUCUGGCCAAUUUGCCUGACUCGCGUAUGCACGACACCAUCCGUGUAGCCUUUUUGCCAUGAUUUUCUGUAAUUUUUCUUUGAACGUUCUAGAAAAUUAUGCUUAAAAAAGCUCCACACUUGAAAAUUUAUUAGUUUUCACGAAUGGAGCAAAAAUGCUUGAUUUUCCGUUGACAUUUGCUUUGAAAUACAGAGAAAAGAAGGGAUAAGAAAGGAAGGGUUUGUUCGACAUUGCCUUUGGAUGCUUUAGGCAACGUACAAUGUGGUUAGGAUUAUAAAAACAUUUUUUUAGUACUUUUGGGACAAGGUUCUUCGAUAAGUACUUCUAAAUGCUGUUCCACAAGAAAUUGGAUUCUUCAUGAAGAAAAUGGAAGUGUUGUUGCAUUCUCGUUUUCACCUCUACACUUCCACGUCCACCCCACCUCAGCCGUACAAUUGAUCCUAAUGACCAGUUUGGCACUCACCCCCUCCUACUCCACUGUGUUCCUAGAGCUAUUCUUUCCAGAAACGUCCCCAGUGAUCGCAAAGACGAGCGAAGGGAUGAGCAUUACUAUCUGCAUUAUGACAACCAUGCUUUUGAUUUGUACUGCAAGCUAGAAUUUCCAAUUGUUCCCAAGAUGAACGAAUCAAUUCGCGUGGUUGGCAUCUGUAAUGGGCUGGUGUUCCUUGCAGUUGCAGAUGAUACACUCACUUUGGCUAACACCUUCAUAAUAUUCAACCCAUCUAUGAGAAAGUCGGUGACCCUUCCUAAGCCGACAAUUGGUCGGUACCGUACUUGUAUUGGUUUUGGGUUUGACGCUGUGACUAAUGACUACAAAGUUGUGAGAUUUGUCACUGAUCGUCCGAAUACUUUUCAUGAGGAUUAUUCACUUGCUGGAGGCUCAUGGAGUAAUCCUCGUUCUUUGGAUCAUGUGUGCGAAGUUAUGGAUCCUCUCAAAUCCCAAGCUUUUGUAAAUGGGGCGAUUCACUGGGGGGCAUGGCGCCGCUUAACAAACAGUUAUGAAUAUAUCAUUUUGGCAUUUGACGUGGGCAGCAAUUCAUUUCACAGGAUCAUGGUGCCAAUGAGUUUCAGUAACUCAUGGACCGCGCAAUUGUCUGUUUCAGGUGACGGGAAAUCCAUUGCUCUGUUCCAGCCUUAUUUCAUCUGUAUUGGAGAGCCUCGUCUUAUUGUGAGUUCUUAUCCUCCGUUAUUGACUGUUUCGUUUUUGUUGUAUUUCCUCACUCACUCUGUGUCUACGAAAUUGGCAGCCGGGGAAGUGAAGUUUGAAGCAAUGGUUAGCAGUUUGCCCAAGGAAAUCGUACAUGAUAUCGACUACCUCCUAAAGCUUUGAUCAGGUGCACCUCGGUGUGCAAGCCUUGGAACUCCACGAUAAAAAAAACCCCCAGCUUUAUUCGCACCCAUCUCAGUCGUAACAUCACUCUUAAUAACCAGCUUGGCACCCACCUCCUCCUUCUGCACUGUGUUCGCGGAGACAAUCCAGUGCAGCAGAAUUAAUAUUUGCAUUAUGAUAACCCUGGUUUUGAUGAGUACUGCAAGCUACAAUUUCCAAUUGUUCCCAAGCGCAAUAGAUUCCUUCGCGUGGUCGGCAUUUGUAAUGGGUUGGUCUUCCUUGCAGAUGACAGACUCCAUUUAGGUUACACCUUCAUAAUAUUCAACCCGUCGAUAAGAAAGUCAGUGACCCUUCCAGAGCCUCACCUUGCCUUCGACACAAUUGGCCCGUAUUCCGCUCUUGUUGGGUUUGGUUUUGAUGCUGUGAUCAAUGACUACAAGGUUGUGAGACUCCUGACCGAUCAAUGCGAGGAUCCAAAUACUUUUUAUGAGGUUUAUUCACUUGCUAGAGGCUUGUGGAGUAGUCCUCGUUCUUUUGACCCCGUUUGUAAAGUUUUUGAUUCUCUCAAAUUUCAGACUUUUGUGAACGGGGCUGUUCAUUGGCAGGCACGGCGCUGCUUGGACGAUGGCCGUUAUCAAAAUUUCAUUUUAGCAUUUGAUGUGGACAGUGAGUUAUUUCACGAGAUAAAGGUGCCAAAGAGUUUUAGACAGGAUAAACCAUUAGAUUAUCACCUGUCUGUUUCAGGUGAUGGAAACUCCAUUGCUGUGUUCACGAUGCCGCGGGGUCGUAAUUGUACUGAGGAUUUUCUUGACAUAUGGGUGAUGACAGAGUAUGGCAUCGAGGAUUCAUGGGCCAAACUGAUAACUCUAAGUCCACCGGAUCCAGAAAGCAGGGUGCCCUACAAGCCCUUAUGUUUUAGGAAGAGGGGUGAAGUAGUGUUGGUAUCGACUGAUGACUAUGGCAAUAUGCAUGAAUUAGUUUCUUUAGACCUUGUGAGCAAACAAUUUAAAAAUCUUGGGAUUCGCGGAUAUGGAUAUUACUAUGCUGAACCUUAUGAGGAGAGCCUCGCCUUACUUGACAAUGUCGAUGCAGUUUCUUACAGAGGAGCAGAUCAGGUAAUGUUAUAUCUAGCAUUGGUCUUCCUUUUUGUUUGGAUUUUCUUCUUGUUAUAUAUUUACGUCCAAGGUUCCAACUGUGUGUGACAUGAUAUGAGCUUUAACCCCAGAACAAAGUUAUAUGUGUGUUAAUUUGUUACUUGAUUUAAUUACGCAUAGCUUGCUGAAGUGUAAUCGUUGACAUCAUUCAUUCGCCCUUCGUGCAGGUAGAAAAAGAUGAGGCAGAUAGAUUUCAAGUCCUUGACGAUGCCGUUGUAAUGAAUGUGCUCAAUCUGCUGCUCAGUCAUCGUUUAUCUUGACUAUAUCACUUGUAUUUUGACGUCGACUAGUAAAAAGACGUCGCAUGUGUUGUGCUAGGAUAGCACCAAACCCGUUGGAACCAACUCAAGCUAACCCACAGGAAAUUUAUCAAAUGAAAAUGCAAGAACAAAAUAUUAAAGAACACCAAGAUUUUAACGAGGUUCCUCAACAGUCAGUGUAACUGGAGUACGUCCUCGGAGCAGUAGGAGCUCACCCAAUAAUCCACUAUCAACCAAAUGGGAGUUUACAAAGUGUUGGCAAUCUCACAACCCAAAUAACCCAAUACACCCAAUAUCUCUCACACACCAAAGAAACAAAUAGAAGAAGAAAUAUAAUGAAUAAGUUAUUCUCUAUACAUAUAGCUCAAAGCUAUUACAACAACACCUAUUUUGGUGGAUGAUUACUAACCAAAUGAAGCAGCAGCUUCUUCUUCCUUUUGGGCUCUCUGCAGAAAAAAACUCUAACUUCUCUCUGCAGCUCUCUCUUCUCUCUUCAGCUCUCUCAACUGAAAAAUGAGAGUUGCAUCUCUUUUCUUCUAUCCGAAACAAACCUCAAUAAUUAUGGUUAAUAAAAAAACCACAAAAGAAAAAAAAACAUCAUCAUGAUGUCUCCUCAUCAUGAUGUUUCCUCAUCAUUUUGUCUUUCUUUUUCUUUUGCUUUUUUUAAUAGCCGAAAGUAUUGGCCAUAAUUCAACAAUCUCCACCUUGGCCAAAUUUCGAAAACACCAUGAUAAGCCACCAACACAAUCAACACAAAAAAAAUCACUCCCAAACACUAGCAAGAGAACAACUCAUGCCGAGCCAAAUGCUCCAAAACUCCUACUACUCAACGCCUUCUUUAUAUAGGCAAAAUGUGAGCCAAGUUCAAACAAUGAACAAACUUGGCUACACCAACAACCUUAGUCAACAUAUCAGCGGGGUUGUCUUUAGUUGGAAUCUUCUGGAGAAUGAUUUCCCCUUCACCAACAAUUUCACGAACAAAGUGAUAACGCACAUCUAUGUGCUUGGUCCUCGCAUGAUGAACCUGAUACUUAGCCAAAUAAAUGGCACUCUGACUAUCACAAUGUACCUCCACCUGCUUCUGAUCAACCCCCAAAUCUCUAAUCAGCCCAUGUAUCCAAAUGGCCUCCUUUAUAGCUUCAGCAACUGCCAUAUAUUCAGCCUCUGUAGUAGACAAGGCAACAGACGACUGCAAAAUAGACCUCCAACAAACUGGUCCUUUAGCCAUAGUAAACACAUAGCCUGUAGUAGACUUCCUACCAUCCAGAUCACCUGCAUAAUCUGAAUCAACAUAACCAACUGCAAAAUGACCAAUACCAGAGUCAUCUCUCUCAAAGCAUAAACCAACAUCUUGAGUACCAUGGAGAUACCUCAAUAUCCACUUAACUGUUUGCCAAUGCUCUUUACCUGGAUUAUGCAUAUAUCGACUCACCAUGCCAACUGCAUGAGCAAUAUCCGGUCUAGAGCAUACCAUUGCAUACAUCAAACUACCAACCAAAUUUGCAUAUGGUAUAUUUUUCAUUUGCAGCUUCUCUUUAUCAGUUUUAGGACACUGUAAAGAACUCAAUUUAAAAUGAGGAGCCAAAGGGGUACUAACCGGUUUGGUUGAAUCAUGAACUCCAAAUUUCCGAAUCAACUUUUCAAGAUAUUGUCUUUGAUUCAAACUGACCAAACCCUUCUCUCUAUCUCUAGUGAUCUCCAUGCCAAGGAUCUUCUUCGCUUCACCAAGAUCCUUCAUCUCAAACUCAUUCUUCAUUUGCUUCUUCAAUUUCUCAAUCUCUUCAACAUUCUUUGAGGCAAUCAACAUAUCAUCAACAUAUAUCAACAAAUAAAUGAAAGACCCAUCUUGCAACUUCUUGAAGUACACAAAAUGAUCAUAUUGACUUCUAGAAUAAUUUUGGCCUCUCAUAAAUUUAUCAAACCUCAAAUACCAUUGCCUUGGAGAUUGCUUCAAGCCAUAUAGUGAUUUCUUCAAUUUGCAAAACAAGUUCUCCUUCCCUUUCAUUAUAUACCCAUCCGGUUGACACAUAUAGAUCUCUUCAUUCAAAUCACCAUGUAGGAAAGCCGUCUUCACAUCGAGUUGCACAAGCUCAAGAUCAUAUUGUGCAACAAGGGCUAACAUAAUACGAAUUGAGGAGUGCUUCACAACUGGAGAAAAUAUUUCAUUGUAGUCAAUGCCCUCCUUUUGUGCAUACCCUUUAGCAACUAAUCUUGCUUUAAAUCUCACAUUGCUUUUCUCAUCAUCAUCUUCCUUCUUGGCAUACACCCAUUUGCAACCAAUAGCUUUCUUGCCCUUAGGCAAUUUAGCUAACUCCCAAGUCUUGUUCUUCAAGAGAGAAUUCAUCUCAUCACCCAUGGCAUUGCACCACCUCUUCUUCUCCUCACUCUCAAUAGCUUCCUCAAAAUUGGAUGGAAUCUCUUCAGUGAUAAUAGGAAGAGCAAAAGCAACAUAGUCACUAUACCGAGCUGGCUUGGUAAUUUGUCUCUUUCCUCUGUUCUUGGCAAUAGACUCUUGAGGUGAAACUUGCUCUUCAACUUGAAUAGAAUCUUCAAGUUCAACUUCUUCAACAUCCUCAUGGUCUCCAACUUCCUCACUUGUAGUGGCUUCGACAUCAGCGGAAAUAGGAUUUGAAGUACCAGAGGCAACUUUCUCAAGCUCCACCUGUUGGACAUUUUUCACAUUCUUCUCAGAGCCUUUGUACAUACUUUCUUCAUCAAAUGUCACAUCUCUGCUGAUUACAAGUUUCUUCAAUUCUGGGCACCACAACCUGUAACCUUUGACACCACUACUAAAACCAAGAAAGAUAGCCUUUUUGGCUCUAGGAUCAAGUUUAUUUUCAGUUACAUGAAAAUAAGCAGGUGAACCAAAAAUAUGAAUAUGAUCAUAAUCAGAAGAAGGUUUUCCAGUCCAUACCUCCAUUGGUGUCUUACCCUGAACAGCAGCUGAGGGUAACCGGUUGAUGAUGUGACAUGCAUAAUUAACUGCCUCUGCCCAAAAUGACUUGCUUAAACCCGAUUGAGACAACAUACAUCUAACCUUCUCAAGCAAGGUUCGAUUCAAUCUUUCUGCAACUCCAUUUUGUUGUGGAGUUCCUCGAACACUGAAAUGUCUCACAAUUCCUUCCUCUUUGCAAACUUUAAAGAAAGGAUCGGAUGUGUAUUCACCACCAUUAUCCGAUCUCAAAAUCUUAAUCUUUCUCCCAGUCUGAUUCUCAACCAUUUUCUUCCAACCCAAGAAAAUGCACAACACCUCACUCUUGUGCUUCAUAGUGUAGACCCAAGACCUUCUUGAAUAAUCAUCAACAAAUGUCACGAACCAAUGUCUACCACUCAAAGAGGGAGUCUUUGUAGGACCCCAAACAUCCGAAUGCACAUAAUCAAGAAUGCCCUUUGUCUGAUGUACAGCAGUACCAAACUUCACUCUAGUUUGUUUCCCCAAGACACAAUGCUCGCAGAAAUCAAGCUUACAAGUCGUGGCACCUUUUAGAAGACCUUGUUUCACAAGCCCUUGUAGAGCUUUCUCACCGGCAUGGCCUAAUCUCAUAUGCCACAGUCUAGUAGUAUCUGAAUCAGAUGUGCCCAUAUUUUCAGAGACUACAGAUGCUUCACCUGUCACAGUGCUUCCCUGCAAUAAAUACAAAUGACCACAUCUAGGAGCUUUCAUCACAACAAGUGCACCAUAAGUAACUUUCAAUGUCUGUCCAUCUGAAUGAAACCUGAAACCCUUGGAUUCCAAAGUACCCAAAGAAAUAAGAUUUUUCUUCAAAUUCGGUACAUACCGAACACCUGUCAACUCUUUAACCAUGCCAUCAUGCAACUUCAAACGAACUGUACCAAUCCCUUUUGUUGUGCAAGGAUUGUCAUCUCCCAUGAACACAACGCCACCAUCAAACUCUUUCAAGCUUGAAAACCAAUCUUUGUGAGGAGUCAUAUGAUGAGUACAACCCGUAUCUAACACCCACUUAGUAGCACAAUCAAAUGAUGAGGAAGUGGUUAAAGCAAAAUCAGAAAAAUCUGUUUCAACCUCAGCAACAUUAGCUUCAGAACUUUCUUUUCCUUUGGUCUUCAACUUAGGACAAUCUUUCUUCCAAUGGCCCUUAUUAUGACAAAAGGCACAUUCAUCCCUUUCUAAAUGUUUUCUACCUUUAGAGUUUCCUCUAGGUCGAGACUGUGAUUUUUUCCUACUAGUAGAGGACCUCCUCUCCGAUGAUCUACCUCUAACAAAUAAAGCUUCAGAGGUACUAUCAUGAUUUUUAUCUCUAUGCCUCAUUUCAUAAUUCAUCAAGGCAUUUGACACAUCUUCAAAUUUCACAGUUUCUUUACCAUGCAUAAUAGUGGUAACAAAAUGCUCAUAAGAGUCCGGCAAUGAAUUCAACAAUAUUAAGGCCUUAUCUUCAUCCUUAAUAUCCUCAUCUAAAUUUAACAAGUCGGCAAUCAACUUAUUAAAAGCAUCAAGGUGUCUAAUCAUUUUUGUACCUUCUUUGUAUUGGAAGCGGUAGAGCUUUUUCUUCAAGUGUAGCCGGUUCUCUGCAUUCUUCGUCAUAUACUUGUCUUCCAAUUUUUGCCACAACACACUUGCUACCGUCUCCCACAUCACAAAAUACUUCUGAGUUUUUGCAAGGCACAACCGAAUUGAAGAGCAAGCCCACAAAUUUAAUUUCUCCCAUUCCGACUUCGACAUAGCUUCCGGUUUUUCUCCCAAAACGGCAAGUAGAUCUUGUUGAGCCAACACAUCUUUAACCUCACAUUGCCACAUCCCGAAGUUGUUUGUGCCAUCAAACUUUUCCACUUCGAACUUUGCAUUUUGCACCGUAGUUCUUGCAAACCCGGAGGUGCUUCCAAAAGGAUUUUCAUCUUGCCCAUCUGACAUCUUUGGCAACUAGACAGUACCCAAGAGCAACCAGUGCUCUGAUACCAAUUGUUGUGCUAGGAUAGCACCAAACCCGUUGGAACCAACUCAAGCUAACCCACAGGAAAUUUAUCAAAUGAAAAUGCAAGAACAAAAUAUUAAAGAACACCAAGAUUUUAACGAGGUUCCUCAACAGUCAGUGUAACUGGAGUACGUCCUCGGAGCAGUAGGAGCUCACCCAAUAAUCCACUAUCAACCAAAUGGGAGUUUACAAAGUGUUGGCAAUCUCACAACCCAAAUAACCCAAUACACCCAAUAUCUCUCACACACCAAAGAAACAAAUAGAAGAAGAAAUAUAAUGAAUAAGUUCUUCUCUAUACAUAUAGCUCAAAGCUAUUACAACAACACCUAUUUUGGUGGAUGAUUACUAACCAAAUGAAGCAGCAGCUUCUUCUUCCUUUUGGGCUCUCUGCAGAAAAAAACUCUAACUUCUCUCUGCAGCUCUCUCUUCUCUCUUCAGCUCUCUCAACUGAAAAAUGAGAGUUGCAUCUCUUUUCUUCUAUCCGAAACAAACCUCAAUAAUUAUGGUUAAUAAAAAAACCACAAAAGAAAAAAAAACAUCAUCAUGAUGUCUCCUCAUCAUGAUGUUUCCUCAUCAUUUUGUCUUUCUUUUUCUUUUGCUUUUUUUAAUAGCCGAAAGUAUUGGCCAUAAUUCAACAGCAUGUACUCCGGAUUUUCUCCGGAUGCCUUGUGAUAUAUGCCGGAUGCUGGCUAGAGGAGAACAUUUUUCCUUCAGUUUGUCUGCUAAUUUACAGUCCUAGAAGAAGUUACUUAUCAUAACAUGUUGCCAAUGUUCAUGGAUAUAUACCGUUAUAUUAAUGAGUUUCUUUGAAAUUGUUUGUGAUAUUUUCGUGCCAAAUAGGACGAGAAGAAAAUUGCAUAUCUCAGUUUUUUAGCUCUCAUAAAGAUUUAUGUCUCUCUCGUUGCGAAACUUAUACUAUAAUUUUUGCUCCUAUGGUCUAUCAAAAUAAUAAUAUUUCAGUAGAUACUUAGUAGUUUAUUACCGUAAAUUUUGUGUUCAACUGAAAGCAGGGAGAACAAUGUGUACCUUUUUCUUUUCUUUUUUCCCAAUGAAUUUUUUAACUUCUUCCUCUACAACUAGGGGUGGGCAAUUGGAACCGAAAACCGAAACCGAAACACGAAUCGAAUCGAACCGCACCAAACGGUUUGGUUUUGCGGUUUUGAAACGGUUUCGGUUUCAAAACCAAACCGUGGCACACAAAACGGUUUGGUUUCGGUUUUGGGUUUUCAAAACCGCACCGAAACCAAAACCGCACCGUAUAAUAAAUAAUAAAACAAAUGUUAUAUAACUUAUAAUUUAAACUUUUCAACUAGGUUAUAACUUAUAGGUUUGGUUUUGCCGUGGGUUUGCACUUUGACUUAACUGCUUCUGCUUGCAUCUCUACUUCUGCCUUUGCAAUUGCAUUUUUGUUGCAUUAUUUUUUAGUGCAAUUUUGUGCAGUUUUGGUGCAGUUUUUGGUGCAGUUUUGCUGCUGUUUUUUAUGCAGUUUUGCUGCAUUUUUUUGGUGCAGUUUUGUGCAGUUUUGGUGCAGUUUUUGGUGGUGUUUGGGUGCAGUUUUUGGUGGUGUUUUGCUGCAGUUUUUUUUCUUCAGUUUUGACUCUUUUUUGCUGCAAUUUUACUGCAUAUUCAUUAAUUAAUAUACGAGGAAAAUAAGACCGUUUUAUGCAUAAAUAGGUGUAUAUUUUAAAUUGUACAUUUUUUUUCUCAAAAACCAAACCGAAACCGUUUGAAACCGCACCGCACCGAACCAAACGGUUUGGUUUUAUUUCGGUUUUGGCUUCAAAACCGCACCGCAAAAUGUUUCGGUUUCGGUUGUGGUUUCACUCGAAACCGCACCGCGCCCACCCCUAUCUACAACCCUUGCAUGUAGGUUUGGCAGUAAAAGAAGAGUUUCAGCGCAAUUAAAAUAAGGUUUUUUUAGCCAAAAUGGUCCCUGAAAUUUCAAAUCAAUAGAAGUGAUCCAUGAGAUUGUCUACUAUCCAUCAUUUUGGUCAUUCCGUUAAAAACUCCUUUAAGUGUCCCGGAGCUGUUGGCCGGAAGUUUUGGCAAUUUUCAAAGCUUCGUAACUCAAUCGUUUCUUAACCAAAUUUGACCCAUAAUAUAUCAAAAUGAAGAUAGGAAAGUGUAGAAUAAGAUUAUAACUAUUUAGAAGCCCAAUGGUUGCCGGAGAUGGUCGGAAAAUAGCCUCAAAGUUGACUGGUCCGAGGGAAAACUGGAAAACUGGCCGGAAACUGGGUAAACUUUAAAAGUUCAUAACUUCUUCAAUACUCAACGAAAUCAAGUGAUUCAAAAACAAAAAUCAUACUUCUCAAUGAGACAAAGAGAAUGGAACCUUUUUCAAUGGCUAACUCGCAGUGGUUUGGCCGAAAAACGGCUCAAAAUUGGCUAACUCGAGCCUAAGGCAGCCACUUUCGAGCCGUUUUCCGGCCAAACCACGGCGAGUUAGCCAUUUCAAAAGAUACCAUUCUCUUUUUCUCAUCGAGAAGUAUGAUUUUCAUUUUUGAAUCACUUGAUUUCGGUGAGUAUUGAAAAAGUUACGAACGUUUAAAAUCUACCCAGUUUUCCAGUUUUUCCUCGGACCAGUCAACUUUGAGGCUAUUUUCUAAUCAUCUUCGGCAACCAUUGGGCUUCCAAAUAGGUAUAAUCUUAUUCUACACUUUCCUAUCUUCAUUUUGAUAUAUUAUGGUCGAAUUUGGUUAAGAAAGAUUGAAUUACGAAGCUUUGAAAAUUGCCCAAACUUUCGGCCAAGAGCUCUGGGACAUUUAACGGAAUUUUUAACGAAAUGACCAAAAUAAUGGAUGGUGGCCAAUCUCAGGGACCAAAGUGAGGAGUUAUACAAAUCUCAGGGAUCAUUUUGGCUAAAAAGCCUUAAAAUAAUGGCGAACUAGUCUUUCGUUUUUUUAUGAACAAUAGGAUAAUCUACACUAAAUUAUUUUUUCGUCUUUUGUUAAAGGAUACAUUAAUUGAAAAAAAAAAACUUGAAGUGUUUGGGAUCAUUUAAAUUCCAAUUUCAAUAUAGCUAUUGGUUUAAGUAACAUAAUUUUUAGUUUAGGUACCAAUGAAAAAAAUCAACUAAAAUAAUUCUAUAAAUACUAUUAUAAUUCAAAAUAAUUAUAUAAUUGCUACGUUUUCCGACCAGCCAACUGUAUUCGCAACCACCUCACCCUUACUGUCAAUCUUAAUAACCAGGUUUCGACUAACCUCCUUGUACGGCAUUGUGUUUGCAUACAUGAGCCAAGGGAGGAGCAUUACUAUUUGCAUAUGAUAAAUAACCAUGUUUUUUAUGAGUACCGUUGGCUAGAAUUUCCAAUCAUUCCGAAGGGAUAAUCAAUCAAUUGCUUAUUAAAUAUUAUUUUCUCUAUUCUUAAUGUAAAUUUUAUAAUGACCGAUUUUAUUAUGUUAAUUACUUUAAUUAGUUUAUUAGAGGUUUCUUCUAGUAUAAUAUAAGAAUAUUUAUUUAUUUCCAAUAUUUAACUUUCCUUUUAUCAAUUUAUGCAUAUAAAUACAUUUAAAACGUGUAAGUCGCGCGUAGCACGUCGUGAUUCAAAAAAUGUCCUCUGCAUAAAGGCUAGUAAAGAGAAAGUAAAAAGAGGAAUCUGUCUUUUUGGGCAGAAAGAGGAAGACUUGUUAUAGUCUUUCAACACCUAAUCAUCAUCGCAAUUUGAAGAGCCUCGACUAGAUAAGAAGACGUCGCAUGUACUCGGGAUUUUCUCCGGGAUGCCUUGUGAUAUUCUGAUAUUGCUGCUGGAAAUAAAUGUUGGAACUUGUGAGUGGGACUUAGUCCCACAUCGCCCAAACACAUGGUGGAAGUCCACUUUAUAAGUCUUUUCCUUCCUUUAUGGUUUGAAAAGAAUUGGUCCAAAGCUAUGGACAUUGGCCUUACAAAUGGAGGUUUGAGUGUAUAUAUUAAGGGUAAAAGACUGUUUACUACCCUAAUGUUUCGUGGUUUUCAACAUUUAGUACAUCAUGUUUUUUUCGUCUCAGAGUCAUACCUAAAGUGUAAAUUUUGGGACAGUCUCAUACAUCCGUUAGUCAAACUGUUAAGUUUUUCGUUAACUGUGACGUGGCGCACUGAGUGGGCGUCAUCCACGUGUCAUGUUUUUUUUUUUUUUUUUUUUUUUUUUUUUUUUUUCUUCUUCUUCCUUCUUCUUGCUCCGACUGCAACUUUCUGUUUUUUUUUUUUUUUUUUUUUUUUUUCUUUCCUUUUCCUUCUUCCUUCCUUUUUCCUUUUUUUUCUUCCCCUUCUUCCUUCUUCUUCUUCUUCUUUCUUCCUCCGAAUUCUUUUUUUUUUUUUUUUUUUUUUUUCUUCUUCUUUCCUUCUUCCUUCCUUCUUCCUUCUUUCUUCUUCUUCUUCUUCUUCUUCUUCUUCUCCGAAAUCAGAUUCAUUUUUCUUUCUUUCUUCUUCCUUCUUCUUCUCCUUCUUCCUUCUUCUUCCCUUCUUCGUUCUUCUUCUUCUUUUCUUUUGGGGGAAGAUGAAAGUGUUUUUUUUUUUUUUUUGAGGAAGAAGAUGAAGAAGAGAAAGAAGAAAGAAAAAAAAGAAAAAAAAGAAAAAAAAAAAAGGAAAAAAAAAAAAAAAAAAGAAUGAAGGAAGAAAAGAAGAAGAAAAAAAAAAAAAAAAAAAAAAAAAAAAAAAAAAAAAAAAAAAAAACGAAAAAAGUGGAUGACAAAGAAAGAAACGAAGAUGGGUGAGAGCAAAACUAAAAAAAAACAAAAAACCACGGAGGAAGAAAAACAACUGUAAAAAAAUAAAAUUACACUUUUGAUCUCUGAGACGAAAAAAAACUUGAUGUACUAAAUGUUGAAAACAAAACACGAAAAAUUAGGGUAGUGAAAACAAACUCAGUUCUUUUACCCAUAUAUAAUAAAUAAGAAGGCCUUGGAAAGGAUAAAACUGAAAUAUCAAAGAUGGGCCUUGGAAAGGAUAAAACUGAUGACGAACAGUUCCAACCGUUCUAAAAACGGUACACUUGACAUUUGAUUUGUUUUAACAAUAAACAUUUUUCCUUCAGUUUGUCCGUUCUACCUAGAAAAAAGUUUGCAGUUAUCACAACAUGCCAAUAUUCAGUUAAUAUACUUAAUGAGUUUCUAUGAAAAUGUUCUUGAUAUUUUCGUGCCAAAUGGUGAGUGCAUUAUCUAUUUGUUCUAGCCUUGAUUUCUAGUUGCCCUCCAACCAUCAACGUUGCUUUUGCUUAAUUGCCAACCUUUCAUCUCUUAUUGUGCUUUCUUCUCAAUAUUCUCACACCUUCGUAGGACGAGAAGAAAAUUGUAUAUCUCAGUUUUAUAGCUCUAAUAAGAUUUAUAUCUCUCUCGUUACAAAACUUUUACAUUAAGUUUUCCUCCCAUGGUGUAUCAAAUAAUAAUAUUUCAGUAGAGACAUCUAUUACCAUAAAUUUUGUGCAAUUGAAAGCAGCGAGAACAAUACCUAUUAUUUUAUUUUAUUUUAUUUUUUCUCAAAGAAUUUUUUUGGUCAUUUUCCUCUGCAACCCUUGAGUUUCAAUCAACCCACACCCACUUUAUUUAUAAGAGUAAGGAGAACAAAUUUUUAAACCAAAUUUUGUAAAUAAAAUGAUACAUUACCAAUAGAAAAUAAGUACGUUAAUUAAUACUUGAAUAAUUUAGUCUCUCUAGCAUUAUCUUUAAAAUAAUGGCAAACUAAUUCUUUUGUUUUUUUUUUACGAAUGAUAGAAUAAUCUAUAUUAAACUAUUGUUUCGUCUUUUUUUCUUUUCUUUUUGUGAACGAUAAGACAAUAAACAAUUGAGAAAUUUUAUUUGAACUCAUACUUUGUAUCUCAACACUCAACUUACUUUUUAUAUUCACAUUGUAUUUGAUUUAUCUAUCAUUAUUUAUUUACACCCAACAUUAUUUUCGAAAUCGCCCUUACUUAUCAAAACCCAACUCAAUCAAACUUCUUUUUACACCCAACUCAAUCUACUUAAAAAUAAAAAAAAUUAAAACUCUAACCAGUCUAUCAUCUUCAUGGAGCAAAUCCCCUUCUCCCUCUUUAAAAAUCCUUCCAUCUCCCAUGGUUGUCAUUCUGCACCCCCAUCUACUUCUCCGUAGUCACUAUUUGGACCCGAUUUUAUACCAUCGGCCCAAGCGAUCGAGGCUGUUGAGUGAGCAUGGUUCUUAACCGUCAAUUAAGAUAAUUUGAUAUUGUUAAGAGAUAAUAUUAUGGUUUUUAAUCAUAAUAAUUAUCUUUUAAUAAAUUAUCUCAAUUUUCUUGUACAAAAUAAAUGGAAUGCAAAUCAUAACCUCAACGUAGAGGCAAGCAGAACAGUCCGAGUUAAUUUGGAUUUGUUAGCAGUGUACUAUGUGAAAUUAGAGCAGCUUGGCUUGGACUCUUCACGUGGCAUAACAUGGAUCUGCAAGUUUUGGAUAAUGGUGAAUAGAAAACCUAAGUAGGUUAGGUUGUUUGAUGAAUGUUGUCAGACGGAUAGGCUUUUGGAUGGGUGAUGGGUUAGGUUUUUAUUAGCUUUGAAAAGUCAACCAUUUGAAGAUAGGCUUUAAGCCUAUGUCACGGAUCAGUUUGAGUUUCAGUCGGUUUCUUCUUAUUAUCCAGGCCGUGCCAAACAGAAAAUAUGUUCAUAUAAAUACAGAGGUAAUUGCAACGCAUAGAGGACCUCCAACUCAACACACAAACUGCCAUGCGUAAACCCUUGCUCUACGCGAAACCUUUCAAACAUCUUGAGAUUUUUUAUUUUCUUUUUCGCCAACACAUCUUUAGUUUGGAUAAAUAGCACUAUGAAGGCAACCGAUGAAUAUCUUCAGUUUGGAUAAACAACAUUGUUACCGUAGAAUUAGCCGACCACAGAGCACCUUCAGUUUGGAUAAACAGCACUGCGUCAAGGCCGACUGGUUAUCUAUCCAAGUCUCAGUCGAGAAGGAUUUUGGAAUCCUUAUUGGCAGAUGUCAUCUCAUUAGCCUUUUCGGCCAAGUGAUGUGUUACAAGUUAUUACAUUCAGCACAUUGAAAGCCGAAUUUGAUAUUGAACUUUGCAGAACUAGCAGCCUUGUCUUCAGGCUCUAGAACCCGAAGGCUAAGAGUGUUCCUUCCUCGGCCGCAGUCCCGAGAUUCAAAAGUCAGCAGCGCACCCAACGUAACAUCAACAUAUUUUACUCCUCAGCCGAGCUCGGCCGACGAGUUGGCACGCCUCGCACACAACUGAAUGACGUAGUUAGCUUAUUAAUUACUCGGCUUGCGUGCCACAUAGGCUUAGUAGUUUUUAGGGUCAACAUCACCUAAACCUCUUCCUCUUCCUUUUCUUCAUCAUUUGACAUCUCUAAAUUUCUAGAGCACUAAUUAGCUUAAUAAUCAGUAUGAGCUUCUGGUUAGAGUGUUUAAUGAGUUUGAUAUGUUUCAAUUAAAUGACAAUCUUCUAGCCUCUAUAUUCCUAUAUGUGGUAGAAAAAUGGGUACGUCCAUAAUAACUUUUGGUAGAUCAAUGAAUAUUUUAAAACGUGGAUAUUUAUUAGAUACAAAAGUUGCUGACAACAAUUCACAUUACAUUGAACUGUGGCUAAAAAGUAUAUCGUCUUAGCAUGUUUUAUAGGUGAACUCAUAGCUAAACAGUUUUUAUUGUAAAGCAAAACUUUGGGAAUUGAUCUAACAUGGAUGUGUAAUUGAGUUUAUGCAUUUUAACGAUUAAAAUGAUAAAUAUUUCGACUGUAAAUGGAUUUAAUAUCGUAGUAUCUUUUAGCCUCUAUAUGCCACAAAAGUUGUGGACAAAAAUUCACAAUACAUAGAACUGUGGUUAAAAAGUAUACUGCCUUUGCACGUUUAUAGGUGAACUCAUAGGUAAGCAGUUUUAUUGUUGACCAAAACUUCGGGAAUUGAUCUCACUUGAAUGUAUAAUUGAGCUUAUGCAUUUUAAUGAUUAAAUUCAUAAAUAUCUCAACCACAUAUAAAUUUAAUAUCGUAUUGUCCUUUAACCUCUAUAUUGGUAUCUGUGACAAAAAAAUGGGUACCUCCAUGAGAAAAUUUUGUAGAUCGAUUAAUAUUUUCAAUUUGGAUAUUUAUUAGAUACUAGAAAUUAUAAGUCUAUUUGCGAAAGUCUAAGUCAAUGCCACGUACAAUAUUUGUUAAGAUAUAUUUAGGGAACUGUUAUUAGCACUCCAAAAAUCUCAUUCUACACUCCACACAAGUGUAUUUUUCUUUCUAAUUACAAAAAGUUUGGAAUGCCAAAUGAGAUUUUUGGAGUGCUAAUAACAAUUUUCUAUAUUUAUAUACAUUUUAUUUUUUGGUCGACUUCCCUUUUUUUUUCUUUCUUUAUCAAGUUAGGAGUAUCACUGAUUUUGAACUUGUGCAACUAGUUGUUGAUUCGUUUUGAAUAAUCAACAUUAUUUUUGACAAUGUCUUGGGCGUAUGAAUAAUAGAAAGAAAAUGGUCAUGAUACAAGUUGAAUAGUAGUAAUACUAAUUAGUAAACAAUUUGUGCAUGAUGUUUACUUAUAACCAAGUGGCAUGAAGGGACAAAUGUGUAGGUUUCAUGCAUGACUUGAAAUCGUAUUAGUAAAUGCAUGAUGUUUGCUUAUAACCAAGUGGCAUGAAGGGACAAAUGUGUAGGUUUCAUGCAUGACUUGAAAUAAUAUUAGUAAAUGCAUGAUGUUUGCUUAUAACCAAGUGGCAUGAGGGGACAAAUGUGUAUGUUUCAUGCAUGACUUGGAAUAGUAUUAGUCGUCGGGAGAUUUUGCAUCAAUUUGUUUUUGUUUUUUUUAACCAAGUGGCAUGAAAGGACAAAUGUGUAGGUUUCAUGCAUGACUUGGAAUAAUAUUAGUAAAUGCAUGAUGUUUGCUUAUAACCAGGUGGCAUGAGGGGACAAAUGUGUAUGUUUCAUGCAUGACUUGGAAUAGUAUUAGUCGUCGGGAGAUUUUGCAUCAAUUUGUUUUUGUUUUUGUUUUUAAUAUGUAUAUAUUAAUAUCUAUUUUAAUGGGAUUGCUCUCCACCCCUAAGUUGUGAUAAUGCCUUUAUUUAUCGUUAUUAUGUGAGUUUAAUUAAAUUUUGAGAUUGUGUUUAUCCACUACAUACAUUUAGAAUAUUUUUUUUUUAGUCGAGCGACAACAUUAAUAAGUUAGAUGUUAGAUUAGUCACCGAUAGAAUUCGAACUCACGCCAUCAUGUAAGAGCACAACACUUUUUCACCAUUGUGGUAAAUGGCCACUUGCCAACAAGUUGAUUGGCCUGUGUGACUUUACUAAUACUACUCCAAGUCAUGCAUGAAACAUACACAUUUGUCCCUUCAUGCCACUUGGUUAUAAGCAAACAUCAUUCACAAGUUAUUUGCUAAUUAGUACUACUCUUAUUCAGCUUGUAUCAUGACCGUUUUCUUUCUGUUAUCCAUACGUCCAAGACAUUGUAAGAAAUAAUGUUAAUUAUUCAAAACGAAUCAACAACUAGUUGCACAGGGUCACAGUCAGUGAUAUUCCAAACUUGAUAAAGAAAGGAAAAAAAAAGAAGUCGACUUUCAAACUUGAUUAUUCUACAAAUAUUACUAUAUAGAAUUCAAAUAAUUAUACGAUUGCCAUUUUUUUCGACCUGUCAACUGUAUUCCCAACGACGUUACCCGCACAAUCAAUCUCAAUAACCAGGUUUCCACUAACCUCCUUGUACUCCAUUGUGUUCGCAUACAUGAGCCAAGGGAAGAGCAUUACUAUUUGCAUUCUGAUAAAUGACCAUGAUUUUUUUUAUGAAUAUUGCAGACUAGAAUUUCCAAUCAUUCCCAAUGGAGAAUGGUUCAAUCAUGACAUCAUGAGCUAAGAAUACAAUUUUGAGUUUAAAUUUCUCUCCACAUACAUCACGUUAAUUUAGUUUUUUUUCUACUUUCCUAGCAUGUUCUCUUUCGUGCAUUUUAAAUAGUGACUUAAUAGUGAAAAAACAGAUUCAUAUAGAGAUAUAAGUCUAAAAUUACUUGUCACUAAUUCAGUCACCAAGCUUAAGUCGUCUAUCUUUAAUCUUCAAAAUUAACACAAUAAGCUAGUAAUUUCACUUCAUCAAAAUAUUGCUCAAUGUUGUUUGACUUGUUUCCUUUCUUAAACUUUUAGAUGCUCAUUAAUUAUAUACUAAAAAACCUUGCUCUUCAUCUUCAAACGGAUCAUAAUCCAAUAUAGCUCUGUUACUAAAGGCUGGUUUGGUAUUGCUGCGCUUUGAAAAAAAGCUGUUGUGAGAAUAAGUGGCUGUGCUGUGAGAAUAAGCGGCUGUGAAAUAAAUCAGCAGAGUGUUUGGUAAACUUUUUUGUAAAAGUGCUUUUGGAAAAAAAAAACAGUCUGAUAGUGGGUCUUUUCAUUAAAGGAGCACUGUAGCUCUGUGUGCUUUGAAAAAAAGUCAGUUUUCCAAAGCUGCAAAUAGCAGCUUCAGUUUUUUCCUUUGAUUUCAGCUUAUUCUCACAACAGCUUCCAAAAUAAGCCUUUUUUUUUUUUCAGUUUACCAAACACCUAAAAGCCUCAUAACUUUUUUUGAUAGGUGCCUUUUUUUUUAAGCACCUCACUCCCAAACCCAACCUAAGUAGCAUAACUACAAGUCUGCAAGAUGGCAAAAGCAUAAUCCAUUGUAACUUUGGUAGAUCAGGUGUCGGCAGGAUCAUUUUCUUCUAAAUUCAAGUAGCAUAACUACAAGUCUGCAAGAUGGCAAAAGCAUAAUCCAUUGUAACUUUGGUAGAUCAGGUGUCGGCAGGAUCAUUUUCUUCUAAAUUCGGUGACGGAUGGAUCAUUUUCUUCUUGUUUCAAGUGUUGUGUGACUCAGGUUUUUUUAGAGUCUUUUACAGUUUUAAAUUGAUUGUCUCUACAUCAUCUACUAUGGCCUACAAACAAUUGAAACAAUCACCCUCCCAAAAUAAUAUGAUCGGUGUUGCAAGGGAUUGUAGCUUAGUUGUGUACAAGCAGAUGUUUUUUUUAGUAUAUCGAUAUUUUUUAUAUUAAGGAAGAGAAGAAGUUUGGAUGAGCCACACAAUAGAUAGUCUAAUUUGAUAUUAAAUUUUUCAUUCACGAGAUUCGAACAUAAGACCUCUACUUCUAAGUGAAGAGGAAUAUCACUAGAUCGUAGUACUAAGUAGCGCAAUCAGUCAUUUAUUUGUUGAGAAUAAAUCUUAUAUUAAUGAAAUGAGAGACUUUGUAUGUGCUUAUAAUAAGUAGUUGAGGUACUCUUCCUAUAGUCAAUUGUUUUUAUGGUGGAACUUCAAUCUCUUUUUCUUGCUAUCAAAACAAGUUGUCUCAUGUAUGAAGCAUAACGGCCUCACGUGAUCCACAUCUUUCGAAUUGUAUUAUCCACAUGUUAAACUUGAAAUUUGUCAUACGUAAUGGAAUGAAUCUCAUAUUAAAAAAAGAAAAAAAAAAGAGACUUUGAAAUCUCAAUUUUAUUGUAUUUCCAUCCAAAGUUCUAUAUUUUGAUUUCCCAUCUCCAAAAUCGCUCUUAUAAAGAAAAAGAAAAAGUAUAACGAACGUGUAGGACUUUGGAGAUAAGAAAUCAAAUAAAAAGACAACAAUAUGACCCCACGAUAUGACCCCACGAAAAGUACAGAGAGAAACGAGGAGUCCUUUGUGGUCCGAAAGGUUACAAGUCUUUCAACACCUAAUUAUCAAAAGCAAAUUGCAGCGUUCGAGAGUAGUCUGGAUUAGGGCUGGCAUUUUGAACCCGAUUCGUUAAUCCGAUCCGAUCUGAUCCGUUAAAACUAGUAUUUGGGUGAAUGCUUAACGGGUUAGGUUAUUAACGGGUCAACCCGUUAGUCACCCGUUAAGUAACGAGUUAUUUUGAGUCAACCCGCGAAACCCAUUAGCACCCGUUAACACCCGUUAAGAAGGACUUAUGUGUAAUUUCAUAGUUGGAAUAGAAAACCUAGCUCUCUCUGUUCUCUCACAUUCGAACCCGACUGAGUGGCUGCUGUUCUCUGAGAACUUCUCUCCCUCAUCUUCUUCCUCAAAUUUGGCUGCCGUUCACUAAGUUUGUCAUCCUCUCUCUGGUAAGUUCCGAUUCCCUUUCACCUCUUCUUCCAUGGCGAUUACUUUUCGUUUUUGCAAAUUAUAUUUUUUGUCUAAUUCUCAGUUUUCGCUUGAGCUUGGUUUGAGGUGGUAUUCUUCAGAUGAGCUUCAAAUUAAUUUGGAAUUAGUUGAUUUGUGUUUGAUGAUUUCAAUUGCGAUUGUGCUUUUGUUGUGCAAAUGGUGUUUUCUGUGUGUGAUUGUACUUUUGUUCUCUUCCUUCUCAAGUUAGAUAGAGAGAGAUCUUCCCACUUCUCCAUCCCAUCACACACUUGAUUCAUACACACACACAUACAUACGUUAUUCUUCUAUUAUGGGUUUGAUGGUGAUUGAGGAGGAGAAGCAGGCGGCGGCCAAGCCCUUCGACGAAUUGAGUUUUGAUUAGAAUUGGGUUUUGAUUAAAAUAUGUGUUCUUUUGCCUGAAACAGACUCUGGAUCUGUUGAUUUUCAUAAUCCAUGAAAACAAGUCCCUUCAUCUUCAUCUGAAAACUUCUACGUAGUAAGUUCCUCUUGCAACUAUAUAUGCGAAACUCAUUAUUUAUUAAAGUAAACUGUCGAUUUACCCCCUGAACUUUCACCUCACUUUCGAUUCCCUCUUGAACUUUUCAAUUGGAAAAUUAAGGACUCAAACUAAUUUUUUUAGCCAAUUUGCCCCCUACUGUUAGUUUUUCAUAUAUUCUAUCUAUAUUUCUGUUAAGUGAGACCAUAUGCACAACAUGUGAGGGUAGUUAAGUCAUUUCACUCUUAAAAAUGAUUAAAAAUUUGAAAAUAAAAAAAAAACAAAAUUUUCCCUCUAUUUUUUUCCGCUAAUUCCUAUCAUCGAUUUUAUUUUUCCCUCUCAUUCUUAUGCAUGAGAAAUGACAUAUGGUGUUAUUGUCUACCAUUUUUAUUUUCUCUAACAAAUUAAUAAUUUGACAAAUGCUAAUGGUGCUAUUGUCUCCAAAGCAGUUCAUUAAUAUAAGAAACUCUAGUCUUUUUUAUGGACAUGUUUCUUAUAUUAAUGUACUGCUUUGGAGACAAUAACACUAUGAGCAUUUGUCAAAUUAUUAAUUUGUUAGAGAAAAUAAAAAUGGUAGUACAUGCUUCAAGAAAAAGAUUAACUUAGCUACUUAUGAAGACAAUAACACUAUAUGUCAUUUCUCAUGCAUAGAAAUGAGAGGGAAAAAUAAAAUUGAGGUUAGGAAUUAGCGGGAAAAAAUAGAGGGAAAUUUUUUAUUAUUAUUUAUUUUCAGUUUUUAAUCAUUUUUAAGAGUGAAAUGACUUAACUAUCCUCACAUGUUGUGCAUAUGGUCUCACUUAACAGAAAUAUGGAUUGAAUAUAUGAAAAACUAACGGUAGGGGGCAAAUUGGCUAAAAAAAUUAGUUUGAGUCCUUAAUUUUCCAAUAGAAAAGUUCAGGGGAAAAUCGAAAGUGAGGUGAAAGUUCAGGGGUAAACCGACAGUUUAUCCUUAUUUAUUAAUUAAUUAUUUCAUUUUUCUUGAAGUUUGUAUAUUUAAUUAGAGAUUUCAUCAAUAACCAGCUAUAUAAUUUGUGCGGUUUUCAGCCUUGAUUAUUCCGUCAUUCGGUCUGGAUUUGUUGACUAUAAGUGCAAACAAGUGCCCUCAUGACCUGACAGACUUCCACCGCGUAACUGCUGCUUGCUUCAGAUCAUGUCCAAUAUUCGUGCAACGGUGCAAGUUUCGAGUCUUGAAGCGUAGGAUUGCAAGAAUCCCCCUGCAGUUACGGGUAAUCCCAAAACUGCCCCAUUUUUUGUCCAACAGGUUCAAAUUUAAGAAAAAUAAUGUUUACUGGUAUAUGAUUUUUGCAAGCUUCUGUUUUUCUUUUUGCUCGUCUUUUAAAUUGAUAUGGUGUGUUUCAUUAAUUAUUGUGUUUUAUGUCAUCUUAAAUGGCAAGUGAAUCAAGUGAUGUACACAAUUAUUCAAUGAGAUAAAUUUAUUAAUUGAUGUGACAUAUCACAUCAAAUUGUACGUAAAUAUGGUAUAAACAUAUGUGAUUUCCUAACAUUUUCGGAUUUUCCUAGUAAUAUUAUAUGGCGUGUUAUUGUGCUUUAUACAUACAAUAUCAAGUUUUUCUUUUUCUUUUUUAUUGGAACAUACAAUAUCAAGUUAUUAGAUUAUUUUAUGGUACUAUAUUAGGGACUGUAUACCUGGCGGUGGGACGGUUAUGAUGUAGGCAACCUUGAUCUGAAUCCGGCCCGUUGCCAUCCCUUGCUAUUCCCAAAUUGUUAUCUCUAGAUAUGCUUACUAGGAGUCCAUUAAUUGAAUAUUAUUUCAAUUUUACUAUAAAUUUGUAUAGGUAAAUGCUAGGGACAUUAAAUUAUUACUUUAAUCUAAAGUACGGUUUGAAAUUGGCACUAUUCAAAUGAACAGUGUUUCAAUUCGAAUUUCAGAUUAAUUACCACCAUGCCAUUGGUUUUUGUGUUGGUUUUGGGUCAGCAGCCCGUCCCUCAGCCAGGCCCAAAUGUGUUGGCUUUAGCAGGGAAGACCGGCCCUCAGUGAGGCCCAAAUUAUUUAAUUACAUUUUUGCCCAUCAAAGAUUACAAUCCGACGGUGGGGAUGGUGUAUUACGAAGGGCAAUUUUGUCCUCUCCGUUUUGGGCGAGUAGGGGGUCACCGGUUGGUAUCAUUUGAUGUCGUUCAAUUAGGGUUUCGGGGAGGUCUGUGAGAGAGAGAGAGAGAGAGAGAGAGACAGAGACAGAGACAGACAGAGACAGACAGAGAGAGAUGGCGAUGGAAGGAGAGCGAGGGGGAGGGGUAGGGGUCUCGGCACUGUUGUUGCAGAUGGGAGGGUCGGUAUGGUCAGAGAAGACCAUAUGGGUCGUCGGGAUUUUGGGGAGACGGGGUAGGGGUCAUCUGCAAACCCUACUGAGAGUGGGGUGUGCCGGAUCUUGUGCUGCAUGCCUCGAAUCCAAAGAUAUGUUUUGGGGGAUUUGUGAUCUUACAGAGAGAGAUGGAUAGGGAGAUAGAGAUAGACAGAGAGAGGAGAAAGCAUGGCUGUGUGCAUUUUUUGGGGUUAAUUAAUGGGUUAAUGCGCAGGGUCAGUGAGGAGAGAGUGACAGAGGGGUGUAUGGCAGGGUAUGGGUUUUCAGUUUUUCCCUCUGAUUCAAUAAGUUAUGCACUGUUUGAAAAUAAUUGUUUAUUGUUUUGUUUUCCGUUGGCUUUGUUAAAACCAUCAUUUGAAUUGUUUGGUUUCACUGUGCUCAUUUCUGGGCUUCUUCAAAAUUUUCUGGUGUUUGCUUCUCAUUCCCCUGUUGGUUGAUUUUUUUUUUCCCAUUUCUUGGUUCUUUAUGUAUUCCUUGGUUCUGUCUAAAUUUUUGCUGUGGGAUGAUGCUUGCAGGUGAACUAUAUGCACGGUUUUUUGAGACGAGUUAAGAAGAUCCACCUGAAAACAACAUACAAGAUAGAGAACUAGUAUGCUGCUUUGUCUUUCUGUUGGAUUUUGAUGUUUAUGUUCUGCUACUAAGAGGAUUUUAUAGUGUUCUAAAUCUGUUUUGUAAAUGUGCUUAAAUAUUGGACAUGUUCUUGAAUAUUAGCCAUGUUGUUUGAAUUGGAUAUGUGAUUGAAUAUUAGGUAUUUAUUUUGAAUUGAUUUGGAUAUGUGGUUUAUUGAAUUAGAAUUUGGAUAUGUGCUGAUUUGAAUUGGAUAUGUUGAAUUAGAGAUGUGCUACUUUGAAUUGGAUAGGUUGAAAAAUGACAAGCGAUGGUAAAAUAUGUUUGGAAUACACUAGAAAAAUUAGAUAGAGGCUUGAAAGGACUAGAUCGAGUACAUUUGAAAGAACUAUCAGUACAAGACAACUUUGUUUAGUGUUUUUGUAGUGGUGUUCUAAUUGCAGCUUCAUAGUUUUAGUCUAAUGUUUUUGUUGUACAGUUUUUAACAACCGAAUCUAAAAUCCCUCUGUACUUUAAAGUCUCUCCUCCAGACAUCACAUUAGAGAAUUAUAACUAUUCAACAUUCUUGGUGCAUCGGCAUAUUAAUGAUUGUAUCACAGAAUUUUGGCAAAGUUCCUUGAAUUAUUGAACAGUUAAUGCUUUCCAAAUGUUUUACUUUGAUUCAUUGUCUCACAUUUUCCAUGGUACAAGUUUACAUGAUUGCAAGCCGAUAGAAAGAGAUAUAUGUAGGGAGAAGCGGGAAUUGGGGAGAGAGAGAGAGUGAGCGAGGGGUGCGGUUGCUUUUUAAAGAUAUCUUUGAAAUUGUUUCUGCAGUUUUUUUUUUUUCUUUUGGGUGAAUUUUCUUGAGUUCUUUCUGUUUGUUUGGAAUUAUUCCAUUUUUACUGAGAUUCUUUUGGUCCCUGCCACUAAACUCUGAUUUCUGCUAUUAAUUGCUGUUGACAUGUGACUUUUGCUAUUAAUUUUGUAAAUUAAUUUAAUUAAGAUGCUCAAUGUUCCCUUAAUUGUGAUUAAGAUGGUCACAAUCCUACCAUCCUCUGUAUGCUCUGCCAUGUCCGCCGCCAAUGUUUUAUUUUUACUUUUUAACCCUUUCGUACAACAUUUAAAUAAUCAGGUGGAAAUAGUAAUUCUAUUUUUCGACAAACGAUAGUGUUAGUAGGUUAAAUUGUUAGUUGUUAUGAGAGAAGGAGAUCGUUCUAGAGAUCAAACUCUCAUAAAAAUAUAUGAUGAUUUCUGCAAAUGCGAUCAGCAGUUGCAUAUUACAAUAUACAGCUUCAGUUGGCAUCAGUUUCUUAAUGAGUGGCAUGUGAAUUCUUAAUUUAAUUUCGGAAAGAAAUGCGUUUAAAUUUGGUGGUAUGUGAUGAAGUUAGCAUUCUGUUUUUUAUUAUAUACUGGUGAUGGACAUUUUUAGCAUAUUGGAUUUAUCAUUUUCUAUAAAAUGAAGCUUCAUUCUCACUAUGUUGUUGAUGUUUUUUGUGAUUUCAGUUUAUAGUGCUUCUAAAUGCUGUUUUAAUUUAGGAAUUUGAAUAAUUGUUUAAAUGGGAUUGGAGGGUGAUAAAUAUUUCUAGCUAGGGAAAGGUCACAUCCAUGUGUUGGUCGAAUUGAUGGAUGUAAAAAAUGAAUAUGGAUGAACGUCUAGCUACUGCAUGUAGAUUCAGCUUUCCUUUGCAUUUGAGUGAGUUGGAAACCGAGUGGAACAGUUUGAGAGAGAGAGGGAGGGAGGGAGGGAGAGAGAGAGAGAGGACGAUGUUGGGAUUUUGGUAAAGAUUUGAGCUUUAGUUGUAAGCAUGCUGAUAUGAGCUCACAGUAAAACCCAACAGUAUGUAGAUUGAAUUGAGUUGGGAACUGAGUGGAAAAAUAUUAGAGAGGAUUGUGUUUUCUGAUGCGUCUUUGAGCCACUGACCAUAGGUGGAGUCUUAUACUGCAAUAUUAUGUGCUAAUCUAAUAAACCCUGCAACUUAUUCAUCUUUGUCAUGAGUAAUUUUUGGUUUUUUUCAUUGGAAUAGGGAUUUAGUGGAUGGUUGUUUUUAACGCAUAUUAGUUAAAAUGAGUUGAGUAUUGGGUGCUAAUCCCAUGUCUGCAAAUCACAGUACCCUAAGGAAGAAACACUGUCUGCACGAUCUAUAAUACCUGUUCAAGCAAGAAUCUUUUCCCAAACUAAAAAGCUUACAUAUCAAAACGUGUAAAGGAUGUGCCACUAUCAUCUUACUUUUUCAAUACCUAAACCAUGCAGUGAUGCAUGGGCUGGAUAUUGCUCCUUUCAAGUUUCAAAUCAUCAAAUGCUAAAGGUUUCUAGAUAAAUCAUCAUAGAAGUCGAUUCUGCAGAUUCCUUCUUAGUUACACUCAGAUGAUAAUGUAUUUAUAGUCCUUGACAUGUUUUUAAAGUUUGCAUUUUCAAUGUAUAUAUCAUUAACUAAGCUUUAUCAGCAGAAUAUCAUCGCAAAUUUGUUACGGAAAAUGCUAUUGCUAGAUUCUGAUUUAUCUACUUUAGUUUUAAGGAUUACACAUUGUUUUACGAUAUAAAAUAGAUGUUCUGCCUUGAUUUGAUGCGGGGGUAUGCAUUAGCUAACAUUAAUUCUGUUUAGUAUUUCUCAAAUUCAUUUUGGGUUAAAAAGUUGGAGCUUUGGAUUGGGUUUUUUCUUUAUUCAGCUAUCAUUUUCUGCUUAGGAGACUCUCUUAAACUGUCUGAAACUGUGCUCAUUAGGCUGGGCAGAGCACUGACAAGCUAAAAACAAAACAAAAACAAGCAGAAUUAUCACAUGUAGUGCAGGAUGUUGAAUGUCUUUUCCUCAUUGCAAAUCCUAAACGACCCAAAUCUGGAUGGUAAAAUACUUCGAGUUGGAAUUAAUAGGAUCGAUUGAAACAUGGAUUUUUUUUAUUAGAUUGGUAUAUCUGACUUAAUUAAGAAGUAGUUUAAGACAGUCAUUAGGGAAUUUCUGUAAUUGAACGUAGUUGUUUUCAUGAGGUUGAUAAAUACAAUAAGGUGCUUCUAUACCAAUAAGUGAUUUUAUACGGACACAUUGUAUGAUGUAAAAUGGUAAAAGGAGUACCCAUUCCUGUCCAGUCUUAUGUUUUCCGAGUCUUGCUUAUUUUUCAUUAGUCAUAUGAAAGAUGCUGCAAUACCGUGGGAUCAUAAUAGCUAAGAAACUGGACUUGGACAUCUUUAUUCUAUAGAGCGUUUGUAAAAGUAAUUUAGACUUUAUUAAGUUUAUAUUAAUCCUUCACUUCUGUUCAUUCAUUGUAAUUUCUAUUUGGUUUGUCUGCAUUUGUCUUAGGAGACUCUGUGGGGCUGCUUAAAUUUUAUAUAUUCAAUUGCAUAGAGUCGGCAUGACAUGCACAGAGAUUGUCAGAUUGCCACCCUUAGUUGGUGAUAUUAUCUUUACAACACAUUCAAAUUGAGGAUUUAGAAAAUCUAAUAAUAAAAUUGAAAUAUAUGUUCGAUGCUUUUUGUUUUCAUUUUCGGUUAAAAGGUUUCAGCUUUGGAUUGGUAUUUACCUUUAUUAAUCUAUAAUUUUGUGCUCAGGACACCAUCUUGGGGGUCUUAAUAUGAUUGUUCUUCUAUUUCAUAGACUCAAAACGUGUUUAGUGUCUCAUUUAAUUGGUGUACCUUUGCUCAUUUAACUCAAAUUUAAUACGAUUUGGUCCUCCAAUUUCUCUAAAUUGCUAACGGAUUUAUUUUCUUUGGAAAUUUCAGGAACUCUGGUUGUGGUAGGAACAAGCCGGCUCCUUGCUAUUUUUAGGUAUAUGAUUAUGUGCCUUGAUUGCAUGUUCAAAGUCUAAUUAGUUAUAUAAACUUUUAAUUUAUCUUUGCAAAGCUUUUGUACUUGGAUUUUAGAUAUGUGAUUGGUUUUUGAAAAAUUAAUGAGAAGGCUAAUCAUGGGGACAUUCUUAUUUCUGAAAUUUUCUCUUCAGCAUUGUUUCUUGAAUAAAUUUGGAUUGGUAGAUGUAGGGGUAGAGCAACACCCGUGGUGUAAAUAAAAGGUAUAGGCGUAAUGAUUUCUAGGUUUAGAAUUCAUUCAAAAAUAUGAUAUAAUGCUGCGUUCUCUAAUUUUUUUUUUUUGCUGUUUGCUGUUCUAAACUUUUGAACUCCUUUUUGGAUUGAUCUUUGUUAUUUUGUUUUUGGGGGUAUCUGAUAGGUCAAGGUUGCCUAAUCUUGGUUGUACUUUUUCCCAAGACAUGGCACAUUUGAAACUUUGAAUUCUUGAGUUUAUAUUUUAAUUCUCAUUAGUUAAUGCGUAAUAUUUGGCCUUUUAUUUUGAGAUUAGAAUGAAUACGUUUGGCCUGAAAGACAGUAAACUGAAUUAAAAGCUGGCUUAUUUUCCAUUGGCCAUCAAUUAGGGUGAGAAAACAUUGAAUUGAGAUCCUUAAACAGCGCUCAUAUAGGGUACUAUACCAAAUGAGCUCGAAGAGGACUCAGCAAUUGAAGAACAAUUGAUGGGCAUACACCUUGGACAUGAUUAAGUUAGUUGAACAUUAUACUAUAACAAGUACAUAUUUCUGCUAAAGGACCAUACCAAAUAAGGAGUCAGGUUCACACACAGACACGCACACACACAUCUGAUGUAAAGUUAUUCUAUUAGAUGGUUUCCAGAUUGACCCCCCCUUGCUAAAUCUAUUUCAAGGCUGGAAGGAGAGUUAAAACAUAUGUUAUUGUCUUAUAUGUUUGUAUUUGAAUGGUAACGAUGUUGUUCUUCUGGUGGAAAAAUUUUCCUUUGAAUCCAUUUCAGCUUAGGCUCUACUUUUUUAUUUCAUUUCAACGUCAUUUUCAUGUUCAUCAUGCCCUGUUGGUAUGUGUUUUGUGUUGGCAUUGGAGGGUGGUGGGUUGUCGUUUUGUUUUUCUUUUCUUUGAUUGUAAGACCUUCUAACGAUUGAAUUUAUUUUAUGCGACUCAUUUUGAUCCCCUAGUUUGAGUUUUUCAGUUACGUAUCAAUACUUAACUGCUGGAUUUUUCUUAAGGAAAUUGGAUAUAGGCUAUAUACUAUGUGCAAAAUUCAUGGAGAUCAAGUUUUUGUUGGGUUUUUGACUCAAAAUUAGGAUGAUGCAAUAAAUUAGGUUUGUGUUACCUAUUUGGUUUUGGUGUCCUAUUUGGGUUUGGUUUUGACUUCUUAGUUAGUUUCCUUGGUGGAGAGAUUUUGUUAAUUACCUAUUUGAUUAGGAUUUGGAUUUAUUUCCUAUUAGGAUUCAUAUUGUAACCUAAGUCCUAUGCACUAUAAAUAGGACCUUAGGGUUAGUGUAUUUAGUGUGGCUCAUUCGUGUGGCAAUUUGGUGAGAGUCAAGUUUCAGGCCCUAGGAAGUGGGAGGAAAGCUAAAGCUUUGUGGGGUUGUCUGGUCUCGGCAGUUUUUUGGAACAUUUGGCUGGAGCGUAACAAAAGAAUUUUUGAGGAUUAUACAGGUGUGGGGGUAGAAGUACUUUGGGGAAGAGUAAAAUAUUGGGCAGCCCUUUGGGCUUCAGUCUCAAAUGUUUUUAAUAAUUACUCUAUUUCUCAAUUACUGUGGGAUUUGUUAGCAGCAGUAAAGUGAGUUAGGUCUAGCUAAUGUUGCUGUAGCCAAAUCCUAGUGAGAGUUUUUUCUUGUUUCUUGUUAAUGGUGGAUUUCUUAUCCACUCCAGUGUAUUUCUCUUUUCUUCUAUAAAAUGUUUUGUUUCUUCUCAAAAAAAAAAUUUGUGAGUUUGUGAGUUAGAGAGCAAUUUGGGAGAAUCUUCUCCGUUAGUUUUGGGUUCUCUACUCGUUUGGUUUAGGGUUUGUAAUUUGUGGGAUUUGGGUUGUGAGAGUUUAAACACUCUUUUGUAAGCUCCAUUUGUUUAGUGAAAUUCCUCGCCGUGCUUUGCUCGUGGACGUAGACUUUACACCGAACCACGUAAAUCUCUUGUGUUAGUUUGAGAUUGUUUGUUUUAGCUUUCACCUACGACGUUGAUAUUGGUACUUUGUUAGAAUUCGCUUCCGUUUGUGCAUAAAAGUACAACAGUUUUGUGCUUUCAUUUGUCACAACGCAGUUUUUUGUUUUCAUAAAUGAAGUUUUGUGCUUUCAUUUUAUUUAUUUUAUUUUGUCUUUCAGUCAGUUUUUCGUUUGAAAGAACUCUUAAUUUUCAUGGAAAUAUAGUUAUUUGUGAAUAUGGAAACUUGAUACUGUGUAGACAUCAGAGUUCGUAUGUUUGUGAUAUGAAAUUUAAAUACAAGCUUCCCAAUUUGUUUUUGGAAUUUUAACUAAACUCGCGUUAUAGGUAGAUCAUGUAUUAAGAUAACAAAAAAGAUAGGUAGAUUUGUGUAUGCGAUGAGUUGUAGUGAACAUUUGGCAGUAAUAGAAAUGGUUUAGGUGUGCUCAGUUUUGGCCUAAAUGGUUAUCACACGAGCGUAAAUGUUUGUUUCAUUUGUGAUUGAACUUGAAUUCGUUGGAAAGCUUUUCAAUUUAUGAAUAUGGAAAGCUUUUCGUCUUUACUUUUAAACUUAUUUUCUGUUUGGUUGUUGAGAAGGUGAUGGAAAUAUAGUUAUCUGUUAAUAUGGAAACUUGAAUCUGUGUAGACUCCUUGGGUUGUCUGUUGGGUUCAGUGGAGGUUUAGUGUUUUAAUUUUGAAUGAUUUGUUUUUCGUUUCAUGGAAAUGACCUAUUAUUUGAUAUUAUUUGAUUUAACUGAGUAAUUUAAUGGAAGUAUAUUCUCUUUUUUUCUUUUCCAUAUUUCAUUUUGUCAGCAACCAAACGAGUUAAGGAACUGUAAUCUUUUUAAUUACUCUGCUAUCUCCGUGAGUUAUGAAUAUCAGACUUUUUGUUUUAUUUCUAUAUAUGUAGUUCCGAAGGAAUCAAGUGCCAAAAUUAGAAUAAAUAUCCUUUAGUCACGUUACACACUUUUCCAUAGAAUGUUUGGUUCAGGGAUCCCUUAUACAAGCACAAUAUUCUUAUGUAUUUAAAUCAUAGUUGACUGUCAUGGUUUAAUAAGUGUGAAAACUGUCUUAACUAUACCAUUGGAGCGUUACAGUUUUAGUUAUUUUAUUGGAUCCGUUUGUUAGCACUUUGAAUUCUUUUGAUUUCUUACUCUGAAUCUCACUCAUUUUUUGCAGUUUAGAUUGGACUCUCAUCAUAGCAUUGUAAUAUGAUCUUGCUGCUGCGAUUAAUCUGACAGUUCUGAGGCGUUGCAUUUGAAUCAAGACUUUGGUAUGUUAGCUGAACUUCAAUGCAUUCUUUUCCCAUUCUUUCUGUUUGAGGCAGCGCAACUUUAUGAUUUUUUUAUUGAUUGUUUGGGUUGAUCGUCUUAUGUUAUCCAUUUGCUUUGUGCUUUGUUUUUCAUUCUUGGUUGUCUCUGUGAUCGUCUCAUUGUCCAGAUGUUGGAUGGUUUUUUAUUUUAUUUUUUUAUUCUAAUUUUGUUUGAAGGUCCGUGCUAUCUCUGUGAUUCUGGUUUAACCCAGUGCUCUUAAUUCUUUAUCGGAUGUUGUUGGCCAUUUUAUCUCUUUUAUUAGUGGGAAAAGGCUUUGUUGUUGUUGUAUUCUGUUAUUGGUUGGUUGGUGUUUUCGUUUGGUUUUCUGAUAGUGAACUAUCUCAUCCUCCCCAAAGUGUUUUAACAUGUUUUGUUGAUAACUGCGCUCUCUAAACGACCUAGAUAUUUUUUUAGAAAAAUCACGACUUCCAUAUUUAAGAAAAUGAGUGGCUUUUUAGCAAAUGCAUGAAUGCAGCUAGAUGUUCAGAAAAAUUCACGGAUAUUUACAUUCAAACCACAAGUAUCAUUAACUUAUAAAUAAUUAAGUUAUGUAUUUUCUUUAUCGGCCAUCACUUCAAAAUUUGAAUUAAAACACUGUCAAAAUGCUUUUUGAUUGUGUUUUCUUUAUUCAUUAUGUAAGUUUGGCAAAUCUUCUACAUGCUGCAUAUUUUUUUGUUUGAACAUCUAUGGUUGACGAGUUACCUGCUCAAACACCACUUUUUCUGUGUUUUGCUAACUGCUAAGUGAGGCAUGUAGGUUGCAGAGCAUAUAUUUGGCCGUCUUAACUAUGUGUAAACUGCAGCUUCCUUCUGUUUCUUCAGUUUCAUAUGGAAACAGGCCUUCUGUUUUUUUGGCCUUUGAACAAUUGUGGUUCCAAAAUUAGCUACUUGAACAAGUCCUCAACACUUUCUGUUUUACAUUACCUGUUGAACUAGCUGCCUACACUGCAGGACACAUGUUAUUUGUGAACUAAAUGUUUCUUCUGUUUCUUAAGUAAACAGAAAUUUUUUGGAAACCAUCUCUUUCUAAUCAAACACGUACAAUUUCUUCCCACUCAUUGUGCAUUGUGUUUAUAUGCCAACUCACUUAAAUAUGUAUAAAAGCAAAAUUGCUUAUCUUACCGGCCUCAUUCACUCAUGUAUCCCUCUGUUUGUUUGUAAUUGUGUUGAAUUUAUUCAACUUAAAUGUGUUUUAUCCAUCUGAUUAUGUCUGAAACAGUGGUUCCCGCAGCAACGCGCGGGCGUAUUUUCUAGUUUUUAACUAAAUUUUGCAAACUAAAUGACAUGAUUGUUGAUGAGUGGAUUAUUAUUUUAGUGUUGAUAAACAUGCUUAUUUUCUAAGGAAAACUAAUGAAAAGGGCUUGAAAACUUUGCGUUUUAACAAUAAGGACAAAAUAAAGGGUAAAGUGAAUAGUAUCAUGAUUGACUUUUUAGUGUAAAAAUAUGGUUUUUCGUUAAAGUGAACAGUACCAGGAGCUUUUCAUUAACGUUCCCUAUUAUCUAGUGGUGACACAUCAUUUAGUUUAAAAUUUUAUUCUCCUUGGCAUUACCCAUUUGUAUAUGAUUGCGGAAUCAAUAAUUAGUUCUCACCAUUUGAAUUUGUGCAGUUGUGACAACAGAUCAAGCUUCCAAAUUUCCAAGGAACUAGUCUUUGACUGUUGAUCUUCCCUUCAUUGAGUCUGUAUUUGUUGAUCACAAGCGGAGUCAGAUUUGAACUUCCAUGUAAGUUCUUAUUAUUCAACUGAAUAAUACAUUAGUUGUUUCUCAUUUUAUUUGAACUACUUUUUAUUCAUUUGUUUCUUCACUUAAUUUGUGCAGCUCUGCACCUCAAUAUUGCUCAAGAGCGGUUCAGUCUUUCUUUGAUUGCUUGGAGUAAUCCUCGCUCUUAAUAUGGUACUGGGAGAGGUUUUUCUUGGGGCGUUUCUACAGGUGCUGCUAGACAGGUUGACCCCUCGCGAGGUUCUCAACUACUUUGGAAACUUCCGGGGCCUUAGAAAGAAGCUGGAGAAGUGGAGGGCCACGUUAUCUACAAUCGCAGCGGUGUUGAGCGACGCUGAGGAAAGACAAGUGACUGACCAUCCUGUAAAACUGUUGCUUGAUGAUCUCAGAGACCUCGCUUAUGAUGUCGAAGACAUGUUGGACGAAUUUUCCACUCAAAUGUUGAAGCGCACAAUAGAGGGACGUGAUCAAGCUAGCACGAGCAACAAGGUGCGGAACUCAUUUUUCAAAAUUAAAUUCAAUUGGGAUAUGAGCUCCGAAAUGAAGAAGAUUACGGAGCGGUUGCAAGACAUAUCUGAACGGAAAGAUAAGUUUGGCUUGAAAGAUACUGGGACGUCUGCUAAGGAAUCGCGACGUCUACCUAGUUCAGACGUGUUAGAUGAAAAGCUUGUUGUUGGAAGAGAUGGUGACAAAGGGAAGAUUAUUGAAUUGUUGUCAAGAAAAUACGAGCAUGCAGGUGCUGUCAAUUUUGAUGUAGUUGCUAUAGUUGGCAUGGCCGGAGUUGGGAAGACGACACUUGCUCAACUUGUAUUCAACAACAAAGAUGAUGCCAUGAAGGAGUUUGAGCUCAAGGUCUGGGUAUCUGUGUCCGAUGACUUCGAUGUGGUGCGAGUGACAAAGGCAAUUCUUGAAUCAAUCACAUCCCGACCCGUUAAAGUGCAGGAGUUUAGUAAAAUGCAGCAUAAUUUGAGUGAGCAAUUAAGAGGAAAAAAGUUUUUAAUCGUUUUAGAUGAUAUUUGGAACAAAGGCGACUAUGAUCUAUACGAUCUCUGGACAAGACUUCAAUCCCCUUUUGGCGUCGGAGCAGGAGGAAGUAAGAUAAUUGUGACAACCCGUGACAGGAAUGUUGCAAAGACUACGGGAGCCGCUGGAGUUCAUAAUUUGGAGUGUAUGGCAGAUGGUGAUUGUUUGGAAAUAUUUGAGCGACAUGCGUUCGGGGAAAUUAAUAAUGGAAAGCCGGUAAAUUAUGAUUUAAUUGGGACAAAAAUUGUUGAAACAUGUCAUGGAUUACCAUUAGCUGCGAGGACUCUCGGUGGUCUUCUACGUUGCAAAGAAAAAGAUGAGUGGGGAGAAAUAUUGAACAACAAGUUAUGGAAUCCAGCAGAUAAGAGUGGCAUUCUCCCCGUACUAAAGUUGAGCUAUCACUAUCUUCCAUCACAUUUGAAGAGGUGUUUUGCCUAUUGCUCCAUUCUUCCAAAUGACUAUGAAUUUGGGGAGAAACAGCUCGUCCUUUUGUGGAUGGCAGAGGGUUUGAUUCAACAAAAACCUGACGACAAUAAACAAAUGGAGGAUUUGGGCCGCGACUACUUUCGAGAGCUAUUAGCAAGGUCGCUGCUUCAAGGAUCAAGCAAAAACAAUUCACGAUAUGUAAUGCAUGACCUCGUUAAUGAUUUAGCACAAUGGGCAGCAGGAGAAAUAUGUUUUAGGUUGGAAGAUAAGCAAGGUGAUAACUUGCAAAGCACUUGCUUUCAAAGGGCUCGCUAUUCGUCUUUCAUUGCUGGUGAUUUUGAUGGAGUUAUGAGAUUUGAGGCCUUUCCAAAACUUGAACGCUUGCGAACAUUCCUGCCACUUUCGCUUUCAGAUUCCAGGUGGUGGUGGAAAUAUUUGUCUCGUAAGGUUAUUUUCGAGUUAUUACCACAGAUGAAAUACUUACGAGUGCUCUCUUUCAAUGGCUAUAAAAUAACUGAGCUGCCAAAGUCAAUCGGUGAUCUGAGGUUGUUACAGUAUCUUGACCUUUCCUACACAGAUAUAACCUGUUUGCCUAAAUCAACAAGCACUCUUUACAACUUGCAAACAUUGAUAUUGGAGGGUUGUUCUAAAUUGAAGUCAUUGCCCACAAACAUGAGUAAUCUAAUUAAUUUGCGCCAUCUCAACAACUCAGGUGCAUCUUCAUUGGUAGGAAUGCCUUCACAACUAGGUCGAUUGACGAAUCUACAAUCAUUGCCUCUUUUUGUGGUGAGCAAAGGUAGUGAUCAACCAGGGGUAAGAGAGAUAGGGCCCCUAUUGCAUCUCCGAGGGACACUGUGCCUCUCAAGAUUGGAGAAUGUGACUGAUGUCGAGGAUGCCAGGAGGGCCAACUUGAUAUGCAAGGAGAGGCUUGAUUCGUUGGUCCUAAAAUGGUCUCAUUCAAGCGACACGAGAAAAACAGAAACCGUUGUGCUUGACAUGUUACAGCCUCAUACAAAGCUCAAGGAGUUCACUCUCAAGAGUUAUGCCGGAAAGGAAUUUUCAUCAUGGGUUGGAGGUUCUUUCUUCUCUAAUAUGGUGCUUGUGCGCUUAGAGGAAUGUAACAAUUGUUUAUCGUUGCCACCUCUCGGACAAUUGCCUCGUCUCAAAGAGCUUUAUAUUAGAGAAAUGAAUGCAGUCGAAAGUGUUGGUGCUGAGUUUUAUGGUGAGUGUGUCUUGCCCUUUCCGCUGUUAGAGAUUCUGGAGUUUGUGGAUAUGCGGCAUUGGAAGGUGUGGCUUCCUUUCCAACUGGAUCAAGGAAGUAGUGUUUUCCCUUGCCUGAAAAGGCUUUCAAUCAAAGGAUGUUCUAAGUUGGAAGGCAAGCUGCCAGAGAAGCUCGAUUUGUUAGCCGAACUUGAAAUUGUUAAAUGUGAGGAAUUGGUGGUUUCGAUUGCCAAUUGCAAACAACUUCGUCAAAUAAACAUUGACAGUUGUAAAGUGUUGGUACAUACAGAUGCUAAGGUUGAGUUUGAGUUGUUAGAGUCCUUGUGCCUUUCAAACAUUUCGGAGGUGAUGUCUCUGCAAACAGGGGAAUUGUUCAGGAAGGGAUUAAGCAAGGCUAGAGAUUUGAAGAUUAAUGGAUGUGAGAAGCUGACGUCGUCAUUGAAGAAUGAGGGUAGAUUAUUGCAGCAGUUGACUUGUCUUGGCCGUUUGGAAAUUGAAGACAACUCUCCUCUAGUUGAAGAAUUGGGAGAAGAAGCAGAGGAGUUGCUGCAAUUGCAAAUAUUGGAGUUAAAAAAGUGCGAAAAUCUUUUGAAGCUACCAAAAGGAUUAAAUGAGCUGUCGUCUCUUCAAGAGCUUCGCAUACACAAAUGUUCACGUCUAGUUUCUUUUCCAGAAGUUGGUCUGCCACCGUCUCUUAAAAACAUCGAGAUUAGAGAGUGCCAUUCGUUGAUAUAUUUUGCAAAAUUCCAGAUUCCCCAAUUUCUCAGAAGAAUAGAGAUAAGUAAUUGCAGAAGUUUGAAAUCACUAGUAGAACCGAACGGGUUAUUCAGCGACAACACCAAUCACUGCCUUGAAUAUAUUAGGAUCUGGAAUUGCCAAAAUCUGGAAUCCUUACCGGAUGGCUUAUGCCACCUUAGCAAUCUUCAAACUCUAAUUAUUGGGAACUGUGGAAGUCUUGUUUCCAUCCCGAGACUGAGUGCGGAGAGAAGACCCUCCAACCUGAGAGAUAUCAUGAUCAACGAAUGCGAGAAAUUGGAGGCGUUUCCCGAAGACAUGCACAAUCUCAACUCUCUUGAGGGAUUGAAGAUCGACUACCGUAAAGGUUUGACUUUUCCUCCCAACCUAACAUCACUUGAAAUUUGGAAGGUCAAGAGCUGUAAGUCAUUGUGGGAGUUGGAGUGGGGGUUGCACAGACUCACCUCUCUUAGAAAGUUGGGGAUCAGUGGAAAAAACACACGUACGGUGUCGUUUCCACCUGACAUAGUCCGGAUGGAGCCGCUCCUCCCCAAAUCUCUCACUGAACUCAGAAUAGAAGGCUUCCCGAAUCUGAAGAGACUGAGCAGCAAGGGCUUUCAAUUCCUCAACUCCCUUCAAUCUCUGCAACUCUCUAGAUGUCCAAAGCUAGCAUUCAUUCCAGAGGAGGGUCUGCCUCCUUCACUUGGUCAGCUUAUCAUCUAUAAGUGUCCUGUGCUAAAAGUGAGAUGCCAACCAGGAAAAGGACUCUACUGGCACAAAAUAUCCAACAUCCCUAAAAUAGAGAUACAUGAAGCUAAUGGUCCAGGUAUCAUCUCUCGAGGAAUGUUUUAAUAUUAAUAUUAUUAUUAUUAUUAUUAUUAUUAAUCAUGUUUAUUCUUGUAAAGUAAUCCACAAUAUUUGGUUUGGGUCAAGGUUUUGGGGGUUGAGGAGUGGCUGCUUUAGGAGGCCUUCAAUUGGCGACAACCUGGAUACUUCUCGGCCAACGUUUCUUCUCCCGGAUUCCUAUGUUUGCUGAUAGCACUACCCUUUCAAAUUUUAUUAGGUCGAGCUUUUUUCAAUUUUCAAAUUUAAACAUUUUUUUGGGUCAACAGUCCAAUAAUUCGAACUUGUUUUAUCUUUCAUUAAGAUAAUUCUACCAAAAACCUGACCUCAUUUUGUAUCAAGCUUGAGCUUUUAUGAAAUCAUUUGAGUCAAACUUGAGCACAUAUUUACGAGCUUUAUUUGGGACUGACCGAAUUUGAAUCUUGAGCAAUGUUUGUUAAACCAAGGUCAUUUAAUUACGAUCUGAGUUAUUAAUAAGUUGUGUUGUUUUGUGUUGGGUUAGUGGGUCUUGCAAGACAUUGCUUGAUGUUUAAAUUUGACAAACAAUAUUUUAUCAAGUUCUUGAUUCUACAAGUAUCCAACUCGUUAAAAGGUUCUUAAUGAGCAGCUUGAUAACGAAUCGACUUGUUAACAUAUUAACUCGAAACCUGCUAUUUUUAUGUUGUUUUAUAUCGAAUUAACGGGUCGUGUAAAAAAUUAUCAAACCUAACCGGAUCAUGCCAAACUAUUGAUGGUCAAUGACUUAUUUGAAAGUGAUUUUAAAGUGACUGAAAUUGAUUUCAGAUUCCAAAAACACUUUUUAAGUGCUUUUUGGAAUAAUCUUGGGCGUCUCCACCCAUUGCCAAUUGGUUUCGGGUUGGAUGCUCAAUUUGUAAUUAGAAUAACAGGUAUUGUUGUUUUUUUUUAUUAUCUUUCAUUGUUUGAGUGGGGGAUAUAAUCUUUAUACAAAUUGCUUCCUCAUGGUUUUUAUGACUGGUUUCUGUAUCUACUUUUAAUGCUUAGUACAUUAAGGGCAUCGGGUACUUCCUAAGUUCUCAUGGUCAAGUGUUUGUAUGGUUCUGUAUGUAUGUUUGUGAUCUUCAUCCCGACUUUGAAUGCGUAAACUAGAUGGAUGAAGAGGUUUUGUUGUUAUUGCCUUGCCCAACACAAGGAUUUCUUUAAGGGCUAAAUAGAUUUCUUUUAACUGGGUUCUUAUGUCUUCGACGAAGGUUAGAGUUCUUUAUCCUUUUUGGUAUUUCAGUCAAUUGGUGUAUCUUUCGACAUCUGUGCUAAGUGCUUCGUGAAAAUUGAUAUAUGUUGUCUAAAUGGUUGUGUUUCAGUUGCCUUUUCUGAGCUUCUUCCUUCCUGUCUGAUAUCUAUUUUCUAUCCUUCGUCAUAGGAUAUUAGCUCCAUGGUGUGCUGGUUGCUUUAUGUUUGUAUAUUCUCGUGUUUUUUCAUUACAGUGUUGAACUCAGUGAAAUGCUAGUAUGAAUUGGAGUGGUUCCCAUUGUCUUUGAGUGAUUCCUAUCACAACAAUCAGGGAGGAAAUCCCUCUCUUUUUUUCACUCUAGGACUAUCCAAAAGAUGCAGCACUGAAGAAGAGUUAGGACUUUAACUCAGUGUCGCAAAAACCUACUACCAAGAGAAAGUUUGUAAGCACUUAUGUUCCGACUCAGAUCCUUACCAAAGUUUUUUUGAAAGUUGAAAUGAUAUAGCACUAGGCCCAAGGUUGAGAGCAGGUUAGAAUUGUUAGAUUGGUGUUUGGCAUGUAAAGACUAGUGGUAUGAUAUUGGGGUACGUUUUUAGGUAUAUGGGGCCAGUACCUGUAAGCUUGAAGACAACCUAAAUAUGCCCGGGAUGUAACAGAGUGCUUGCCUAUACUUCUGUUUUUGUAGUUAAGAGAACGUAAUUGCUUAGCAAUCAUUAAAUUUGUAUACUUAUUACUUGGGUGCCCUCUGCCUUGCUAUGCUGCAUAACAAUGAGAAUAUAUUACGGAAUUCUAACAGGAAAAAGGCAGGGGACUCCCAAAAUUUGGUGAAUGGGACGUCAAUGAUCCUGCUUCGGCUGAGGGGUUUACUGUGAUCUUUAACAAGGCUAGGGAUGAGAAGAAGACAGGUGGAAAACCCGAGUCACCAGGAAAGGUUGAUCCUAAUAUCAGGCAUGGAGGAGGAGUGGAUCCUGGCACUAGCAGGCCUUCGUCUGUAAGAUUUUUUCUCAUAACUGUUGUCGUUUCUUUCUCUAAUGAUUUGAUAUAUACAUGGGUCAGCCAAUAGAAAUACAUUCUUUGCGGUUUUCUUAGUUGCAAGUUAUUGCUUUUCAAGUGACGUUGGUAGUACAAAAUACAACUAUAUGUAACACUGACUUAUCGAUCAAACUCAGCAUACCAUUUGAUGUGAAAAUCAAUGCAACUGACUUAUAUAGAACUCUAGUAAGGAAAUGUGGCAAAAGACAUAUCUAAUGUUAGGGCCAAGAUAUUUGAAAAAUAAAAGAGCACAAGAUGAUUCGGCUGUUUUAUCUGGAUUAUUCCAUGCAAGUGGAAUUGGCAUACAUUAACUCGGGUUCUGUCUCCUUUUAGACAGAUGUAGCCUAAUAGGAAUAUUUGUUUGUUUUAUUGUGAAUAAUUGAAAGAACCAAUGGCCCUGGAAAUAUUUGCUUUUGUCAAUUGAUCAUUGUGUGACCUUUUCGUUUUUUCUAUGCGUUUUCUGUACCUGCUGCGUUUCCAAUAGUAGACUAAUAGAAUGAAUAACUGGAGGUGAUUAUUUCUGCUGCCAAAAUCUAAUAUGCUUAAAUUCCUCACUCUUUGCGGAUGAUUUGAUUUGGUUUGAUUUCCUGAUGCACAGAAAAAAUGGUUUUGCUGCAUUCAUCAACCACCGGCAGAGUUUUGACAAUGUUGUUCUCCUAAGUGCUUCGAUGGAGGAGCACGAUGUUCUGUAACUGGCUCCACUAUAUUUCCUCACUUAAUCUAUGUCUAUGAAAUUGGCAGCUAGGGAAGUGAAGUUUGAAGCAAUGGUUAGCAGUUUGCCUAAGGAAAUCGUACAUGAUAUCCUUUUGAGACUACCUCCUAAAGCUUUGAUCAGAUGCACCUCGGUGUCCAAGCCUUGGAACUCCAUGAUAAAAAGUCCAAGCUUUAUUCGCACCCACCUCAGCCUUACCAUCGAUUUUAACCAGUUUGGCACCCACCAACUCCUUCUGCAUUGUGUUCGUGGAGACAAUCCAGUGGAGCAGAAUUACUAUUUGCAUUAUGAUAACCAUGCUUUUGAUGAGUACUGCAAGCUAGAGUAUCCAAGUGUUCCCAAGCGCAAUAGAUUUCUUCGUGUGGUCGGAAUGCGAGGAUCCGAAUGCUUUUUAUGAGGCUUAUUCACUUGCUAGAGGCUUGUGGAGUAGUCCUCGUUCUUUUGAUCCCGUUUGUAAAGUUUUAUUCUUGCAAAUUUCAGGCUUUUGUGAACGGGGCAGUUCAUUGGCUGGCAUGGCGCUGCUUGAACGAUGGUCGUUAUCAAAAUUUCAUUUUAGCAAUUGAUGUGGACGGUGAGUUAUUUUGCGAGAUAAGGGUGCUAAAGAGUUUCAGACAGGAUGAACCAUUAGAUUAUCACUUGUCUGUUUCAGGUGAUGGAAACUCCAUUGCUAUGUUCACGACGACGCGUGGUCGUAAUUGUCCUGAGGAUUUUCUUGACAUAUGGGUGAUGAAAGAGUAUGGCAUCGAGGAUUCAUGGGCCAAACUGAUAACUCUCCACCGUAUCCGGAAACAAGGGUGCCCUACAAGCCCUUAUGUUUUAGGAACAGUGGUGAAGUGGUGUCCUGACUUUAUCACUUGUUCUAGAAAAAAACGUCGCAUGUACUGGGAUUUUCUCCGGGAUGCCUUGUGAUAUUCUGACAUUGCUGGAUUCUUGUUAGAGAUGAACAUUUUUCCUUCUGUUUGUCUGUUAAUUUACAGACCUAGAAGAAGUUGCUUAUCACAUGUUGCCAAUGUUCAUGGAUAUAUACAGUUAUAUUAAUUUCCUUGAAAUUUCUUGUGACAUUUUUUUAGCUCUAAUAAGAUUUAUCUCUCGUCACAAGACUUUUACAAUAACUUGUGCUCCUAUGGUCUACCAAAAUAAUAAUAUUGCAGUAGAGACUAGUAGUCUAUUAUUAAUUGUGUGUUCAACUUAAAGCAGCGAGAAAAAUGUGUACCUUUUUCUUUUCUUUUUUUUCAAAGAAUUUUUUAUCUUUUUCCUCUGGGAGGAGGAUUGUCUGCCCUCCUAGUUUCAGUGCCCUUCCAUGCCAUCUUGAUUGUGUGGUCAUGGUUAAGCCACGUUAAUAUUUUAUAUUACUAUUUAUUUUUGUCUUAUUAUAUCUAUAAAAAAACAAUAUAAAAUAAUGAUGUGGCUUAACCGUGACCACACAAAACAGGAGGGCAUGGAAGAGCAUUGAAACUAGGAGGGCAGACAAUCCUCCUCCCUUCCUCUGACCCUUGCAUGCAGGUUUGGCAGUAAAGUAAGAGUUUCCACGCAAUUAAAAUAAUGGCAAACUAGUCUUUCGGUUUUGCACGAAGAUAGGAUAAUUUAUACUAAAUUAUUUUUUUGUCUUUUAUUAAAGAAUCAUUUAAAAAAAAAAGUUUUUAAGUGUUUGGGAUCUUUUAAAUACCAAUUUCAAUACAGCUAUUAGUUCAAGUAACAUAAUUUUUAGUUUAGGUACCAAUGAAAAAAUCAACUAAAAUAAUUCUAUAAAUACUAUUAUAAUUCAAAAUAAUUAUAUGAUUGCCGUGUUUUCCGACCAGCCAACUGUAUUCGCAACCACCUCACCCUUACAAUCAAUCUUAAUAACCAGGUUUCGACUAACCUCCUUGUACUGCAUUGUAAACGCAUACAUGAGCCAAGGGAGGAGCAUUACUAUUUUUGCAUUAUGAUAAAUAACCAUGAUUUUGAUGGGUAAUGUAGACUAGAAUUUCCAAUCAUUCCGAAGGGAGAAUGGUUCAAUAUGACCUAUAGACUACAAGAACUCAAAUUCCUUAUUUGUUAUCUUCUGUAAACCAUUCAUCAGAGCUCUUGACAGGCAGUGACCAUAUUUGAGGAAUGACUAGACGCAUGUUGGGGCGCCAUCAUGACUUCAUGGGUGAACAAUAGAAUUUCGUGUGUAAGUUUCUCUCCACAUACAUCGUGUUAACUUUGUUUUUCUAGUUUCCUAGCAUGUUCCAGUUCGUGCAUUUUCAGUUUUUGGAUAGUGGAAAGGUCAAGUUGGUAGCAAAUUGACACGGCGAAGACGUAAGUCUAAAAUUCAUUGUCACUAAUUCAAUUUACCAAGCUUAAUUGGCCUCUCUUAACCUACAAAAUUGUCAUAAUAAACUAGUAAUUUCACUUCAUGAAAAUCUUGCUCAAUGUUGUUUGACUUGUUUCCCUUCCUAAACAUCGAGAUGUUCGUUAAUUAUAUGCUAAUAAGUUCAUCUUCAAAUGGAUCAUAAAUUAAUAUAGCUAUGUGACUAAUUAAGUAGUAUAACUCCAAAAUGGUAAAGCAUAAUCCAUGAUAAUUUUGGUAAAUCUGGUGUCGGCAGGAUCAUGUUCAUCUUCUUCGUGUUGUGUGGCUCAGGUUGUUUAAGAGUUUUUUACUAUUUUAAAUUGAUUCUCUAUAUUAUCUACAAUGGCCUACAAAAAACUGAACCAAACACCCCCACAAAGGAAAGGGGUCCUUUUCAGAUCCUUUCGACCUAAUUAUCUUCAUCAAAUAAUCCGUGUUCUUAAAAUUUGAUUCAACAACUAAAAACACGGAUCUAUUUUAAAAAUUAUAAUAACUUUAGUUGUUGAAUCAGAUUUCAAGAACCUUAAUAAAGAAGAUUAGGUAAAAGGAAUCAAGAAAUGAUCCCUUUCGAUCACAAAAUAAUAUAAUCGGUGUUGAAAGGAAUGUAGCUCAGUUGUUUACCAGCAGUCACUCAUAACGUUUGGUUCCCCCCCAAAAUCGGUGUUGAAAUGAUCCCUUUCUCUCACACUCUUUUUUUUUUACUUCUCACAUACCUCUUGUUAACUUCUGUCAUUUGAUCUACUUCCAUUUAUCCGAUCCAACGGUCAAAAAUUAAAAGGGUGUGUGAGAGGUAAAAAUUGGUGUAUAGAUAUCACACCCUUUUACUAAAUCCUAAAUUGUACAACUCCUUCAAAUAUAUCAAGGACGAAUAUGGUAUCUUCUACAAACCAUCCAGUAGAGCUCUCAGCAUGCAAUGACCAUAUUUAGGGAAUGGACUAGACACAUGUUGGGGCAUUAUCAUGACAUCAUGGGUUAACAAUACAAUUUGUGUUUAGUCUCUCUUCACAUACAUUACGUUAACUUAGUUUUUCUACUUUCUUAGCAUGUUCGGGUUCGUGCAUUUUCACCUUUUGGGUAGUGGAAAGGUCAAGUUGUUGGGAGACUUAUUAGUAAAAAGCAAAUUCACACGGCAAGACAUAAAUCUAAAAUUACUUGUCACUAAUUCAAUUCCACUGAAUUUAAUUCUUCUCUCUUAAUCUUCAAAAUUAACAUAAUAAGCUAGUAAAUUUCACUUCAUGAAAAUCUUGCUCAAUGUUGUUUGACUUGUUUCCUUUCUUUAACAGCUAGAUGUCCAUUAAUUAUAUGCUAAUAAAACUUGCUCUUCAUCUUCAAUUGAUCUAAUAUAGCUUUGUGACUAAUUAAGUAGUAUAACUACAAGAUGGUAAACAAUAAUCCAUGGUAACUUUUUGCAGGAUUAUUUUCUACUUCUUUGUGUUGUGUGGCUCAGGCUGUUUGAGAGUCUCAACAUUAUCUACCAUGGCCUAUAAAAUUGAACCAAUCACCAUCUCAAAAUAAAAUAAUCGGUAUUGCAAGGAAAUGCAACUCGGUUGUUUACGAGCAAUCACUCUUCCACCCUGAGUUGCGUGUUUGGUUCCUCAUCUCCCAAAAUCGUUCGUAUAAAGGAAAAGAAAAGUAUAACCGUGUGGGACAUAGGAGAUAAGAAAGCAAUUAAAAAGAUAAAACAGCAUGAUCAUGACCCCACAAAAAAAUAAAGAGAAAGUAAAAAGAGGAAGACUUGCUGUGGUCUUUCAACACCUAAUCCUCAUUGCAAAUUGAAGAGCUCUAAAGUGGUCUGGAUCUGUUGAUUUUCAUAAUCUAUGGAAAACAAGUCCCUUCAUCUUCAUCAUCAUCUGAAAACUUGAACGCAGUAAGUUCCUCUUGCAACUAUAUAUGCGGAAUCCAUUAUUUAUAAAUUAAUUAUUUCAUUUUUCUUCAAGAUUGUAUGCUUAAUUAAUUAUUUCAUCGAUAACCAGCUAUAUAAUUUGUUCAGUUUUCAGCCUUAAUUAUUCCAUCAUUCAGUUUGGAUUUAUUGAUCAUCAGUGCAAACAAGCGCCCUCAUGACCUGACAGACUUCCAUGAAACUGCUUCUUGCUACAGAUCUUGUCCAAUAUCCGUGCAGAUUUCGAGUCUUGAAACGUAGGAUUGCAAGGUAAUCCCAAAACUGCCCCAUUUUAUUUGUUCAACAUGUUAAAAUUUAAGAAAAAUGAUGCAUUGCUUACUAGCAUGAUUUUUUCAAUCUUGAGUUUUUAUGGUGUGUUUUAUUGUGCCUUAUCAUUGAGUAAUAUUAUGGUGUACGUGUUUUUCUUUUGACAAACGAUAACGUUAGUAGGUUAAAUUGUUAGUCCCGUACUGGAACACCAACCAGGUUACCCAAAAAAUGAUUCACACACCCAUCUUUAUUCUAUAACUUAAUUCCAUGCUUGUCCCUCGAUACUCGUGAGCGAAAGGGAGGGUCCAAGCGGAUAUGAAAAUGAUCUAUUACUCCAAAGUCUACUUCAUAUGGCCAAUUAUUAGGUGUGUGAUCCUCAUCAUCAACUAUACUUUUUAUAAGGAAUAUCAUUCAUAACCCAGCUAUAAGCAUGCCGAUAUCGUUGAAAGCAUUAAAACAAUGAAAAAUAUGAAGUCUUACCCAGUGGCAGAUCGAAGAUUUUAAUAUCGGUGGUCCUAAUAUAAAGGCCCUAAAAAAUAUUAAGCGAAAAAUAAUAUUGAAAAUUAAAUGCUAGACUACAAUUUUUCAUUCAUAAUUUUUGUACAAACAACAUUACAAGCUACAAAGUACAAAGACUUAUUUGUCAACGAUGAGGUAUGCGUAAUAUCGUUCCAUACUUCUAAUUUCUACACAUAUCAAUUACUCAAAACAAAAAAAAAACAUAUUAAUUGAUGAAGCUAAAAGAAAAAAAAUACCUAUAACUAUUAUGAAUUUAACAUUCUACAACAACAACAACAACAACAACAAAGCCUUUUCCCACUAAGUGGGGUCGGCUAUAUGAAUCCUAGAACGCCAUUGCGCUCGGUUUUGUGUCAUGUCCUCCGUUAGAUCCAAGUACUCUAAGUCUUUUCUUAGAGUCUCUUCCAAAGUUGUCCUAGGUCUUCCUCUACCCCUUCGGCCCUGAACCUCUGUCCCGUAGUCACAUCUUCGAACCGGAGCGUCAGUCGGCCUUCUUUGCACAUGUUCAAAAUCACCGGAGCCGAUUUUCUCUCAUCUUUCCUACAAUUUCGGCUACUCCUACUUUACCUCGGAUAUCCUCAUUCCCAAUCUUAUCCUUUCUCGUGUGCCCACACAUCCCACGAAGCAUCCUCAUCUCCGCUACACCCAUUUUGUGUACGUGUUGAUGCUUCACCACCCAACAUUCUAUGCCAUACAACAUCGCUAGCCUUAUUGCCGUCCUAUAAAAUUUUCCCUUGAGCUUCAGUGGCCUACGACGGUCACACAACACGCCGGAUGCACUCUUUCCAUCCAGCUCGUAUUCUAUGGUUGAGAUCUCCAUCUAAUUCUCCGUUCUCUUGCAAGAUAGAUCCUAGGUAGCGAAAAACGAUCGCUUUUUGUGAUCUUCGCUAGAUUGCUCCGGUCAUUAGUGUGGAUAAGUAUAUAAAUGGAUAGAGAUAGGAAAGCAAACACAAGAUGUACGUGGUUCACCCAGAUUGGCUACGUCCACGGAAUAGAAGAGUUCUCAUUAAUUGUGAAGGGUUUACACAAGUACAUAGGUUCAAGCUCUCAUUUAGUGAGUACAAGUGAAUGAUUUAGUACAAAUGACAUUAGGAAAUAUUGUGGGAGAAUGAUCUCGUAAUCACGAAACUUCUAAGUAUCGGAGUGUGGUGUCGUCUUGACUUGCCUUAUCUAUCUCAUAGGUAGAUGUGGCAUCUUCUCUGGAAGUACUCUUCCUCCAUCCAGGGGUGGUAUCUUUAACUGGUGGAGAUGCACAAGGUAAUGUAUCAAUUUCACUUGAAGCUUACUUGUAGUUUCAGGCUUGGUCAAGCGCGAUACAAACCAUGUAGUAGGAGUCCCCCAAGUCGCCGAGCUAGGGGGUCUGCUGAAAGAGGUGACAGACAAGGUAAGCAAUCAGAGCUCCGACUGAUUGUUCACCUUCUCCCCAUCUUGCAGCAGCAUGAAGGAUAAAGAGAAGAAAAAUGAGAAGAGAUGAUAUGAGAUACUUUUGCUUUUGAAGAAGUAACUUUCCACAGGCUUAUUCUUGAACUGAGCUGGAGGGUUUUCUGGUUUCCUCCAGAGUAUAAGGCCGACUGAAGAAUUUGAGGGUCAAAACAAGUCCAUCAAAUCUAGAGUACGUUCCACCCUGCUGAUAUGGGAUACUUUUGCUUUUGACAGAGUAAUGAAUGUAUCGACCCGUGUGCUGUUACGCUUGUCUCCACAUGCUUCCUUGUAUCCUUCGCACUUGCCCUAUCUGUUCCUCAAGCAGAUGCGGAAUCUUCCCUGGAAACAUAAGAUGUUGAAGAUGAGUACUCGAGAGCAAUGCCAGGUAAGUAAUCAGGUAAGGGGUUCCAGGCAGUCAGUUCCUGGCUGGAAGCUUGAUUCCAAGUGCUGACUGAUUGCUCUCUUUCUCCUUGUCUUGCAGGUAAAAAACAAGGCCAAAAGAAAAGACAGGGAAAAAGCAUGAUAUGGGAUACUCUUGCUUUUAACCCUGAUGAUAUGAGAUAUUCUUGCUCUAGUAUAGCUUGUUUGCAGAGGUAUUAUCGGGGGGAAAGAAAGCUGAAAUAUUUCGAAAGGCUUCGUUGGGAGUGCCCUCUCAAAUAUGAUGAAGGGUUGAGCAUUUUUGCAGGUCUGCCUGUCCGUUGGGGAUGGAGGUCGACAUAUAUAGGAGUCUCCCUAACAACAAGUAGUAAUGCUAUUCCUUUACCCUGCUUGGUCAUAGCACGGUAGUGGGAGCUGCCAGUUUCACAUGUUUUAACUCUGUCAGAGCACUUUGAAAAAGUGGUCUGUGGUAUCUGGCUCUCGAGAUUUGGAGAACGAUGCCUCUUCGAUUUUUGAGAAAGCAAUCAUGCUGGGGGUAUGACUCUCGAGAUUCGGAGAGCAGUGUCUCUUCGAUUUUUGAGGAAGUAAUCAUGUUGGGAGUCUGGCUCUCGAGAUUCGGAGGGCGGUGCCUCUUCGAUUUUGGAGCAAACAAUCUUGUUGGGAGUGUUGUCUCGAAUGUGAGUAAAGGUUGGGCAUGUUUGCUAGUCUACCUUGCCACGAAGCACAAAGGUUGACACACAGGGACUUUCCAAUUAUCCAGCAAUGGUACUGUUCCUUUACCUCUCUCUUCGAUUUUGAGAAAGUAGUCAUGUUGGGAGUCUGGCUCUCGAGAUUCGGAGGAUGGUGCCUCUUCGAUUUUGGAGCAAGCAAUCUUAUUGGGAGUGUUUUUCUCGAAUGUGAGUAAAGGUUGGGCAUGUUUGCUAGUCUACCUUGCCACGAAGCACAGAGGUUGACACACAGGGACUUUCCAAUUAUCCAGCAGUGGUACUGUUCCUUUACAGUUGUGGGUAAUAAUAUGGUAGCUAGACCUUCAAAAUUUAUGUGUCUAAACUUUUGUUAGUGCUGUUUCUUUGCUAUUCUUUUACCUUUCUUGGUCAGAGCGAUGUAGUGGGAGCUGCAAGCUUCACGUGCUCAACUUUGGCAGAGAACUUUGGCAAAGUUAUUUGUGGUACCCAUGAGCUAUUGUUGCGUGUGGGAAGUGGGUGUGAUUGAACAGUAAGAUUCAUGUGCUUUCUACUUCACCAGAAGUCUUCGACAGAAUGCCCAUAAUUUCUGCAAAGCUGAGUGUGCGUGUGACAGGUGCUGACAAGGCUAGAAAAGUAGGUGCCUCUUCGAUUUCUGAGAUCGGCCCUCGUGGUCUCUGAGCAGCCCAGCUUUUGAGAAAGCGAGCGCCUCUUCGAUUGAUUCGGAGAACGAUGCCUCAUCGAUUUUUGAGAAAGCAAUCAUGCUGGGGGUCUGGCUCUCGAGAUUCGGGGAGCAGUGUCUCUUCGAUUUUUGAGAAAGUAAUCAUGUUGGGAGUCUGGCUCUCGAGAUUCGGAGGGCGGUGCCUCUUCGAUUUUGGAGCAAGCAAUCUUGUUGGGAGUGUUUUCUCGAAUGUGAGUAAAGGUUGGGCAUGUUUGCUAGUCUACCUUGCCACGAAGCACAGAGGUUGACACACAGGGAGUUUCCAAUUAUCCAGCAAUGGUACUGUUCCUUUACCCUCUCUUCGAUUUUUAAGAAAGUAGUCAUGUUGGGAGUCUGGCUCUCGAGAUUCGGAGGACGGUGCCUCUUCGAUUUUGGAGCAAGCAAUCUUAUUGGGAGUGUUUUCUCGAAUGUGAGUAAAGGUUGGGCAUGUUUGCUAGUCUACCUUGCCACGAAGCACAGAGGUUGACACACAGGGACUUUCCAAUUAUCCAGCAGUGGUACUGUUCCUUUACCCUUGUGGGUAAUAAUAUGGUAGUUAGACCUUCAAAAUUUAUGGGUCUAAACUUUGUUAGUGCUGUUUCUUUGCUAUUCUUUUACCCUUCUUGGUCAGAGCGAUGUAGUGGGAGCUGCAAGCUUCACGUGCUCAACUUUGGCAGAGAACUUUGGCAAAGUUAUCUGUGGUACCCAUGAGCUAUUGUUGCGUGUGGGAAGUGGGUGAUUGAACAGUAAGAUUCAUGUGUUUUCUACUUCCCCAGAAGUCUUUGACAGAAUGCCCAUAAUUUCCGCAAAACUGAGUGUGCGUGUGACAGGUGCUGACAAGGCUGGAAAAGGCUGGAAAAAGUAGGUGCCUCUUCGAUUUCUGAUAUCGGCCCUCGUGGUCUCUGGGGAGCCCAGCUUUUGAGAAAGCGAGCGCCUCUUCGAUUUUUGAGAUCGGCCUUCGUGGUCUUUGAGCAGCCCAACUUUUGAGAAAGCAAACGCCUCUUCGAUUUCUGAGAUCAACCCUCGUGAUCUCUAAGCAGCCCAGCUUUUGAGAAAGCAAACGCCUCUUCGAUUUCUGAGCAGGCGCCUCUUCGAUUUCUGAAGCUUCGUCGAGUGCAGAUUUUUAUAGGGGCUGGCAUUAAGUUCCAAAGCACACUUGAAUCUCCACCAGUAGAAGCUUCAUUCUUGCACUUCUAAGAUCUUGAUUUGUCCGACCUCUUCUCUCUUCAACACCUUUGAAAAUGUCUGGCCCCUCCGACCGUCGUUUUGACUUGAACCUUGUUGAAGAGGCAGCCCCGCCUUCUCCAGACAACAUAUGGCGCCCAUCCUUCGUCUCCCCUACUGGUCCUCUUACCGUUGGGGAUUCCGUGAUGAAGAAUGAUAUGACCGCUGCGGUGGUGGCCAGGAACCUUCUCACUCCCAAAGAUAACAGACUACUUUCCAAACGGUCUGAUGAGUUAGCUGUUAAGGAUUCGCUGGCUCUCAGUGUUCAGUGUGCAGGUUCUGUGUCUAAUAUGGCCCAACGCCUAUUUGCUCGAACCCGCCAAGUUGAAUCAUUGGCGGCUGAAGUGAUGAGUCUCAAACAGGAGAUUAGAGGGCUCAAGCAUGAGAAUAAACAGUUGCACCGGCUCGCACAUGACUAUGCUACAAACAUGAAGAGGAAGCUUGACCAGAUGAAGGAAACUGAUGGUCAGGUUUUACUUGAUCAUCAGAGAUUUGUGGGUUUGUUCCAAAGGCAUUUAUUGCCUUCGUCUUCUGGGGCUGUACCGCGUAAUGAAGCUCCAAAUGAUCAACCUCUGAUGCCUCCUCCUUCUAGGGUUCUGUCCAGUACUGAGGCUCCAAAUGAUCCCCCUCCGGUGCCUUCUCUUUCUGGGGCUCUACCGACUGCUGAGACUUCUCCUAAGCAACCUUUGUGAAGGCUCCCUCUUGUGUGCUUAUUUUGACUCAUGUAUAUGUACAUAUUUGUAGCUUAUCGGGGAUAUCAAUAAAUAAGCUUUCCUUGUACAUAUUUGUAGCUUAUCGGGGAUAUCAAAAAAUCAUAAUAGUUAAAACAAUACCUAUAAUUAUUAUGAAUUUAACAUUCUACAUGAUUAAUUUAGACUAAAAUAAAAAUCUCAGUUAAAUUUAGAAACGAGGGGAUUAAGUGGUGGUGAAGAAAGGACAGCAGAAUGGUAGGUUAUGUCGGUGGUGUGGACCGUGUGAUCAAUCUGAUCGUGGUUUGUGGAGACUGGAGAGGAGACUGGUAUUGUGCUGAUGGUCUUCGGUUGGGACAAGGAUUGUCUGCCCUUCCACUUCCGGUGUCCUUCCGUGUCCUCCUGUUUUGUGUGGUCACAGUUAAGCCAAGUUAACAUUUUAUAUUGUUUUUUUAUAGAGAUAAUAAGACAAAAAUGAAUAGUAAUAUAAAAUGUUGACGUGACUUAACCGUGACCAUACAAAUAAGAGGGCACGAGAGGGCAUUGGAAGUGGGAGGGUAGACAAUCCUUGUCCCUUCGGUUGAGUGGGGUGGGGUUUUCAAGCUACGCAUCAAAACACACCGUUUUACUUAAAUGACUUGACUCCUUUAAAAAGAAAAAAAAGAAAAAAAAGAAAAAAAAAAAACUUCUUCUCUCCAUCUCGGUUGCAGAAUACCAGAAGACCCACCAGAAGUCAGAACACGGUGCGGCCCCACUCUUCUUCUCCUCCACCACACUUGGUGGUCCACGGAGGUCCUUGCAGCCACUUGUUCGGGCUUCCGGAUGGUCCCAAGACCACCCAAGUCUCUUAGUAGAUGGUAUUACCUCAUGUGAAGCUUCCGAAACAACUUUGAUAUAUUUUUCUCAAAUUAUUAUGAUUGGUUGAAAUUUUUUUUUUAAUUUCCAGCCACGUUAAUUAAGGAUGAAUCAUUUUAUCUCUUAUUUAAGAAUAUUUGUUAAAAACAAAUGUAAAAAUAUUUGUUCCUUGAUCCUAACUUAUUUUGUAUAUAUUAGGAAAAAGAACAUUUCCAUAAAACGUAACAGGACUGCAUACCUGACGGGACGGUUAUGGUGUAGGCAAUCCCUAGCCAUUCCCAAAUUGUCACCUCUAGAUAUGCUUUGCUAGGAGUCCAUUAAUUGAUUACUUCACUGUUACUAUAAAUUUGUAUGUGAUUGCGCAGGCAUCAAUAAUUACUUCUCAUCAUUUUAAUUUGUGCAGUUGUGACUAUUUCUGAGCCUCAACAGAUCAAGCUUCCAAAUUUCCAAGGAACUAGUCUUUGGCUGUUACUCUUCCCUUCGUUGAGUUCUGCACCUCAAUAUUGCUCAAGAACGUUUCACUAUUUCUUUGAUUUCUUGGAGUGCCCUUCACUCUUAACAUGGCACUGGGAGAGGGUUUUCUUGCGGCGUUUCUAAAGGUGCUGCUCAACAGGUUGACCUCCCGCGAGAUUCUCAACUACAUUGGAAACUUCCGGGGCGUCAGAAAGAAGCUGGACAAGUGGAGGGCCGUGUUAACUGCAAUAGGAGCGGUGCUCAGCGAUGCCGAGGAAAAACAACUCACUGAGGAUGCUGUGAAACUGUGGCUCGAUGAUCUCAGAGACUUGGCUUAUGAUGUCGAAGACAUGUUGGACAAAUUUGACACCCAAAUGUUGAAGCGCAUGAUAGAGGGACGUGAUCAAGCCCGCACAAGCAACAAGGUGCGGACCUCACUUUUCAAAAUUAAAUUCAAUAGGGAUAUGAACUCCGAAAUGAAGAAGAUUACGGAGCGGUUGCAAGACAUAUCUGAACGGAAAGAGAAGUUUGGCUUGAAAGAUACUGGGACGUCUGCUAAGGAAUCGCGAAGUCUACCAAGUUCAGAUGUGUUAGAUGAAAAGCUAGUUGUUGGAAGGGAUGGUGACAAAGGGGAGAUUAUUGAAUUGUUGUCAAGAAAAUACGAGCAUGAAGGUGCUGUCAAUUUUGGUGUAGUUGCUAUAGUUGGCAUGCCCGGAGUUGGGAAGAUGACACUUGCUCAACUUGUAUUCAACCACAAAGAUGAUGCCAUGAAGGAGUUUGAGCCUAAGGUGUGGGUAUCUGUGUCUGAUGACUUCAAUGUGGUGCGAGUGACAAAGGCAAUUCUUGAAUCCAUCACAUCCCGACCCGUUCAAAUGGAGGAGUUUAGUAAAAUUCAGCAUGAUUUGUGUGAGCAAUUAAGAGGAAAAAAGUUUUUAAUCGUGUUAGAUGAUAUCUGGAACAAAGGCGACUAUGAUCUACACGAUCUCUGGACAAGACUUAAAUCCCCUUUUGGCGUCGGAGCAGGAGGAAGUAAGAUUAUUGUGACAACCCGUGAUGUGCAUGUUGCAAGGACUAUGGGAGCCACGGGAGUUCAUAAUUUGGAAUGUAUGGCAGAUGAUGAUUGUUUGGAAAUAUUUGAGCGACAUGCAUUUGGGGAAGUUAAUAGUGUAAAACCAGUAAAUUAUGAGUUGAUUCGGACAAAAAUUGUUGAAAAAUGUUGUGGCUUACCAUUAGCUGCGAGGACUCUCGGUGGUCUCUUACUUUGCAAAGAAAAAGAUGAGUGGGGAGAAAUAUUGGACAACAAACUAUGGAAUCUUGCAGAUAACAGUAGCCUUCUCCCCGUACUAAAGUUGAGCUAUCACUAUCUUCCAUCACAUUUGAAGAGGUGUUUUGCCUACUGCUCAAUACUUCCAAAUGACUACGAAUUUUGGGAGAAGCGGCUCGUCCUUUUGUGGAUGGCAGAGGGUUUGAUUCAACAAAAACCUGAUGACAAUAAACAAAUGGAGGAUUUGGGCCGCGACUACUUUCGAGAGCUAUUAGCAAGGUCGCUGUUUCAAGAAUCAAGCAAAACCAAUUCAAGAUAUGUAAUGCAUGACCUCGUUAAUGAUUUAGCACAUUGGGCAGCAGGAGAAAUAUGUUUUAGGUUGGAAGAUAAGCAAGGUGAUAACUUGCAAAGCACUUGCUUUCAAAGGGCUCGCCAUUCGUCUUUCAUUGCUGGUGAAUUUGAUGGAGUUACGAGAUUUGAGGACUUCCCAAAAGCUGAACGCUUGCGAACAUUCCUGCCACUUUCACUUUCAGAUUCUGGUGGAUGGUACAAAUGUUUGUCUCGUAAGGUUACUUUUGAGCUAUUACCACAGUUGCAAUACUUACGAGUGCUCUCGUUCAAUUGCUACACAAUAACUGAGCUGCCAAAGUCAAUCGGUGAUUUGAGGUUGUUACAGUAUCUUGACCUUUCCUACACAGAUAUAACCUGUUUGCCUAAGUCAACAAGCACUCUUUACCACUUGCAAACAUUGAUAUUGGAAGGUUGUUCUAAAUUGAAGUCAUUGCCCACAAACAUGAGUAAUCUAAUUAAUUUGCGCCAUCUCAACAACUCAGGUGCAUAUUCGUUGGAAGGAAUGCCUUGGCAACUAGGUCGAUUGACGAAUCUACAAUCAUUGCCUCUUUUUGUGGUGAGCAAAGGUAGUGAUCAAUCAGGGAUAAGAGAGAUAGGGCCCCUAUUGCAUCUUCGAGGGACACUGUGCCUCUCAAGAUUGGAGAAUGUGACUGAUGUCAAGGAUGCCAGGAGGGCCAACUUGAAAUGCAAGGAGAGGCUUGAUUCGUUGGUCCUAAAAUGGUCUCAUUCAAGCGACACGAGAGAAACGGAAUCCGUUGUGCUUGACAUGUUAGAGCCUCAUACAAAGCUCAAGGAGCUCACCAUCAAGAGUUAUGCCGUAGAGGAAUUUUCAUCAUGGGUUGGAGGUCAUUUGUUCUCUAAUAUGGUGCUUGUGCGGUUAGAGGAAUGUAACAAUUGUUUAUCGGUGCCACCUCUCGGACAAUUGCCUCAUCUCAAAGAACUUUAUAUUAGAGGAAUGAAUGCAGUGGAAAGUGUUGGUGCUGAGUUUUAUGGCGAGUGUAUCUUGCCUUUUCCGCUGUUAGAGAUUCUUGAGUUUGUGGAUAUGUAGCAUUGGAAGGUGUGGCUUCCUUUCCAACUGGAUCACGAAAGUGCUUUUUUCCCUUGCCUGAAAAGGCUUUCAAUCAAACGAUGUUCAAAGUUGGAAGGUGAGCUGCCAGAGAAGCUCGAUUUGUUAGCCGAACUUGAAAUUGUUAAAUGUGAGGAAUUGGUGGUUUCGAUUGCCAACUACAAACAACUUCGUCAAAUAAAAAUUGACGGUUGUAAAGUGUUGGUACAUACAGAUGCUAAGGUUGAGUUUGAGUUAUUAGAGUCCUUGUGGCUUUCAAACAUUUCGGAGGUGACGUCUCUGCAAACAGGGGAAUUGUUCAGGAAGGGAUUAAGCAAGGUUAGAGAUUUGAAGAUCCAUGGAUGUGAGAAGCUGACGUCUUUAUGGAAGAAUGAGGAUGCUAAGGUUGAGUUUGAGUUAUUAGAGUCCUUGUGGCUUUCAAACAUUUCGGAGGUGACGUCUCUGCUAACAGGGGAAUUGUUCAGGAAGGGAUUAAGCAAGGUUAGAGAUUUGAAGAUCCAUGGAUGUGAGAAGUUGACGUCUUUAUGGAAGAAUGAGGCUAGAUUAUUGCAGCGGUUGACUUGUCUUGGCCGUUUGGAAAUUGAAGACAACUCUUGUCUAGUUGAAGAAUUGGGAAAAGAAGCAGAGGAGUUGAUGCAAUUGCAAAUAUUGGAGUGCAAGCUUGAAUUUCUGGAGUUAAACAAGUGCGAAAAUCUUUGGACGCUACCAAAAGGAUUAAAUCAGCUGUCGUCUCUUAAAGAGCUUCGCAUUCACGAAUGUUCACGUCUAGUUUCUUUCCCAGAUGUUGGUCUGCCACCUUCUCUUAAAGACAUUGAGAUUAUAUCGUGCGCUUCGUUGAUAUAUUUUGCAAAAUUCCAGAUUCCCCAAAAUCUAAGAAGAAUAGAUAUAAGAGAUUGCAAAAGUUUGAAAUCACUAGUAGAUGAGGAGGAAUGUGAACGACUGGGUUUAAUAGCACCGAACGGGUUCUUCAGCGACAACACCAAUCACUGCCUUGAAUAUAUUCUGAUCUCGAAUUGCCAAAAUCUGAAAUCCUUACCGGAUGGCUUAUGCCACCUCAGCAAUCUUCAAAAGCUAUAUAUUGAACUAUGUGGAAGUCUUGUUUCCAUCCCGAGACUGAGUGGGGGGAGAAGACCCUCCAACCUGAGAACGAUCUGGAUCAUCGGAUGCGACAAAUUGGAGGCGUUGCCCGAAAACAUGCACAAUCUCAACUCUCUUGAGGAUUUGAGCAUCGACUACCGUGAAGGUUUGACUUUUCCUCCCAACCUAACAUCACUUGAUCUUUGGAAGGUCAAGAGUUGUAAGUCAUUGUGGGAGUUGGAGUGGGGGUUGCACAGACUCACCUCUCUUAGAUACUUGUAUAUCGACAGUGAAGACCCGGAUACGGUGUCGUUUCCACCCGACAUGGUACGGAUGGAGACGCUCUUCCCCAAAUCUCUCACUAACCUCGCAAUAGGUGGCUUCCCGAAUCUAAAGAAACUGAGCAGCAAGGGCUUUCAAUUCCUCACCUCCCUUCAAUCUCUGAAACUCUUCCGUUGUCCAAAGCUAGCAUCUAUUCCAAAGGAGGGUCUGCCUCCUUCGCUAGAGGAACUUUGGAUCGAAGGGUGUCCAGUGCUAAAAGAGAGAUGUCAACCAGGAAAAGGACGCUACUGGCACAAAAUAUCCCACAUCCCUUACAUAAGGAUAGAUUAUAAGAAGAUAUGAAGCUGAUGGUCCAGGUAUCAUCUCUCGAGGAAUGUUUUAAUAUUAAUAUUAUUAUUAUUAAUAUCUCACAUCCCUUUCAUAAGCAUAGAUUGGGAGUUGAUAUGAAGCUGAUGGUCCAGGUAUCAUCUCUCAAGGAAUGUUUUAAUAUUAAUAUUAUUAUUAUUAUUAAUCAUCUUUAUUCUUGUAAAGUAAAGUAAUCCACAUAUUUUGGUUUGGGUCAAGGCUUUGGGGGUUGAGGAGUGGCUACUUUGGGAGGCCUUUCAAUUGGCGUCAACGGGGAUAUUUCUCCGCCAACGUUUCUUCUCCCAGAUUCCUAUAUUUGCUUCUUUCUUUCUUUUUUUUAUUGGUAAACGAUUGCUAUGUUUGCUUGGUCCCUUUUCAUUGAUUUGUAUUAUAACUUUAUAAAUGUGCUACUCUUUCUCCCAGCAAGAUUUUAAUCAGGCCACUUUAAUCUAAUCUUUUAUUUUAUUUUAGCAAAUUUUGACUUAUGAGCUAGUAAUGCAUUUUAUUUAAUGCAUCGAGAAUAAGCAAUCAACAAAGAAAUGGAAAUGUAAAGAGCUCGUUGCUCAAGUGGGUACAAGAGUGAUUUUACCCUUGGCCGUUUGUUAUGCACUUGCUAGAGGCUUGUGGAACGAUGACCACUAAAUGACUUCCUUUACUAUAACUUGUCUUCCUGAAAGUAGAAAAUACGUGCCAACGAAUUUUGGUCAAUCAAAUCCUUAUACCAAGCCUUCAUCACUUGUUCAAAAAAUGCAUUAUUCAUCUAAUUGAUAUGUGAUAAAUUGGUGAUGAUUAUGCAUUUUAACCGAGUUCUAAGGAAAAUUGAAGAUAGUAAUACAUCAGUACUAAAACUACAAAAUAUUACUGAAUUUGUAUACUUAUUACUUGGGUGCCCUCUGCCUUGCUGUGCUGAAUAACAAUGAGAAUAUAUUACUGAAUUCUAGCAGGAAAAAGGCAGGCCACUCUCAAAAUUUGGUGAAUGGGACGUCAAUGAUCCUGCUUCAGCUGAGGGGUUUACUGUGAUCUUUAACAAGGCUAGGGAUGAGAAGAAGACAGGUGGAAAACCGGAGUCACCAGGAAAGGUUGAUCCUAAUAUCAGGCAUGGAGGAGUGGAUACUGGCACUGGCACUGGCAGGCCUUCGUCUGUAAGAUUUUUUCUCAUAACUCUGUCUCAUUUCUUUGUCUAAUGAUUUGAUAAUAUACACAUGAGACAGCCAAUAGCAAUACAUUCUUUACGGUUUUCUUAGUUGCAAGUUAUUGCUUUUCAAGUGACGUCAGUAGUACAACACAGCAUACCAUUUGAUGUGAAAAUCAAUGCAACUGACUUAUAUAGAACUCUAGUAAGGAAAUGUGGCAAAAGACAGAUCUAAUGUUAGGGCCAAGAUAUUUGAAAAAUAAAAGAACACAAGAUGAUUCGGCUGUUUUAUCUGCAUUAUUCCAUGGGAGUGGAAUUGGCAUACGUUAACUUCACUCAGGUUCCAUCUCCUUUUAGACAGAUGUAGCCUAAUAGGAACAUUUGUUUGUUUUAUUGUGAACAAUUGAAAGAACUAUUGGCCCUUGAAAUAUUUGCUCUUGUCAAUUGAUCAUUGUGUGGCCUUUUCGUUUUCUGUGUCUGCUGCAUUUCCAAUUAGUAGAAUAAUAGAACGAAUAACUGGACGGUAAUUAUUUCUGCUGCCAAAAUCUAAUAUGCUUAAAUUCCUCACUCUUUGUGGAUGAUUUGAUUUGGUUUGAUUUCCUGGUGCACAGAAAAAAUGGUUUUGCAGCAUUCAUCAACCACCAGCAGUUUUGUUGACAAUGUUGUUCUCCUAAGUGCUCCGAUGGAGGAGCACGGUGUUCUGUAACUGGCUCCACUAUAUUUCCUCUCUCACUGUAUGUCUAUGAAAUUGGCAGCCGGGUAAGUGAAGUUUGAAGCAAUGGUUAGCAGUUUGCCUAAGGAAAUCGUACAUGAUAUCCUUUUGAGACUACCUCCUAAAGCUUUGAUGAGAUGCACCUCGGUGUCCAAGCCUUGGAACUCCAUGAUAAAAAGUCCCAGCUUUAUUCGCACCAAGGUAUAAAAUAUCAAUGAUAUCGGAAAUGUCGGUAGUCCAAAAACACGGAAAUUUCGAUGGAAAUAUCGGGAUAUUAUCGAUAUCGAUAAAAAUUGAAUAAAAACCAUGGAAAUUGUUAGAAAAACUUGGAAAUUUUUAUUGAAACUUUGCUGGAUGUUUAUUUAGUCAAUUAUCUAUUAGUUUAUUACAAAAAAUUGGAAGGAAAUGCAUUGCAUGAUAGAUAUAACUGAUUUAAAUUGAUUAUAUAGCGAGCUGGCAAACAUGGUGAGUGUAGAAAAUAUGUAGUAAUUAAUGAAAGAAGUUUAAACACACCAUAAUCAUUUAUAUAUAAUGAAUUAGUACAAUAUUUUACACUUUAUACAUUUCAUGGUAAGAUACAUGAGUGACUUAGCAAGGUCUAAAAUAUCGAUGAUAUCGGAAAUAUCGGUAGUCCAAAAAAAUAUCACUAGUCCAAAAACGCGGAAAUUUCGAUGGAAAUAUCGGGAUAUUAUGGAUAUUUUAGACCAUGAUUCGCACCCACCUCAGCCGUACCAUCGAUUUUAAGCAGUUUGGCACCCACCGACUCCUUCUGCAUUGUGUUAGUGGAGACAAUCCAGUGGAGCAGAAUUACUAUUUGCAUUAUGAUAACCAUGCUUUUGAUGAGUACUGCAAGCUAGAGUAUCCAAGUGUUCCCAAGCGCAAGAGAUUUCUUCGUGUGGUCGGAAUGCGAGGAUCCGAAUACUUUUUAUGGGCUUAUUCACUUGCUAGAGGCUUGUGGAGUAGUCCUUGUUCUUUUGAUCCCGUUUGUAAAGUUUUUUAUUCUUGCAAAUUUCAGGCUUUUGUGAACUGGGCAGUUCAUUGGCUGGCAUGGCGCUGCUUGAACGAUGGUCGUUAUCAAAAUUUCAUUUUAGCAAUUGAUGUGGACGGUGAGUUAUUUUGCGAGAUAAGGGUGCUAAAGAGUUUCAGACAGGAUGAACCAUUAGAUUAUCACUUGUCUGUUUCAGGUGAUGGAAACUCCGUUGCUAUGUUCACGACAACGCGUGGUCGUAAUUGUCCUGAGGAUUUUCUUGACAUAUGGGUGAUGAAAGAGUAUGGCAUCGAGGAUUCAUGGGCCAAACUGAUAACUCUAAGUCCACCGGAUCCGGAAAGAAGGGUGCCCUACAAGCCCUUAUGUUUUAGGAACAAUGGUGAAGUAGUGUCCUGACUUUAUCACUUGUUCUAGUAAAAAACGUCGCAUGUACUGGGAUUUUCUCAGGGAUGCCUUGUGAUAUUCUGACAUGGGUAAAUUGUAGCAAUGGUCCCUCAUUUUUUAAUCAAAUUGGAGCAAUGAUUCGUCAACUAAAAUUUCAUUACCAUUGGUCCCUCAAUUUAUGAAAAUGUGUAGCUAUAGUCAUAUUCAUCAAUUUUGUCUAAAUAAGUUAUGUUGGAAUAAUCAUUUAUAUAAUUAGGGUCCCUCAAUUCAUCAAAGUGUGUAAUUAAGGUUCUUUUCGUCAACUACGUCAAAAUUUUUGUCAAAACGAGUUAUGUUGGACGGAUCAUUGCUACAAUUAGGUUAAAGUUAAGGGACUAUUUCUCCAGUUGAAUUAAAGUUGAGGGAUCAAUGGUAAUAGAUUUUUAGUUAAGAGACCAUAGCUGCACAUUUUGAUGAGUUGAGGGACCAAUAAUAAUGAAUUUUUAGUUGAGUGACCAUUGCUCCAAUUGAGUUAAAGUUAAGAGACCAUAGCUACAAUUUACUCUUCUAACAUUGCUGGAUGUUAGCUAGAGAUGAACAUUUUUCCUUUAGUUUGUCUGUUAAUUUAGAGACCUAGAAGAAGUUGCUUAUCACAACAUGUUGCCAAUGUUCAUGGAUAUAUACAGUUAAAUUAAUUUCUUUGAAAUUGCUUGUGAUAUUUUCGUGCCAAAUAGGAAGAGAAGAAAAUUGCAUAUCUUAUUUUUUUAGCUCUAAUAAGAUUUAUCUAGUCACGAGACUUUUACAAUAACUUUUGCUCCUAUGGUCAACCAAAAUAAUAAUAUUACAGUAGAGACUAGUAGUCCAUUAGUAAUUGUGUGUUCAACUGAAAGCAGCGAGAAAAAUACGUACCUUUUUCUCUUCUCUGUUUUCAAAGAAUUUUUUAUCUUCUUCCUCUGCAACCCUUGCAUGCAGGUUUGGCAGUAAAGUAAGUUUCCGCGCAAUUAAAAUAAUGGCAAACUAAUCUUUCGGUUUCGUACGAAGAUAGGAUAAUUUAUACUAAAUUAUUUUUUUGUCUUUUAUUAAAGAAUACAUUUAUAAAAAAAUAAAAAAAGAAGUUUUAAGUGUUUGGGAUCUUUUAAAUACCAAUUUCAAUACAGCUAUUAGUUUAAGUAACAUAAUUUUUAGUUUAGGUGCCAAUGAAAAAAUCAACUAAAAUAAUUCUAUAAAAACUAUUAUAAUUCAAAAUAAUUAUACGAUUGCCGCGUUUUCCGACCUGCCAACUGUAUUCGCAACCACCUCACCCUUACAAUCAAUCUUAAUAACCACGUUUCGACUGACCUCCUUGUACUGCAUUGUAUUCGCAUACACGAGCCAAGGGAGGAGCAUUAGUAUUUGCAUUAUGAUAAAUAACCAUGAUUUUGAUGAGUACUGUAGACUAGAAUUUCCAAUCAUUCCCAAGGGAGAAUGGUUUAAUACGACCUAUAGACUACAAGAACUCAAAUUCCUUUUUUGUUAUCUUCUGUAAACCAUCCAUUAGAGCUCUCGGCAGGCAGUGACCAUUUUUGAGGAAUGACUAGACACAUGUUGGGGCAUCAUCAUGACAUCAUAGGUGAACAAUACGAUUUCGCGUUUAAGUUUCUCUCUAUAUACAUCGUGUUAACUUUGUUUUUCUACUUUCCUAGCACGUUCCGGUUCGUGUAUUUUCAGUUUUUGUAUAGUGGAAAGGUCAAGUUGGUAGUAGAUUGACAUAGCGAAAAAAUUACUUGUCACUAAUUCAGUUUACCAAGCUUAAUUGGUCUCUCUUAACUUACAAAAUUGUCAUAAUAAGCUAGUAGUUUCACUUCAUGGAAAUCUUGCUCAAUGUUGUUUGACUUGUUUCCCUUCUUAAACAUCGAUCGAGAUGUUCGUUAAUUAAAUGCUAAUAAUACUUGCUCUUCACCUUCAAAUGGAUCAUAAGUUAAUAUAGCUCUGUGAUUAAUUAAGUAGUAUGACUCCAAAAUGGUAAAAGCAUAAUCCAUGAUAAUUUUGGUAAAUCUGAUCUCGGCAAGAUCAUGUUCUUCUCUUCUUGUUGUGUGGCUCACGUUGUUUCAGAGUCUUUUACUGUUUAAAAUUAAUUACUAUUCCACCCGAAGUUUCACGUUUGGGUCCUCUUCUUAUAGCGGAAACGAAAAAGUAUAACCGUGUAGGAUAUUUGCGAUAAGAAAGCAAUCAAAAAGAAAACAAUAUGACCCCACGAAAAAUAAAGAGAGAACAAAAACAAGGAAUCUUUCUUUCUUUACGGGCAGAAAGAUGAAGACAUGUUAGUCUUUUAACACGUAUCGCAAUGGCAAAUUGAAGUAGUUAUCGUCGAAAGAGGAAGACUUGUUAUAGUCUUUCAAGUCGACACCUAAUUAUCCUAGCAAAUUGAUCUGUAAAGUAGUCUACAAAAACUCAAAUUCCAUUUAAACUACCUGUUUUAUUAAAGGAAUAUACUAUCCGCAUAUCUAUUUUUACUUAUCAGACACUCUUUUUUACUUCUCACAUCCCCUUUGUUAACUUUUGUCCUUUGAUCUACUUCAAUUCAUCCGAUCCGACACCGAAAAUUAAAAUGAUGUGUGAGAAGUAAAAAAAGGUGUGUGGAUAUCACACCAUUUUACUAAAUCCUAAAUUGUAUAACUCCUUCAAAUAUAUCAAAGGCGAAUAUGGUACCUUCUGUAAACAAUCCGGUAGAGCUCUCAGCAGGCAAUGAUAAUAUUUAGGGAAUGACUAGACACAUGUUGGGACGUUAUCGUGACAUCAUGGGUUAACAAUACAAUUUGUGUUUAAAUUUCUCUUCACUAGCUUAGUUUUUCUACUUUCCUAACAUGUUCGGGUUCGUGCAUUUUCAGCUUUUGGGUAGUGGAAAAGUCAAGUUGCUGGUAGACUAAGUAGUGAACAAGUAGAUUCACACGGCAAUACAUAAGUCAAAAAUUACUCGUCACUAAUUCAGUUCUACCGAGUUUAGUUUGUCUCUCUUAAUCUUCAAACUUACAUAAUAAGCUAGUAAUUUCACUUCAUGAAAAUCUUGCUCAAAGUUGUUUGACUUGUUUCCUUUCUUUAGCAGCUAGACGUUCAAUUAUAUGCUAAUAAAACUUGCUCUUCAUCUUCAAUUGAUCUAAAAUAUAGCUCUGCGACUAAUUAAGUAGUAUGACUACAAGAUGGUUAACAAUAAUCCAUGGUAACCUUUUGCAGGAUCAUUUUCUUCUUCUUUGUGUUGUGUGGCUUAGGCUGUUUGAGUCUUUUACUACUUUAAAUUAAUUUAAGGAAAACUAAUGAAAAUGACUUGAAAACUUUGAGUUUUAACGAAAAUGACAAAAAUGUGUUGUAAAUGAAUAGUAUCAAUAUUGACUUUUUAGAGUAAAAAUGUGAUUUUUUGUUAAAGUAACAGUACCUUGAGUUUUUCUUCGUUAAAGUUUCGUUAAAUUUAUUGUCUCAACAUUAUCUACAAUGGCCUAAAAAAUUAAUCACCCUUUCAAACUAAUAUAAUCGGUAUUGCAAGAAAUGCAACUCAGUUGUUUACCAGCAAUCACCCUUUCACCCUAAAUUGCGUGUUUGGUUCCUCAUCUCCCAAAAUCGUUCGUAUAAAUGAAAAGAAAAUGUAUAACCGUGUAGGACAUAGGAGAUAAGAAAGCAAUUAAAAAGAUAAAAGAGGAAUCUGUCUUUUUUGGCAGAAAGAGGAAGACUUGUUAUAGUCUUUCAACACCUAAUCAUCAUUGCAAUUUGAAGAGCCUCGACUAGAAGAAAAAGACGUCUUAUGUACUCGGAAUUUUCUCCGGGAUGCCUUGUGAUAUUCUGAUAUUGCUGCUAGAAAUAAACAUUUUUCCUUAAGUUUGUCUGCUAAUUUACCGUCCUAGAAAAAGUUGCUUAUCACAACAUGUUGCCAAUGUUCAUGGACAUAUACAGUUAAUGAGUUUCUAUGAAAAUGUUGUCGAUAUUUUCGUGCCAAAUGUUGAGUGCAUCAUCUAUUUGUUGUAGCCUUAAUUUCUAGUUGCCCUCCAACUUUCAACGUUGCUUUGCUUAAUUGCAAACCUUUCAUCUCUUAUUGUGCUUUCUUCUCAAUAUUCUCACACCUCUAUAAGGCGAGAAGCAAAUUACAUAUCUCGGUUUCAAAGCUUUAAUAAGAUUUAUAUCUCUCUCAUUACAAAACUUUUACAAUAAAUUUUCCUCCCAUGGUCUAUCAAAAUAAUAAUAUUUCAGCAGCGACUAUCUAUUAUCAUAAAUUUUGGUGCAUUUGAAAGCAGCGAGAACAAUACAUUUUUAUUUUAUUUUUUCUCAAAUAAAUUUUUUGGUCAUUUUCCUCUGCAACCCUUGAGUUUCAACCCACUUUAUUUAUAAGAGUGAGGAGAACAAAUUUUUAAACCAAAUUUUGUAAAUAAAAUGAUAUGUCACUAAUAAAAAAUAAGUACGUUAAUUAAUACUUGAAUAAUUUGAUCUCUCUAACAUUAUUCUUAAAAUAAUGGUAAACUAAUUUUUUUAUUUAUUUUUACGAAUGAUAGAAUAAUCUAUUAAACUAUUGUGUUUUUUUUCUUUUUGUGAACAAUAAGACAAUAAACUAUUAUUUCGCCUUUUAUUAAAGAGUACUAAAAAAACGAAGUUUUUGAGAUCUUUUAAGUACCAAUUCCAAUAAAACUUUCAGGGUAAGUAACGUGAUUUUUAGUUUACAAAUAUUAAAAAAAACUAAUGAAAAUGACUUGAAAAUUUUGAGUUUUAAUGAAAAAGACAAAAAUGUGUUGUAAGUGAAUAGUACCAGAAUUGACAUUUUAAAGUAAAAAUGUGGUUUUUUGUUAAAGUGAGCAGUACCGAAAGAGUUUCGUUAAAGCUCCCAAAUACUAAUGAAAAAGUUAACCAAAAUAAAUCUACAGAUAUUAGAGCAAGUCCAUCCCUGAAAACUUUGUGCCAGCACCCAGCGUAUUUAUAUCUCCAUCGGCACCCGGAUGCAGUGUUAAAUGAGCAAGGGGGCUAUAGAAACUUCUUUUCGAACGACUCCACUCAAAGUUGUUUGGGAGCAUAUGCUCCUAUCAACUUUACACGGGACACACAAAAGAAGUACUUUGAUCCUAUUAGACGGGGAAGGGUGAAGAAGCUAGGACAGAAGGGUAGAGUUCAAGAGAGCAAAAUGCGUUUAGGAACGUGGAAUAUAGGAACCUUGACGGGAAAAUCUAUGGAAGUAGUAGAAGUUAUGGUGAGGAGAAGGAUAAAUAUUAUGUGCCUACAAGAAACUAAGUGGGUUGGGCGUAAGGCAAAGGAUCUAGAAAACUCAGGGUUUAAACUAUGGUAUUCGGGCACAAAUAGAACGAGAAACGGUGUUGGCAUCAUCGUGGACAAGACCUUGACACAAGAUGUUGUAGAUGUCAAGAGGGUAGGAGAUAGAAUCAUGGCAAUCAAGAUUGUAAUAGGACAAGAACUUAUCAAUGUGAUUAGUGCGUACGCACCUCAAGUAGGGUUGGAUACGAGUUCGAAGGAGAAAUUUUGGGAAGACCUUGGAGACUUGGUGCAAGGAAUUGCUCAGACGGAGAAGUUAUUUAUAGGAGGAGAUUUAAAUGGACACGUGGGCAGGGAGACAGGCAACUAUGGAGGUUUUCAUGGUGGCCAUGGUUUUGGGGAGAGAAACGAGGAUGGGGAAGCUAUCUUGGAUUUUGCAAUGGCAUAUGAUCUCUUCUUAGCCAACACCUUCUUUAAGAAGCGGGAAGAACAUGUGAUCACCUACAAGAGUGGGUCGUCAAAAACACAAAUAGAUUUUCUUCUAAUGAGGAAAAGGGAUCGUAUAACUUGUAAGGAUUGCAAAGUUAUACCAGGAGAGAGCGUGGCUAAUCAACAUCGCUUGUUGGUGAUGGAUGUACAUAUCAAAAGAGUGAGAAAAAAGAACAAGACUUGGAAGUGCCCAAGGACUAGAUGGUGGAAUCUAAAAGAAGAAAAACAAGCAAUUUUCAAAGAGAAAAUAAUCACCCAGUGUGUGUGGGAUAGAGAGGGGGAAGCUAACCAAAUGUGGGAUUCCAUGGCUAGUUGUAUCCGAAAAGUAGCAAAAGAGGUAUUAGGAGAGUCCAAGGGCUUUGCCCCACACCAAAAGGAAUCUUGGUGGUGGAGUGAGGAGGUACAAACAAAGGUGAAGGCUAAGAAGGAAUGUUGUAAAGCCUUAUACAAGGAUAGGACCGAUGAAAAUGGUGAAAGGUAUAGAAAAGCGAAGCAAGAGGUGAAGAAAGCUGUGAGAGAAGCUAAGUUAGCGGCUUAUGACGAUAUGUAUAAACGACUAGAUACCAAAGAAGGAGAGUUGGAUAUCUAUAAACUAGCUAGAGCAAGGGAAAAGAAGACAAGGGACCUAAACCAAGUGAGGUGCAUCAAGGAUGAGGAUGGAAAGGUUCUUGCUACAGAGAACGCGGUUAAAGACAGAUGGAAAGGUUAUUUUCAUAAUCUUUUCAAUGAAGGACAUGAAAGGAGUGCUUCUUUAGGGGAGUUGAGUAACUCAGAAGAGUGUAGAAACUACUCUUUUUAUCGUAGAAUCCGGAAGGAAGAAGUGGUUGUAUCUUUGAAGAAGAUGAAGCAUAGAAAAGCAGUAGGCCCAGACGAUAUACCAAUCGAAGUGUGGAAAGUUUUGGGAGAGACAGGUAUAACAUGGCUCACUGACAUUUUCAAUAGGAUUUUGAAAACGAAGAAGAUGCCAAAUGAGUGGCGAACGAGCACUUUGGUGCCUAUCUACAAGAAUAAGGGCGAUGUACAAAAUUGCAUGAACUAUAGGGGUAUUAAGCUAAUGAGUCAUACAAUGAAGCUCUGGGAGAGAGUCAUUGAGCAUAGAUUGAGGCAAGAGACACGGGUUUCGGACAACCAAUUCGGGUUCAUGCCAGGGGCGCUCAACCAUGGAGGCAAUCUAUCUCUUACGAAGAUUGAUGGAAAGAUAUAGAGAUGGGAAAAAGGAUUUACACAUGGUCUUUAUAGAUUUGGAAAAAGCGUAUGAUAGGGUCCCAAGAGACAUUCUUUGGAGGAUUUUAGAGAAGAAAGGAGUACGAGUAGCAUAUAUCCAAGCUAUACAGGAUAUGUAUGAAGGAGCAAAGACUGCCGUAAGAACUCAUGAAGGACAAACCGAAAGCUUUCCCAUAACUGUAGGAUUACAUCAAGGCUCAUCCUUAAGUCCUUACCUUUUUGCGUUGGUAAUGGAUGAGUUAACAGGACAUAUUCAAGAUGAUAUUCCUUGGUGUAUGCUUUUCGCAGACGAUAUAGUGUUGAUAGAUGAAACUCAAGAAGGGGUAAAUGCAAAGAUUAACCUUUGGAGAGAAGUGUUGGAAUCUAAAGGUCUUCGCCUAAGCCGAUCAAAGACAGAAUAUAUGGAGUGCAAGUUCAGUGCAAAUGGAGGCCAAAAACGAGUUAGGGGUGAGGAUCGGAGAUCAAGAAAUACCAAAGAGCGACCGUUUUCGUUACCUAGGAUCUAUCUUGCAAAAGAACGGAGAAUUAGAUGGAGAUCUCAACCAUAGAAUACAAGCUGGAUGGAUGAAGUGGAAGAGUGCAUCCGGCGUGUUGUGUGACCGCCGUAUGCCACUGAAGCUCAAGGGAAAAUUUUAUAGGACGGCAAUAAGGCCGGCGAUGCUGUAUGGCACAGAAUGUGGGGCGGUGAAGCAUCAACACGUACACAAAAUGGGUGUAGCGGAGAUGAGGAUGCUUCGUUGGAUGUGUGGGCACACGAGAAAGGAUAAGAUUAGGAAUGAGGAUAUCCGGGGUAAAGUAGGAGUAGCCGAAAUUGAAGGAAAGAUGAGAGAAAAUCGGUUACGGUGGUUUGGACAUGUGCAAAGAAGGCCUACUGACGCUCCGAUUAGAAGAUGCGACUAUGGGACAGAGGUUCAGGGCCGAAGGGGUAGAGGAAGACCCAGGAAAACUUUGAGAGAGACCCUAAGAAAAGACGUAGAGUACUUGGAUCUAACGGAGGACAUGACACAGGACAGAACACAAUGGCGUUCUAAGAUUCAUAUAGCCGAUCCCACUCAGUGACUUGGAUUUUUCCAAGUCUCCAACCGAAAAGUUUGUCCUCGCUCGGGAAAUUAAGGGAACACUACCUCAACCUACAUGCUCCACUCACAAAGCUCCAACAUACAAGCUUCAACAAAAGAAAAUUCAAAGAACUUAGCGAAGAAGGCUUUGGUGAUUUAACACAAUACGUUGAAAUGAAGGAAAGCUUAUUUAUUGAUAUCCCCGAUAAAUUACAAAUAUGUACAUAUACUUGAGUCAAAAUAAACAAACAAGAGGAAGCCUUCACAAAGGUUGCUUAGGAGAAGUCUCGGCAGUCGGUAGAGCCCCAGAAAGAGAAGGCACCGGAGGGGGAUCAUUCGGAGCCUCAGUACUGGACAGAACCCUAGAAGGAGGAGGCAUCAGAGGUUGAUCAUUUGGAGCUUCAUUACGCGGUACAGCCCCAGAAGACGAAGGCAAUAAAUGCCUUUGGAACAAACCCACAAAUCUCUGAUGAUCAAGUAAAACCUGACCAUCAGAUUCCUUCAUCUGGUCAAGCUUCCUCUUCAUGUUUGUAGCAUAGUCAUGUGCGAGCCGGUGCAACUGUUUAUUCUCAUGCUUGAGCCCUCUAAUCUCCUGUUUGAGACUCAUCACUUCAGCCGCCAAUGAUUCAACUUGGCGGGUUCGAGCAAAUAGGUGUUGGGCCAUAUUAGACACAGAACCUGCACACUGAACACUAAGAGCCAGAGAAUCCUUAACAGCCAACUCAUCAGACCGUUUGGAAAGUAGUCUGUUAUCUUUGGGAGUGAGAAGGUUCCUGGCCACUACCGCAGCGGUCAUAUCAUUCUUCAUAACGGAAUCCCCAACGGUAAGAGGACCAGUAUGGGAGACGAAGGAUGGGCGCCAUAUGUUGUCUGGAGAAGGUGGGGCUGCCUCUUCAACAAGGUUCAAGUCAAAACGACGGUCGGAGGGGCCAGACAUUUUCAAAGGUGUAGAAGAGAGAAGAGGUCGGACAAAUCAAGAUCUUAGAAGUGCAAGAAUGGAGCUUCUACUGGUGGAUAUUCAAGUGUGCUUUGGAACUUAAUGUCAACCUCUAUAAAAAUCUGCACUCGACGAAGCUUCAGAAAUCGAAGAGGCGUUUGCUUUCUCAAAAGCUGGGCUGCUCAGAGACCACGAGGGUCGAUCUCAGAAAUCGAAGAGGCGUUUGCUUUCUCAAAAGCUGGGCUGCUCAAAGACCACGAAGGCCGAUCUCAGAAAUCGAAGAGGUUUGCUUUCUCAAAAGCUGGGCUACUCAGAGACCACGAGGGCCGAUCUCAGAAAUCGAAGAGGUUUGCUUUCUCAAAAGCUGGGCUGCUCAGAGACCACGAGGGCCGAUCUCAGAAAUCGAAGAGGUUUGCUUUCUCAAAAGCUGGGCUGCUCAGAGACCACGAGGGCCGAUCUCAGAAAUCGAAGAGGCACCUACUUUUCCAACCUUGUCAGCACCUGUCACACGCACACUCAGCUUUGCGGAAAUUAUGGGCAUUCUAUCGAAGAUUUCUGGCGAAGUAGAAAGCACAUGAAUCGUACUGUUCAAUCACCCACUUCCCACACGCAACAGUAGCUCAUGGGUACCACAUAUAACUUUGCCAAAGUUCUCUGACAAAGUUGAGACUACUUUUCCAGCCUUGUCAGCACCUGUCACACGCACACUCAGCUUUGCGGAAAUUAUGGGCAUUCUGUCGAAGAUUUCUGGCGAAGUAGAAAGCACAUGAUUCGUACUGUUCAAUCACCCACUUUCCACAUGCAACAGUAGCUCAUGGGUACCACAUAUAACUUUGCCAAAGUUCUCUGACAAAGUCGAGACAUGUGAAGCUUGCAACUCUCACUACAUCGCUCUGACCAAGAAGGGUAAAAGAAUAGCAAAGAAACAACACUAACAAAGUUUAGACACAUAAAUUUUGAAGGGCUAGCUACCAUAUUAUUACCCACAAGGGUAAAGGAACAGUACCACUGCUGGAUAAUUGGAAAGUCCCUGUGUGUCAACCUCUGUGCUUCAUGGCAAGGUAGACUAGCAAACAUGCCCAACCUUUACUCACAUUCGAAAAAACACUCCCAACAAGAUUGCUUGCCCCAAAAUCGAUGAGGCAUCGCCUCCGAAUCUCGAGAGCCAGACUCCCAACAUGAUUACUUUCUCAAAAAUCGAAGAGAGGGUAAAGGAACAGUACCACUGCUGGAUAAUUUGAAAGUCCCUGUGUAUCAACCUCUGUGCUUCGUGGCAAGGUAGACUAGCAAACAUGCCCAACCUUUACUCACAUUCGAGAAAACACCCCCAACAAGAUUGCUUGCUCCAAAAUCGAAGAGGCACCGCCCUCCGAAUCUCGAGAGCCAGACUCCUAACAUGAUUACUUUCUCAAAAAUCGAAGAGAGGGUAAAGGAACAGUACCACUGCUGGAUAAUUGGAAAGUCCCUGUGUGUCAACCUCUGUGCUUCGUGGCAAGGUAGACUAGCAAACAUGCCCAACCUUUACUCAUAUUCGAGAAAACACUCCCAACAAGAUUGCUUGCUCCAAAAUCGAAGAGGCACAGCCCUCCGAAUCUCAAGAGCCAGACUCCCAACAUGAUUACUUUCUCAAAAAUUGAAGACACCGCUCUCCGAAUCUCGAGAGCCAGACCCCCAGCAUGAUUGCUUUCUCAAAAAUCGAAGAGGCAUCGUUCUCCGAAUCUCGAGAGCCAGAUCCCCGACAGGAUUGCUUGUUCGAAAACCGAAGAGGCACCACUUUCCCAACUUCAAGAGCCGGAUCUCCUUGGAUAAAGCUUGUCUGUAAUCUUCACACGCAACAUCAGCUUUCCAGAUACCACAGACCACUUUUUCAAAGUGCUCUAACAGAGUUAAAACUUGUGAAGCUGGCAGCUCCCACUACCGUGCUAUGACCAAGGAGGGUAAAGGAAUAGCAUUAUUACUUGAUGUUAGGGAGACUCCUAUAUAUGUCGACCUCCAUCCCCAACGAACAGGCAGACCUGCAAAAAUGCUCAACCCUUCCUCUUAUCUGAGAGGGCACUCCCAACGAAGCCUUUCGAAAUAUUCAGCUUUCUUUCCCCCCGAUAAUACCUCUGUAAACAAGCUAUACUAGAGCAAGAAUAUCUCAUAUCAUCAGGGUUAAAAGCAAGAGUAUCCCAUAUCAUGCUUUUUCCCUGUCUUUUCCUUUGGCCUUGUUCUUACUUGCAAGACAAGGAGAAAAGAGAGCAAUCAGUCAGCACUUGGAAUCAAGCUUCCAGCCAGGAACUGACUGCCUGGAACCCCUUACCCUGGCAUUGCUCUCGAGUACUCAUCUUCAACAUCUUAUGCUUCCAGGGAAGAUACCGCAUCUGCCUGAGGAACAGAUAGGGCAAGUGAGAAGGAUACAAGGAAGCAUGUGGAGACAAGCGUAACAGCACACGUGCCGAUACAUCCACUACUCUGUCAAAAGCAAAAGUAUCCCAUAUCAGCAGGGUCGAACGUACUCUAGAUUUGAUGGACUUGUUUUGACCCUCAAAUUCUUCAGUCGGCCUUAUACUUUGGAGGAAACCAUAAAACCCUCCAGCCCAGUUCAAGAAUAAGCCUGUGGAAAGUUACUUCUUCAAAAGCAAAAGUAUCCCAUAUCAUCUCUUCUCAUUUUUCUUCUCUUUAUCCUUCAUGCUGCCUGCAAGAUAGGGAGAAUGUGAACAAUCAGCCGGAGCUCUGAUUGUUUACCUUGUCUGUUACCUCUUUCAGCAGAUCCCCUAGCUCGGCGACUUGGGGGACUCCUACUACAUGGUUUGUAUCGCGCUUGACCAAGCCUGAAACUACAAGUAAGCUUCAAGUGACAUUGAUACAUUACCUUGUGCAUCUCCACCAGUUACAGAUACCACCCCUGGAUGGAGGAAGAGUACUUCCAGAGAAGAUUCCACAUCUACCUAUGAGACAGAUAAGGAAAGUCAAGACGAUACCACACUCCGGUACUUAGAAGUUUCGUGGUUACGAGAUCAUUCUCCCACAAUAUUUCCUAAUGUCAUUUGUACUAAAUCAUUCACUUGUACUCCCUAAAGGAGAGCUUGAACCUAUGUACUUGUGUAAACCCUUCACAAUUAAUGAGAACUCCUCUAUUCCGUGGACGUAGCCAAUCUGGGUGAACCACGUACAUCUUGUGUUUGCUUUCCUAUCUCUAUCCAUUUAUAUACUUAUCCACACUAAUGACCGGACCAAUCUAGCGAAGAUCACAAAAAGUGACCGUUUUCGCUACCUAGGAUCUAUCUUGCAAGAGAACGGAGAAUUAGAUGGAGAUCUCAACCAUAAAAUACAAGCUGGAUGGAUGAAGUGUAAGAGUGUAUCCGGCGUGUUGUGUGAUCGUCGUAGGCCACUGAAGCUCAAGGGAAAAUUUUAUAGGACGGCAAUAAGGCCAACGAUGUUGUAUGGCACAGAAUGUUGGGCGGUGAAGCAUCAACACGUACACAAAAUGGGUGUAGCGGAGAUGAGGAUGCUUCGUGGGAUGUAUGGGCACACGAGAAAGGAUAAGAAUGGGAAUGAGGAUAUCCAAGGUAAAGUAGGAGUAGCCAAAAUUGAAGGAAAUAUGAGAGAAAAUCGGUUCCGGUGGUUUGGACAUGUGCAAAGAAGGCCUACUGACGCUCCGGUUCGAAAAUGUGACUACGGGACAGAAGUUCAGGGCCGAAGGGGUAGAGGAAGACCUAGGAAAACUUUGGAAGAGACCCUAAGAAAAGACUUGAUUACUUGGAUCUAACGGAGGACAUGACACAAAACCGAGCGCAAUGGCGUUCUAAGAUUCAUAUAGCCGACCCCACUUAGUGGGAAAAGGCUUUGUUGUUGUUGCUUCCUUUCCCUUUCCGGUCCUUUCUUUAUCAUUUAUUUUUUCUGCUUUCUUCUUUCUUCCUUUCCCUCACCAUGUCGGUACCCAGGCUUCAACCUUCACUGCACGAUCGCACGACCUCGACACCCAGGGCUUCAACCUUCACCGCACGAUCGCACGACCUCCGACCAAGACCUCGACACCCAGGGCUUCAACCUUCACCGCACGAUCGCGGAGCUCAACCUGGACCACCUCAACAAGGUGUUCAUGGCCGUCGGGUUUCUGAAGACAUGAAGACGAAGUGGCCGGUGGCGUUCACGAUCGUGCGAUCGCGGAGCUCAACACGGACUCGCUACUGUGAAUGGAGUACAUGAAGACGAACCGGCCGGUGGCGUUCACAAGGUCGACGGGAGACGGCCUCCAGUUCAAACUUCCUUCGGACGCCAUGCUGGCGUCACCAUGGCAUCAGAUAGGCCGGUCCCAAGGUCUGUCGAUUUUAGGCCGGCCUGUGGACUGGCAUGGGCUGGGUGCCAGUCAAUUGGGUCGGCUAGAGCAAAUUCACUGGGUCCUGGCCUAUUUUUUCGGCUGGGUGCUGGGCAAAAAGUCCUCCAGUGGACUUGCUCUUACUAUAUAGAAUUCAAAAUAAUUAUACGAUUGCCAUUUUUUGUUUACCGGUCAACUGUAUUCCCAACGACCUUACCCGCACAAUCAAUCUUGAUAACCAGGUUUCCACUAACCUCCUUGUACUCGAUUGUGUUCGCAUGCAUGAGCCAAGGUAGGUGCAUUACUAUUUGCAUUCUGAUAAACAACAAUGAUUUUUUAUGAAUAUUGCAGACUAGAAUUUCCAAUCAUUCCCAAGGGAGAACGGUUCAAUCAUAACAUCAUGGGCUAAGAAUACAAUUUCAUGUUUAAGUUUUUCUCCACAUACAUCACGUUAACUUGGUGUUUUUUACUUUCCUAGCAUGUUCCCUUCUGUGCAUUUUCAGCUUUUAAAUAGUGACUUAUUAGUGAAAAAGCAGAUUCACAUGACGAAGACAUAAGUAUAAAAUUACUUGUCACUAAUUCAGUCAUCAAGCUUAAGUCAUCUAUUUUAAUCUUCAAAAUUAACACAAUAAGCUAGAAAAUUCAGUUCAUGAAAAUCUUGCUCAAUGUUGUUUGACUUGUUUCCUUUCUUAAACGUUUAGAUGCUCAUUAAUUAUAUGCUAAUAAAACUUGCUCUUCAUCUUCAAAUGGAUCAUAAUCCAAUAUAGCUCUGUUACCAAUUAACUAGCAUAACUACAAGUCUACAAGACAACUUUGGUAAAUCCGGUGCCGGCAGGAUCAUUUUCUUCUUCUUUGUGUUGUGUGGCUCAGGUUUUUUUUCAGUCUUUUACAAUUUUAAAUUGAUUGUCUCUACAUUAUCUACCAUGACCUACGAACAAUUGAAACAAUCACCCUCCCAAAAUAAUAUGAUCGGUGUUGCAAGGGAUUGUAGCUUAGUUGUUUACAAGCAGAUAUUUUUUUAUUUUUUUUAGUACAUCUUCUUUAUGUUAAGGAAGAGAAGAAGUUUGGCUAAGCCACACAAUGAAUAGCCUAAUUUGAUAUCAAAUUCGUCAUCUACAAUAUUCGAACCUAAGGCCUCUACUUAUAAGUGAGGAGGAAUAUCAUUAGAUCGUAGUACUAGGUGUUGCAAUUAGUCAUUUUUUUGUUGAGAAUAAAUCUCAUAUUAAUGAAAUGAGAGACUUUGUAUGUGCUUAUAAUAAGUAGUUGAGGUACUCUCCCUAUUGUCAAAUUUUUUUUGGUGGAACUUCAACAUUUUUCAUGCUAUCAAAACAAGUUGUCUCAUGUAUGACACAUAAUGGCUUUACGUGAUCCAUAUCUUUCGAGUUGUAUUAUUCACAUGUUAAACUUAAAAUUCGUCAUACGUAACGGAACAUAUUAAGAAUGAAUCUCAUAUUAAAAAAAAAAAAAAGACUUUGAAAUCUCAAGUUUAUUCUAUUUCCAUCCAAAGUUCUAUAUUUGAUUUCCCAUCUCCAAAAUCGUUCCUAUAAAGAAAAAGAAAAAGUAUAACGUACGUGUAGGGCUUUGGAGAUAAGAAAUCAAAUAAAAAGACAACAAUAUGACCCCACGAAAAGUACAGAGGGAAAAGAGGAGUCCUUCUUUGUGGGCAGAAAGGUGCAGACUUGUUAUAAGUCUUUCAACACCUAAUUAUCAAAAGCAAAUUGCAGAGUUCGAGAGUAGUCUGGAUCUGUUGAUUUUUAUAAUCUAUGGAAACAAGUCCCUUCAUCUGAAAACUUGUACGCAGUAAGUUCCUCUUGCAACUAUAUAUGCGAAAUUCAUUAUUUAUUAAUGAAUUAUUUCAUUUUUCUUGAAGUUUGUAUAUUUAAUUAAAGAUUUCAUCAAUAACCAGCUAUAUAAUUUGUGCUGUUUUCAGCCUUGAUUAUUCCAUCAUUCGGUCUGGAUUUGUUGACGAUAAGUGCAAACAAGUGCCCUCAUGACCUGACAGGCUUCCAUGUAACUGCUGCUUGCUUCAGAUCAUGCCCAAUAUUUGUGCAACGGUGCAAGUUUCGAGUCUUGAAGCGUAGGGUUGCAAGAAUUCCCCCCUGCAGUUACGGGUAAUCCCAAAACUGCCCAUUUUUUGUCCAGUUCAAAUUUAAGAAAAAUAAUGUUUACUAGUAUAUGAUUUUUGCAAGCUUGAGUUUUUCUUUUUGCUCGUCUUUUAAAUUUAUAUGGUGUGUUUUAUUGUGCUUUAUUAUUUAUUGUGUUUUAUGUCAUCUCAAAUGACAAGUGAAUCAAAUGUACACAAUUAACAAUUAAUGGGAUAAAUUUAUUAAUUGAUGUGACAUAUCACAUCAAAUUGUACAUAAAUAUGGUACAAACAUAUGUGAUUCCCUUAACAUUUUCGGAUUUUCCUAGUAAUAUUAUAUGGCGUGUUAUUGUGCUUUAUACAUACAAUAUCAAGUUUUUUUUUUUUUUUUUUUUUUGCUUUUUAUUGGAACAUACAAUAUCAAGUUAUUAGGGACUGUAUACCUGGUGGUGGGAAGGUUAUGAUGUAGGCAACCUUGAUCUGAAUCCGGCCCGUUGCCAUCCUUUGCUAUUCCCAAAUUGUUAUCUCUAGAUAUGCUUACUAGGAGUCUCCAUUAAUUGAAUAUUAUUUCAAUUUUACUAUAAAUUUAUAUAGGUAAAUGCUAGGGACAUUAAAUUACUUUAGUCUAAAGUAAGGUUUGAAAUUGGCACUAUUUAAAUGAACAGUGUUUCAAUCCGAAUUUCAGAUUAAUUACAACCAUGCCAUUGGUCUUUGUGUUGGUUUUGGGUCAGCAGCCAGGCCCUCAGCCAUGCCCAAAUGUGUUGGUUUUAGCUGGGAAGCCCCGCCCUCAGUGAGGCCCAAAUUGUUAAUUACAAUUUUGCCCAUCUAAGAUUACAAUCCAAUGGUGGAGAUGGUGUAUUAAGAAGGGCAAUUUUGUCCUCUCCGUUUUGGGCGAGAUAGGGGGUCAUCGGGUAGGUAUCAUUUGCUGUCGUUCAAUUAGGGUUUCAGGGAGGGUCUGAGAGAGAGAGAGAGAGACAGAGAGAGAUGGCGAUGGGAGGAGAGCGAGGGGGAGGGGUAGGGCUCUCGGCACUGUUGUUGCGGAUGGGAGGGUCGGUAUGGUCAGAGAAGACCAUAUGGGUCGUCGGGAUUUCAGGGAGACGGGGUAGGGGUCAUCAACAAACCCUAUUGAGAGUGGGGUGUGCUGGAUCUUGCGCUGCAUGCCUCGAAUCCAAAGAUAAGUUCUUUUUAAAAUUGUAUUCUUUAAUGGUGCCUUAGAUUUUCUAAUUGUUUAGUAUGUUAGGUCCGGUUUUGGGGGAUUUGUGAUUUUACAGAGAGAGAUGGAUAGGGAGAUAGAGAUAGAGAGAGAGAGGAGAUAGCAUGGGUGUGUGCAUUUUUUUGAGUUAAUUAAUGGGUUAGUGCGCAUGUCAGUGAGGAGAGUGACAGAGGGGUGAAUGGCAUUGGCAGGGUAUGGGUUUUCAGUUUUUCCCUCUGAUUCAAUAGGUUAUGCACUGUUUGAAAAUAAAUUGUUUAUUGUUUUGUUUUCCGUUUGCUUUGUUAAAACCAUCAUUCGAAUUUUUCGGUUUCACUGUGCUCAUUUCUGUGCUUCUUCAAAAUUUUCUGGUGUUUGCUUUUCAUUCCUAUGUUGGUUGAUUUUUUUUUUUUCCCAUUUCUUGGUUCCUUAUGUAUUUCUUGGUUCUGUCUAAUUUUUUGCUGUGGGAUGAUGCUUGCAGGUGAACCUGAAAACAGCAUACAAGAUAGAGAACUGGUAUGCUAUUUUGUCUUUCUGUUGGAUUUUGAUGUUUAUGUUCUGCUACUAAGAGGAUUUUAUAGUGUUCUAAAUCUGUUUUGUAAAUGUGCUUAAAGAUUGGACAUGUUCUUGAAUGUUAGCCAUGUUGUUUGAAUUGGAUAUGUGAUUGAAUAUUAGGUAUUUAGUUUGAAUUGAUCUGGAUAUGUGGUUUAUUGAACUAGAAUUUGGAUAUGUGCUGAUUUGAAUUGAGUAUGUUGAAUUAGAGAUGUGCUACUUUGAAUUAAGUUGAAAAAUGGCAAGCCAUGGUAUAUUGAAUGUUUUUUUUUGCCCCAAAUUUACAUAAGUCCCAAAGGGUGAAUGUCGUCCCAAAACUUUACAACAACAACAACAACAAAGCCUUUUCCCACUAAGUGGGGUCGGCUAUAUGAAUCCUAGAACGCCAUUGCGCUCGGUUUUGUAUCAUGUCCUCCGUUAGAUCCAAGUACUCUAAGUCUUUUCUUAGAGUCUCUUCCAAAGUUGUCCUAGGUCUUCCUCUACCCCUUCGGCCUUGAACCUCUGUCCCGUAGUUACAUCUUCGAACCGGAGCGUCAGUCGGCCUUCUUUGCACAUGUUCAAAAUCACCGGAGCCGAUUUUCUCUCAUAUUUCCUACAAUUUCGGCUACUCCUACUUUACCUCAGAUAUCCUAAUUCCCAAUCUUAUCCUUUCUCGUGUGCCCACACAUCCCACGAAGCAUCCUCAUCUCCGCUACACCCAUUUUGUGUACGUGUUGAUGCUUCACCACCCAACAUUCUGUGCCAUACAACAUCGCUAGCCUUAUUGCCGUCCUAUAAAAUUUUCCCUUGAGCUUCAGUGGCCUACGACGGUCACACAACACGCCGGAUGCACUCUUUCCAUCCAGCUCGUAUUCUAUGGUUGAGAUCUCCAUCUAAUUCUCCGUUCUCUUGCAAGAUAGAUCCUAGGUAGCGAAAACGAUCGCUUUUUGUGAUCUUCGCUAGAUUGCUCCGGUCAUUAGUGUGGAUAAGUAUAUAAAUGGAUAGAGAUAGGAAAGCAAAUACAAGAUGUACGUGGUUCACCCAGAUUGGCUACGUCCACGGAAUAGAAGAGUUCUCAUUAAUUGUGAAGGGUUUACACAAGUACAUAGGUUCAAGCUCUCAUUUAGUGAGUACAAGUGAAUGAUUUAGUACAAAUGACAUUAGGAAAUAUUGUGGGAGAAUGAUCUCGUAAUCACGAAACUUCUAAGUAUCGGAGUGUGGUGUCGUCUUGCCUUACCUUAUCUGUCUCAUAGGUAGAUGUGGCAUCUUCUCUGGAAGUACUCUUCCUCCAUCCAGGGGUGGUAUCUUUAACUGGUGGAGAUGCACAAGGUAAUGUAUCAAUUUCACUUGAAGCUUACUUGUAGUUUCAGGCUUGGUCAAGCGCGAUACAAACCAUGUAGUAGGAGUCCCCCAAGUCGCCGAGCUAGGGGGUCUGCUGAAAGAGGUGACAAACAAGGUAAGCAAUCAGAGCUCCGACUGAUUGUUCACCUUCUCCCCAUCUUGCAGCAGCAUGAAGGAUAAAGAGAAGAAAAAUGAGAAGAGAUGAUAUGAGAUACUUUUGCUUUUGAAGAAGUAACUUUCCACAGGCUUAUUCUUGAACUGAGCUGGAGGGUUUUCUGGUUUCCUCCAGAGUAUAAGGCCGACUGAAGAAUUUGAGGGUCAAAACAAGUCCAUCAAAUCUAGAGUACGUUCCACCCUGCUGAUAUGGGAUACUUUUGCUUUUGACAGAGUAAUGAAUGUAUCGGCACGUGUGCUGUUACGCUUGUCUCCACAUGCUUCCUUGUAUCCUUCGCACUUGCCCUAUCUGUUCCUCAAGCAGAUGCGGAAUCUUCCCUGGAAACAUAAGAUGUCGAAGAUGAGUACUCGAGAGCAAUGCCAGGUAAGUAAUCAGGUAAGGGGUUCCAGGCAGUCAGUUCCUGGCUGGAAGCUUGAUUCCAAGUGCUGACUGAUUGCUCUCUUUCUCCUUGUCUUGCAGGUAAAAACAAGGCCAAAAGAAAAGACAGGGAAAAAGCAUGAUAUGGGAUACUCUUGCUUUUAACCCUGAUGAUAUGAGAUAUUCUUGCUCUAGUAUAGCUUGUUUGCAGAGGUAUUAUCGGGGGGAAAGAAAGCUGAAUAUUUCGAAAUGCUUCGUUGGGAGUGCCUUCUCAGAUAUGAUGAAGGGUUGAGCAUUUUUGCAGGUCUGCCUGUCCGUUGGGGAUGGAGGUCGACAUAUAUAGGAGUCUCCCUAAAAACAAGUAGUAAUGCUAUUCCUUUACCCUGCUUGGUCAUAGCACGGUAGUGGGAGCUGCCAGUUUCACAUGUUUUAACUCUGUCAGAGCACUUUGAAAAAGUGGUCUGUGGUAUCUGGCUCUCGAGAUUCGGAGAACGAUGCCUCUUCGAUUUUUGAGAAAGCAAUCAUGCUGGGGGUAUGACUCUCGAGAUUCGGAGAGCAGUGUCUCUUCGAUUUUUGAGGAAGUAAUCAUGUUGGGAGUCUGGCUCUCGAGAUUCGGAGGGCGAUGCCUCUUCGAUUUUGGAGCAAGCAAUCUUGUUGGGAGUGUUGUCUCGAAUGUGAGUAAAGGUUGGGCAUGUUUGCUAGUCUACCUUGCCACGAAGCACAAAGGUUGACACACAGGGACUUUCCAAUUAUCCAGCAAUGGUACUGUUCCUUUACCCUCUCUUCGAUUUUGAGAAAGUAGUCAUGUUGGGAGUCUGGCUCUCGAGAUUCGGAGGACGGUGCCUCUUCGAUUUUGGAGCAAGCAAUCUUAUUGGGAGUGUUUUCUCGAAUGUGAGUAAAGGUUGGGCAUGUUUGCUAGUCUACCUUGCCACGAAGCACAGAGGUUGACACACAGGGACUUUCCAAUUAUCCAGCAGUGGUACUGUUCCUUUACAGUUGUGGGUAAUAAUAUGGUAGCUAGACCUUCAAAAUUUAUGUGUCUAAACUUUUGUUAGUGCUGUUUCUUUGCUAUUCUUUUACCUUUCUUGGUCAGAGCGAUGUAGUGGGAGCUGCAAGCUUCACGUGCUCAACUUUGGCAGAGAACUUUGGCAAAGUUAUUUGUGGUACCCAUGAGCUAUUGUUGCGUGUGGGAAGUGGAUGAUUGAACAGUAAGAUUCAUGUGCUUUCUACUUCACCAGAAGUCUUCGACAGAAUGCCCAUAAUUUCUGCAAAGCUGAGUGUGCGUGUGACAGGUGCUGACAAGGGUAGAAAAGUAGGUGCCUCUUCGAUUUCUGAGAUUGGCCCUCGUGGUCUCUGAGCAGCCCAGCUUUUGAGAAAGCGAGCGCCUCUUCGAUUGAUUCGGAGAACGAUGCCUCAUCGAUUUUUGAGAAAGCAAUCAUGCUGGGGGUCUGGCUCUCGAGAUUCGGGGAGCAGUGUCUCUUCGAUUUUUGAGAAAGUAAUCAUGUUGGGAGUCUGGCUCUCGAGAUUCGGAGGGCGGUGUCUCUUCGAUUUUGGAGCAAGCAAUCUUGUUGGGAGUGUUUUCUCGAAUGUGAGUAAAGGUUGGGCAUGUUUGCUAGUCUACCUUGCCACGAAGCACAGAGGUUGACACACAGGGACUUUCCAAUUAUCCAGCAAUGGUACUGUUCCUUUACCCUCUCUUCGAUUUUUAAGAAAGUAGUCAUGUUGGGAGUCUGGCUCUCGAGAUUCGGAGGACGGUGCCUCUUCGAUUUUGGAGCAAGCAAUCUUAUUGGGAGUGUUUUCUCGAAUGUGAGUAAAGGUUGGGCAUGUUUGAUAGUCUACCUUGCCACGAAGCACAGAGGUUGACACACAGGGACUUUCCAAUUAUCCAGCAGUGGUACUGUUCCUUUACCCUUGUGGGUAAUAAUAUGGUAGCUAGACCUUCAAAAUUUAUGGGUCUAAACUUUGUUAGUGCUGUUUCUUUGCUAUUCUUUUACCCUUCUUGGUCAGAGCGAUGUAGUGGGAGCUGCAAGCUUCACGUGCUCAACUUUGGCAGAGAACUUUGGCAAAGUUAUCUGUGGUACCCAUGAGCUAUUGUUGCGUGUGGGAAGUGGGUGAUUGAACAGUAAGAUUCAUGUGUUUUCUACUUCCCCAGAAGUCUUUGACAGAAUGCCUAUAAUUUCCGCAAAACUGAGUGUGCGUGUGACAGGUGCUGACAAGGCUGGAAAAGGCUGGAAAAGUAGGUGCCUCUUCGAUUUCUGAGAUCGGCCCUCGUGGUCUCUGGGGAGCCCAGCUUUUAAGAAAGCGAGCGUAUCUUCGAUUUUUGAGAUCGGCCAUCGUGGUCUUUGAGCAGCCCAACUUUUGAGAAAGCAAACGCCUCUUCGAUUUCUGAGAUCAACCCUCGUGAUCUCUAAGCAGCCCAGCUUUUGAGAAAGCAAACGCCUCUUCGAUUUCUGAGCAGGCGCCUCUUCGAUUUCUGAAGCUUCGUCGAGUGCAGAUUUUUAUAGGGGCUGGCAUUAAGUUCCAAAGCACACUUGAAUCUCCACCAGUAGAAGCUUCAUUCUUGCACUUCUAAGAUCUUGAUUUUUCCGACCUCUUCUCUCUUCAACACCUUUGAAAAUGUCUGGCCCCUCCGACCGUCGUUUUGACUUGAACCUUGUUGAAGAGGCAGCCCCGCCUUCUCCAGACAACAUAUGGCGCCCAUCCUUCGUUUCCCCUACUGGUCCUCUUACCGUUGGGGAUUCCGUGAUGAAGAAUGAUAUGACCGCUGCGGUGGUGGCCAGGAACCUUCUCACUCCCAAAGAUAACAGACUACUUUCCAAACGGUCUGAUGAGUUAGCUGUUAAGGAUUCGCUGGCUCUCAGUGUUCAGUGUGCAGGUUCUGUGUCUAAUAUGGCCCAACACCUAUUUGCUCGAACCCGCCAAGUUGAAUCAUUGGCGGCUGAAGUGAUGAGUCUCAAACAGGAGAUUAGAGGGCUCAAGCAUGAGAAUAAACAGUUGCACCGGCUCGCACAUGACUAUGCUACAAACAUGAAGAGGAAGCUUGACCAGAUGAAGGAAACUGAUGGUCAGGUUUUACUUGAUCAUCAGAGAUUUGUGGGUUUGUUCCAAAGGCAUUUAUUGCCUUCGUCUUCUGGGGCUGUACCGCGUAAUGAAGCUCCAAAUGAUCAACCUCUGAUGCCUCCUCCUUCUAGGGUUCUGUCCAGUACUGAGGCUCCAAAUGAUCCCCCCCUCCGGUGCCUUCUCUUUCUGGGGCUCUACCUGACUGCUGAGACUUCUCCUAAGCAACCUUUGUGAAGGCUCCCUCUUGUGUGCUUAUUUUGACUCAUGUAUAUGUACAUAUUUGUAGCUUAUCGGGGAUAUCAAUAAAUAAGCUUUCCUUCAUUUCAACGUAUUGUGUUAAAUACACACCAAAGCCUUCUUCGCUAAGUUCUUUGAAUUUUCUUUUGUUAAAGCUUGUAUGUUGAAGCUUUCUGAGUGGAGCAUGUAGGUUGGGGUAGUGUUCCCUUAAUUUCCCGAGUGAGGAAAACUUCUCGGUUGGAGACUUGGAAAAUCCAAGUCACUGAGUGGGAUCGGCUAUAUGAAUCUUAGAACGCCAUUGUGCUCGAUCCUGUGUCAUGUCCUUCGUUAGAUCCAAGUACUCUAAGUCUUUUCUUAGAGUCUCUUCCAAAGUUUUCCUAGGUCUUCCUCUACCCCUUCGGCCCUGAACCUCUGUCCCAUAGUCGCAUCUUCUAAUCGGAACGUCAGUAGGCCUUCUUUGCACAUGUCCAAACCACCGUAACCGAUUUUCUCUCAUCUUUCCUUCAAUUUCGGCUACUCCUACUUUACCCCGGAUAUCCUCAUUCCUAAUCUUAUCCUUUCUCGUGUGCCCACACAUCCAACGAAGCAUCCUCAUCUCCGCUACACCCAUUUUGUGUACGUGUUGAUGUUUCACCGCCCAACAUUCUGUGCCAUACAGCAUCGCCGGCCUUAUUGCCGUCCUAUAAAAUUUUCCCUUGAGCUUCAAUGGCAUACGGCGGUCACACAACACGCCGGAUGCACUCUUCCACUUCAUCCAUCCAGCUUGUAUUCUAUGGUUAAGAUCUCCAUCUAAUUCUCCGUUCUUUUGCAAGAUAGAUCCUAGGUAACGAAAACGGUCACUCUUUGGUAUUUCUUGAUCUCCGAUCCUCACCCCUAACUCGUUUUGGCCUCCAUUUGCACUGAACUUGCACUCCAUAUAUUCUGUCUUUGAUCGGCUUAGGCGAAGACCUUUAGAUUCCAACACUUCUCUCCAAAGGUUAAGCUUUGCAUUUACCCCUUCCUGAGUUUCAUCUAUCAACACUAUAUCGUCUGCGAAAAGCAUACACCAAGGAAUAUCAUCUUGAAUAUGUCCUGUUAACUUAUCCAUUACCAACGCAAAAAGGUAAGGACUUAAGGAUGAGCCUUGAUGUAAUCCUACAGUUAUGGGAAAGCUUUCGGUUUGUCCUUCAUGAGUUCUUACGGCAGUCUUUGCUCCUUCAUACAUAUCCUUUAUAGCUUGGAUAUAUGCUACUCGUACUCCUUUCUUCUCUAAAAUCCUCCAAAGAAUGUCUCUUGGGACCCUAUCAUACGCUUUUUCCAAAUCUAUAAAGACCAUGUGUAAAUCCUUUUUCCCAUCUCUAUAUCUUUCCAUCAAUCUUCGUAAGAGAUAGAUUACCUCCAUGGUUGAGCGCCCUGGCAUGAACCCGAAUUGGUUGUCCGAAACCCGUGUCUCUUGCCUCAAUCUAUGCUCAAUGACUCUCUCCCAGAGCUUCAUUGUAUGACUCAUUAGCUUAAAUACCCCUAUAGUUCAUGCAAUUUUGUACGUCGCCCUUAUUCUUGUAGAUAGGCACCAAAGUGCUCAUUCGCCACUCAUUUGGCAUCUUCUUCGUUUUCAAAAUCCUAUUGAAAAGGUCAGUGAGCCAUGUUUAUACCUGUCUCUCCCAAAAGUUUCCACACUUCGAUUGGUAUAUCGUCUGGGCCUAUUGCUUUUUUAUGCUUCAUCUUCUUCAAAGCUACAACCACUUCUUCCUUUCGGAUUCGACGAUAAAAAGAGUAGUUUCUACACUCUUCUGAGUUACUCAACUCCCCUAAAGAAGCACUCAUUUCAUGUCCUUCAUUGAAAAGAUUAUGAAAAUAACCUCUCCAUCUGUCUUUAACCGCGUUCUCUGUAGCAAGAACAUUUCCAUCCUCAUCCUUGAUGCACCUCACUUGGUUUAGGUCCCUUGUCUUCUUUUCCCUUGCUCUAGAUAGUUUAUAGAUAUCCAACUCUCCUUCUUUGGUAUCUAGUCGUUUAUACAUAUCGUCGUAAGCUGCUAACUUAGCUUCUCUGACAGCUUUCUUCGCCUCUUGCUUCGCUUUUCUAUACCUUUCACCAUUUUCAUCAGUCCUCUCCUUGUAUAAGGCUUUACAACAUUCCUUCUUAGCCUUCACCUUUGUUUGUACCUCCUCAUUCCACCACCAAGAUUCCUUUUGGUGUGGGGCAAAGCCCUUGGACUCUCCUAAUACCUCUUUUGCUACUUUUCGGAUACAACUAGCCAUGGAAUCCCACAUUUGGCUAGCUUCCCCCUCUCUAUCCCACACACAUUGGGUGAUUACCUUCUCUUUGAAAAUGGCUUGUUUUUCUUCUUUUAGAUUCCACCAUCUAGUCCUUGGGCACUUCCAAGUCUUGUUCUUUUGUCUUACUCUUUUGAUAUGUACAUCCCAUCACCAACAAGCGAUGUUGAUUAGCCACGCUCUCUCCUGGUAUAACUUUGCAAUCCUUACAAGUUAUACGAUCCCCUUUCCUCAUUAGAAGAAAAUCUAUUUGUGUUUUUGACGACCCACUCUUGUAGGUGAUCACAUGUUCUUCUCUCUUCUUAAAGAAGGUGUUGGCUAAGAAGAGAUCAUAUGCCAUUGCAAAAUCCAAGAUAGCUUCCCCAUCCUCGUUUCUCUCCCCAAAACCAUGGCCACCAUGAAAACCUCCAUAGUUGCCUGUCUCCCUGCCCACGUGUCCAUUUAAAUCUCCUCCUAUAAAUAACUUCUCCGUCUGAGCAAUUCCUUGCACCAAGUCUCCAAGAUCUUCCCAAAAUUUCUCCUUCGAACUCGUAUCCAACCCUACUUGAGGUGCGUACGCACUAAUCACAUUGAUAAGUUCUUGUCCUAUUACAAUCUUGAUUGCCAUGAUUCUAUCUCCUACCCUCUUGACAUCUACAACAUCUUGUACCAAGGUCUUGUCCACGAUGAUGCCAACACCGUUUCUCGUUCUAUUUGUGCCCGAAUACCAAAGUUUAAACCCUGAGUUUUCUAGAUCCUUUGCCUUACUACCAACCCACUUAGUUUCUUGUAGGCACAUAAUAUUUAUCCUUCUCCUCACCAUAACUUCCACUACUUCCAUAGAUUUUCCCGUUAAGGUUCCUAUAUUCCACGUUCCUAAACGCAUUUUGCUCUCUUGAACUCUACCCUUCUGUCCUAGCUUCUUCACCCUCCCCCGUCUAAUAGGAUCAAAGUACUUCUUUUGUGUGUCCCGGGUAAAGUUGAUAGGAGCAUAUGCUCCCAAACAACUUUGAGUGGAGUCGUUCGAAAAGAAGUUUCUAUAGCCCCCUUGCUCAUUUAACACUGCAUCCGGGUGCCGAUGGAGAUACAGCGACCCUUGCUCACUUAUCACUGUGCUCAGGCCACACAGCGCGCCACUUACGGGUGACGCCCUAGCUUUAGCGCGAUUUUGUUCUGGAUUCAUUUUCAUAAGGAUUCGACGUGAUCAUGGAGUGCCGGCUGUCGACUACCUGACGCCCUCCCCCUCCUCCUUUAUCCGGGCUUGGGACCGGCCAUGUAAGACAUAGGCGGAGUUAUCAACCAAAACUUUAAAAGAAAAUAAUUAGAAAACAUGAUUCAGGAGAGAAAUAACAAGUCCAUCACGUAUUAGAAAAUCAGUUUUGCCCAGUGAUCGAAAUCAUUACAGGAUUAAAAACUAGAAUCCGACUUUGGAAGAACUUCCAUUCUCUUCUAAAACAGCUUCCACCAACGACAAACGUUCUUGCAGAUGUUUAACUGCACAUAGCAAUGGAAAAAGAUAAUAGGUCAGAAGUUAAUAGUUUACACCCAUUUUUCAAACACGGUGGUUGUUUGUUUUGAACCUACACCAGGUUCACCCUGUAUCAGCGGUUUCCCAGUCACACUAGUAUGAACAUUAGAUAUGAGUUUGAUAACACAAAAAACUAGUAGAUUUGUGUAUGCCCCCUUGGGAACUAAUUCUGUGUGGAAUUUUGUUGUAUGGGCUAUGGAGUAAAUACAUGUUGCAUGACGUGACUUGUUCGAGUUCAUUAGAGGGUCGUGGCGAUGCCCAUGGAAAGACAAGCUCAGGUCCUUUCCAUGUUCUUUUGUGAUCUUUGUUUCACAGUUGGAACGGGGGAGGUUUUGAUUCUGUGAUGAUAUUUGGGUUGGGAUUCCUAUUUCAGUGUCAUUUUCUGCCAUCUGUAUAGGAUCUCUUUGCCAUAAUUAAUCACCCCAAAAAAAUUAUUUGCAUUUGAUUCUUUGCAUAAACUUAUCUUAUGAAUAGUUGAGUAUGCUUUAAUGUCAAUACUAAUUUGUCCGUGACUAUGUCUUUGGUUCUCUAUGUUGUGUAUGGACCAGGGAAUUUAAAUUUUAAAGUGCUAUAUAACUUAUGCUAAAAUAUGUUUGGAAUACCCUAGAAAAAUUAGAUAGAGGCUUGAAAGGACUAGAUCCAGUACAUUUGAAAGAGCUCUCAGUACAAGACAACUUUGUUAAGUGUUUUUGUAGUGGUGUUCUAAUAGCAGCUUCGUAGUUUUAGUCUAAUGUUUUUGUUGUACAUUUUUAACAACCGAAUCUAAAAUCCCUCCGUACUUUAAAGUCCCUCCUCCAGACAUCACAUUAGAGAAUUAUAACUAUUCAACAUCCUUGGUGCAUUGGCAGAUUAAUGAUUGUAUCACGGAAUUUUGGCUAAGUUCCUUGAAUUAUUGAACCGUUAAUGCUUUCCAAAUGUUUUACUUUGAUUCAUUGUCUCACAUUUUCCAUGGUACAAGUUUACAUGAUUGCAAGCCGAUAGAAAGAGAUAGAUGUAGGGAGAAGUGGGAAUUGGGGGAGAGAGAGAGUGAGUGAGGGGUGCGGUUGCUUUUUAAAGAUUUCCUUGAAAUUGUUUCUGCAGUUUUUUUUUUUGGGUGGAUUUUCUCGAGUUCUUUCUAUUUGUUUGGAAUUGUUUCAUUUUUACUGAGAUUCUUUUGGUCCCUGUCACUAAACUCUGAUUUCUACUAUUAAUUGCUGCUGAAAUGUGACUUUUGCUAUUAAUUUUGUAAAUUAAUUAAGAUGCUUAAUGUUCCCUUAAUUGUGAUUAAGAUGGUCACAAUCCUACCAUCCUCUGUAUGCUCUGCCAUGUCCGCCGCCAAUGUUUUAUGUUCCGAUUUUUACUUUUUAAUCCUUUCUUACAACAUUUAAAUAAUCAGGUUGAAAUAGUAAUUCUAUUUUUCGACAAACGAUAGGUUAAAUUGUUAGUUGUUAUGAGAGAAGGAGAUCGUUUUAGAGAUCAAACCCGCAUCAAAAUAUAUGAUGAUUUCUGCAAAUGCGAUCAGCAGUUGCAUUUUACAAUAUACAACUUCAGUUAGCAUCAGUUUCUUAAUGAGUGGCAUGUGAAUUCUUAAUUUAAUUUCGGAAAAAAAUGCAUUUAAAUUUGGUGGUAUGUGAUGAACUUAGCAUUCUGUCUUUUAUUAUAUACUGGUGAUGGACAUUUUUAGCAUAUUGGAUUUAUCAUUUUCUAUAAAAUGAAGCUUCAUUCUCGCUAUGUUGUUGAUGUUUUUUUGUGAUUUCAGUUUAUAGUGCUUCUAAAUGCUGUUUUAAUUUAGGAAUUUGAAUAAUUGUUUAAAUGGGAUUGGAGGGUGAUAAAUAUUUCUAGCUAGGGAAAGGUCGCAUCCAUGUGUUGGUCGAAUUGAUGGAUGUAAAAAAUGAAUAUGGCAAGGUGUAAAAAAUGAAUAUGGAUGAACGUUUAGCUACUGCAUGUAGAUUCAGCUUUCCUUUGCAUUUGAGUGAGUUGGAAACCGAGUGGAACAGUUUGAGAGAGGGAGGGACGGAGGGAGAGAGAGAGAGAGGACGAUGUUGGGAUUUUGGUAAAGAUUUGAGCUUUAGUGGUAAGCAUGCUGAUUUGAGCUCACAGAAAAACCCAACAGUAUGUAGAUUGAAUUGAGUUGGGAACUGAGUGGAAAAAUGUUAGAGAGAGGAUUGUGUAUAGUUCUCAAAGCUUCUUACGUUGUUUUCUGAUGCAUCUUUGAGCCACUGGCCUUAGGUGGAGUCUUAUACUGCAAUAUUAUGUGCUAAUCUAAUAAACCCUGCAACUUAUUCGUCUUUGUCAUGAGUAAGUUUUGGUUUUUUUCAUUGGAAUAGGGAUUUAGUGGAUGAUUGUUUUUAACGCAUAUUAGUUAAAAUGAGUUGAGUAUUGGGUGCCAAUCCCAUGUCUGCAAAUCACAGUAGCCUAAGGAAGAAACACUGUCUGCACGAUCUAUAAUACCUAUUCACGCAAGAAUCUUUUCCCAAACUAAAAAGCUUACAUUUCCAAACGUGUAAAGGAUGGGCCACUAUCAUCUUACUUUUUCAAUACCUAAACCAUGCAGUGAUGCAUGGGCUGGAUAUUGCUCCUUUCAAGUUUCAAACCAUUAAAUGCUAAAGAUUUCUGGAUAAAUCAUCGUAGAAGUCGAUUCUACAGAUUCCUUCUUAGUUACACUCAGAUGAUAAUGUAUUUAUUGUCCUUGACAUGUUUUUAAAGUUUGCAUUUUCAAUGUAUAUUUCAUUAACUAAGCUUUAUCAGCGGAAUAUCAUCGCAAAUUUGUUACGGAAAAUGCUAUUGCUAGAUUCUGAUAUAUCUACUUUAGUUUUAAGGAUUACACAUUGUUUUACGAUAUAAAAUAGAUGUUCUGCCUUGAUUUGAUGCGGGGGUAUGCAUUAGCUAACAUUAAUUCUGCUUAGUAUUUCUCAAAUUCAUUUUGGGUUAAAAAGUUGGAGCUUUGGAUCGGGUUUUUUCUUUAUUCAUGUUGGAAGAAUACAUGCAAGUCAUAUCUUGUGUUAAAAUGCAUGCAUGAAAUAAACUUGUUGGAUGACUAGUGAAGUUAGGCUAGUCAACAUUCUUUGUGUAAAAUGCAUGCAUGAAAUAAACAUGUUGGAUGACUAGUGAAGUUAGGCUAGUCAACAUUCUUUGUGUAAGUUAAGCAAGUUAGGCAAGUUAGGCUUAUGUCUACUUUCUUUUCCUAUAUAUAUGUUUCAUUUGUAAUUGUUUCUUCAUGAAAUACACAUAAAAAAUUCUACAUGGUAUCAGAGCAGGUUCAUUUGUAACCUGUCUCUGCCAUUCUUGCUGCUGCAAUUUUUUCUUUCUUUCAAAGUCUAAGUCAUGACUGAAGAAAGUUCUGUGAACCAUGAUGAGGAAACCCGGCACAAUCUCUCUCCAAACUUCUCAGACGUUGAGGUUAACACCAAUCAACGUUUGUGUUCAGUUCUCUUGAACGAGUUCAAUUAUCUUCCUUGGUCCCGAGCUGUUUCACUAGCUCUCGGAGGCAAAGGGAAGUUAGGGUUUGUAAAUGGAAGCGUGGAAGCUCCAGACAGUUCUUCCUCUACAUACAAUGCAUGGCUCUGCAAAGAUCAACUUGUCAUGUCCUUGCUGCUCAAACACCAUGGAGAAACAUGUUGCUGAAAUUUUUAGCUACUCCAAUUCCGCACAUGAUCUUUGGAAAGCUUUGCAGGAUAUGUAUGGAAAUCAAAACAACUAUGCACGGGUCUUCCAAUUAAAGAAGGACAUUGACAGUGCUCAACAAGAAGGGAAAGCAUUUGUUCAACACCUUGGGAGCCUCAAAGCCAUGUGGAAUGAGUUGGAUGUAUAUCUCCCUCAUACCACAGAUCCUACCAUUCUCCUAAAACGAGCUGAGGAAGACAAAAUUUAUCAGCUGUUAGGGAGUUUGAGCUCUGAGUACGAGGACCUAAGGAGUCACAUCUUGAUGAGUCAAGACCUGCCUACCUUCAACAAUGUUUGUGCAACUAUCCAACGAGAAGAAGUAAGGAAGAAGGUUAUGAAUGUUGAUCACAAUCCUAGAUUAACGGAGACUCGGGCAUAUGCAUCAAAGUACAAGAACUCAUAAGCCAAGGUAUACAAGGGAAGAAACACACAUCUAAAAUGCAAAUAUUGCAAUGGUGUUGGUCAUGAGGAAGACAAGUGUUGGGAACUUCAUCCUGAACUCAAGCCUAAGUUCAGCAAAGAUGGAAGGAUGAUACCAAGGUCCUCACAACAAUUUCAAACCUCAUUUCAAGGCACAACUUGCUAAUGCUCACGCUCCUACUAUCUCACAAGGAUCCAUGGAGUUCACUGCCAAUCCAUUGUCAUUAAUCAAUGAAUUUGCAGCUUACCUACAAAGUAAGGGGCACGGAGGAGGCUCAUAUGGUCAAGGCAAUGAAGAGGGUAGUCACACACACAGCUAUGUUGGGACAAUUUGCCGGAUUUCUUGCUGGAAAUGAGAAAGUUCCAAAGGGAGAAGCAUCAGGUAUACUCAAAGCCUUUACUACUGCCCUAUUAACUAGUACUGAAAUUGAUUGUUGGAUAAUUGAUUCAGGCGCCACAGAUCAUAUGACAAACAAAGUUACAAAUUUACAUCAUUUUAAAAAAAUUUCAAGCCCCUCACAUGUGUCUAUUGCAAAUGGAAAAAAUGUCUUAGUUUUGGGAAAAGGAGAAAUAAACUUACUCUCUCAAAAAACACCUUCCACUGCCCUCUAUGUACCAACCUUUCCCUUCCAACUUUUGUCAAUUGGAAAGAUCACCAACACCCCUAAACUGCCGUGCUAUUUUCUCACCAAAUAAAGUAAUGUUUCAGGAUGUUCUCACCAUGAAGAUGAUUGGUGAAGGGGUCUUCAUAAAUGGACUUUACUACCUGUGCAAGAAUGCAUGUUUCACUCAGGCUCUUCAAGCUCAAUCGAAGUCCAUAGAUGAAAACCAACUUUGGCAUAGGAGAUUAGCUCACCCCUCUGAACUUGUCUUGUCGAAACUGUUUCCAAAUUUUUGUAACCCCUAUCCUACUUGUGAUACUUGUCAAUUUUCUAAGUUUACUAGGCUACCUUUUGGUAAUUCAAUGUCUAGGACAAGUAAACCUUUUGAAAUGGUACACACCGAUGUAUGGGGACCUGCAACUGAAUCAAUGGAAGGUUUUAAAUAUUUUGUUCUAUUUGUUGAUGAUUUCUCUCGAACAAGUUUUCUAUAUCUUAUGAAAUCAAAAAGUGAAGUCCCUACCAUUUUCAAAGACUUUCACAUGCAUGUUAAAACGCAAUUUCAAUCAAACAUUAAGGUUUUAAGGUCAGAUAAUGGCACUGAAUUUCUAUCCAACAACAUGCUUCAAUACAUAAGUUCUCAGGGUAUCAUACAUCAAACCAGCUGUGUGGGGACUCCCCAACAAAAUGGAGUAGCCGAGAGGAAAAAUAGAGAUCUCUUGGAAAAAACUCGUGCUCUCAUGAUUCACAUGCACGUUCCAAAGAAAUUUUGGUCGUUUGCCAUCCUUACUGCCACUUAUCUCAUCAAUCGACUUCCAAGUCGUGUGCUAGGGUUUAAAUCUCCUUAUGAAGUUCUCAAGGGGAGGAAAAUAGAUUUGACACAUCUCAAGGUGUUUGGUUGUGUGUGUUUUGUUCACAUCCAAACCUUGAACCGUGACAAAACUAGAUGCCAGGGCAACCAAGUGUGUGUUUAUGGGAUACUCGACCACUCAAAAGGGAUACAAGUGCUUCAAUCCAGUCACUAAGAAGUGCACAGUUUCAAGAGAUGUGAAGUUCGAAGAAGACUAUCCCUAUUUUACAAGUCAGGGGGAGGAUUUAGUUGACAUGUUCCCACUCCCUCAAAACUUUAAUUAUCCGAUGUUGGAAAAGAGAUCAGUCAUUGUAAGUCCAGAUUGUGAAGAAGUUCAAACUGACCAAAUUACUGCCAGUGAAAGUGAAGACGAGCCCUACUCUGAUCCUUCUCCGCCCUCUACAGAGUCUCAGGUGAUUAAAAGAAAUCCUCCUCGAAUCAGAAAACCUCCAGCUAGGUUGCAGGACUAUGUUACAUAUGCCUCACGACAUCCAAUCAAUGAAUGUAUCAGCUUUAGUAAGUUCUCAACAUCUCAUGCUGCAUUUCUCAGUGAAAUUGAUAAGCACUAUGAACCAAGAAGCUUUCAAGAAGCUUCUCUUCUCCCACAAUGGAACCAAGCCAUGAAAGAAGAGAUUCGUGCACUGGAAGAGAAUUGCACCUGGAGCCUAGUUCAACUACCACCAGGAAAAAAGGCUGUUGGAAGUCGUUGGAUUUACAAGACUAAAUUCAAAGCUGAUGGAUCUAUCGAGAGACACAAGGCUAGACUUGUUGCUCGAGGUUUCACCCAAACCUUUGGUGUAGAUUAUAAGGAAACAUUCGCACCGGUGGCCAAGAUGAACUCAGUCAGGGUUUUACUGUCAGUUGCAAUCAAUUGUGGAUGGUCACUCUACCAAAUGGACGUGAAGAAUGUUUCCUUCACGGCGAGCUGCAGGAAGAAGUGUAUAUGCAACCUCCUCCAGGCUAUGAUGGUAUUAAAGGCAACAUGGUUUGUAAAUUGCACAAGGCAAUAUACGGAUUGAAACAAUCACCAAGAGCUUGGUAUGCCAAGCUCAGUUCUGUUCUGGAAAAGGCUGGAUUCAUGCGAAGUAAUGCUGAUUCUUCGUUAUUUGUAAGAACUGGCACCAGGGGGAAGUUGGUGGUCCUCGUCUAUGUUGAUGAUCUUAUCAUCACUGUAGAUAAUACCGUGGAGAUUGAGGCACUAAAACUCUCACUACAUCAAGCUUUCGCUAUCAAAGAUUUGGGGAGGUUAAAGUAUUUUUUGGGGAUCGAAAUGGCAACAUCUUCAAAAGGACUGUUUCUACAUCAACGGAAAUAUGUAUUGGACCUCCUUCAAGAAGCAAAAAUGCUUGACUGCAAGCCUGUUAUCACUCCCGUUGAUUGUAAACUGAAGCUCAGCAUAGAUGGAGAAGCCAUGCAUGAUGUAAGCUACUAUCAACGAUUAGUAGGCAAGCUCAUAUACCUCACUAUCACUCGUCCAGAUAUCACAUAUGCAGUGAGCUUGGCUAGUCAGUUCAUGCACUCUCCCACUGUUGAUCACCUUAACCUUGUUAAGAGAAUCCUUCGUUAUCUUAAGGGUUCAAUUGGGCAAGGAAUUACAAUGCAUAACAAUCAGUCCACUGUCAUUAGUGGCUACACAGAUGCAGACUGGGCAGGUAAUGCAAUUGAUAGGAAAUCAAUCACAGGCUAUUGUACAUUUGUUGGUGGAAACCUUGUCACAUGGAAGAGUAAGAAGCAACAGGUAAUUGCUCGUUCCAGCGCAGAGGCUGAGUAUCGAGCCAUGGCAGCCACUGCGUGUGAACUCAUUUGGCUUAAAGGGCUUCUUUCAGACUUAGGGUUUCCUAGUUCUACUCCUAUGAUGCUUAUGUGUGAUAAUCAGGCAGCCAUGCAUAUUGCUGCCAAUCCUGUGUUCCAUGAAAGAACCAAACAUAUUGAAGUGGAUUGUCAUUUCAUCAGAGCUCAAGUUCAAACGCAAAUCAUCCGGACCAUGUUCACACGAAGCCAUGAUCAACUAGCAGAUCUUUUUACAAAGGCACUAGCAUCAUCUCAGUUUCAUCGGUUAUUGGGCAAGCUUGGCUCAGUGAAUCCCCUCGAUCCAGCUUGAGGGGGAGUGUUGGAAGAAUACAUGCAAGUCAUAUCUUGUGUUAAAAUGCAUGCAUGAAAUAAACAUGUUGGAUGACUAGUGAAGUUAGGCUAGUCAACAUUCUUUGUGUAAAAUGCAUGCAUGAAAUAAACAUGUUGGAUGACUAGUGAAGUUAGGCUAGUCAACAUUCUUUGUGUAAGUUAAGCAAGUUAGGCAAGUUAGGCAAGUUAGGCUUAUGUCUACUUUCUUUUCCUAUAUAUAUGUUUCAUUUGUAAUUGUUUCUUCAUGAAAUACACAUCAAAAAUUCUACAAUUCAGCUAUCAUUUUCUGCUUAGGAGACUCUCUUAAACUGUGUGAAACUGUGCUCAUUAGGCUGGGCAGAGCAAUGACAAGCUAAAAACAAAACAAAAACAAGCAGAAUUAUCACAUGUAGUGCAGGAUAAAUUCUAAACGACCCAAAUCUGGAUGGUAAAAUACUUGGAGUUGGAAUUAAUAGGAUCGAUUGAAACAUGGAUUUUUUUUUUAUUAGAUUGGUAUAUCUGACUUAAUUAAGAAGUUGUUUAAGACACAGUCAUUAGGGAAUUUCUGUAAUUGAACGUAGUUGUUUUCAUGAGGUUAAAUACAAUAAGGUGAUUCUAUGCCAAGAAGUGAUUUUAUAUGGACACAUUGUAUGAUGUAAAAUGGUAAAAGGAGUACCUGUUCCUGUCCAGCCUUAUGUUUUCUGAGUCUUGCUUAUUUUUCAUUAGUCAUAUGAAAGAUGCUGCAAUAUCGUGGGAUCAAAAUAGCUAAGAAACUGGACGUGGACAUCUUUAUUCUAUAGAGCGUAUGUAAAAGUAAUUUAGACUUUAUUAGUUUAUAUUAAUCCUUCACUUCUGUUCAUAUAUUGUAAUUUCUAUAUGGUUUGUCCACAUUUGUCUUAGGAGACUCUGGGGCUGCUUAAAUUUUAUAUAUUCAGUUGCAUAGAGUCGGCAUGACAUGCACAGCGAUUGUCAGAUUGCCACCCUUAGUUGGUGAUAUUUUCUUUACAACACAUUCAAAUUGAGGAUUUAGAAAAUCUAAUAAUAAAACUCAAACAUAUGUUCGAUGCUUUUUGUUUUCAUUUUCGGUUAAAAGGUUUCAGCUUUGGAUUGGGAUUUACCUUUAUUAAUCUAUAAUUUUGUGCUCAGGACACCAUCUUGGGGGUCUUAACAUGAUUGUUCUUCUAUUUCAUAGACUCAAAACGUGUCUAGUGUUUCAUUGAAUUGGUAUACCUUUGCUCAUUUAACUCAAAUUUAAUACGGUUUGGUCCUCCAAUUUCUCUAAAUUGCCAACGGAUUUAUUUUCUUUGGAAAUUUCAGGAACUCUGGUUGUGGUAGGAACAAGCCGGCUCCUUGCUAUUUUUAGGUAUAUGAUUAUGUGCCCUGAUUGCAUGUUCAAAGUCUAAUUAGUUAUAUAAACUUUUAAUUUAUCUUUGCAAAGCUUUUGUACUUGGAUUUUAGUUUAGAUAUGCGAUUUGUUUGUGAAAAAUUAACGAGAAGACUAAUCAUGGGGACAUUCUUAUUUCUGAAAUUUUCUCUUCAGCAUUGUUUCUUGAAUAAAUUUGGAUUGGUAGAUGUAGGGGUAGAGUAACCCCCGUGGUGUAAAUAAAAGGUAUAGGCGUAAUGAUUUCUAGGUUUAGAAUUCAUUGAAAAAUAUGAUAUAAUGCUGCGUUCUCUAAUAUUUUUUUUUUUUUUGGCUGUUUGCUGUUCUAAACUUUUGAACUCCUUUUUGGAUUGAUCUUUGUUAUUUUUGUUUUUGGGGGUAUCUGAUUGGUCAAGGUUGCCCAAUCUUGGUUGUACUUUUUCCCAAGACAGGGCACAUUUGAAACUUUGAAUUCUUGAGUUUAUAUUUUAAUUCUCAUUAGUUAAUGCUUAAUAUUUGGCCUUUUAUUUUGAGAUUAGAAUGAAUACGUUUGGCCUGAAAGACAGUAAACUGAAUUAAAAGCUGGCUUAUUUUCCAUUGGCCAUCAAUUAGGGUGAGAAAACAUUGAAUUGAGAUCAUUAAACAGCACUUAUAUAGGGCACUAUACCAAAUGAGCUCGAAGAGGACUCAGCAAUUGAAGAACAAUUGAUGGCAUACACCUUGGACAUGAUUAAGUUAGUUGAACAUUAUACUAUAACAAGUACAUAUUUCUGGAGUCAGUUUCACACGCAGACACGCACACACACAUCUGACGUAAAGUUAGUCUAUUAGAUGGUUUCCAGAUUGACCCCCCCUUGCCAAAUCUAUUUCAAGGCUGGAAGGAGAGUUAAAACAUAUGUUAUUGUCUUAUAUGUUUGUAUUUGAAUGGUAACGAUGUUGUUCUUCUGGUGGAAAAUUUUUCCUUUGAAUCCAUUUCAGCUUAGGCUCUACUUUUUUUUUUUUCAUUUCAGCUUCAUUUUCAUGUUCAUCAUGUCCUGUUGGUAUGUGUUUUGUGUUGGCAUUGGAGGGUGGUGGGUUGUCGUUUUGUUUUUCUUUUCUCUGAUUGUAAGACCUUCUAACGAUUGAAUUUAUUUUAUGCUGAAACACUCAUUUUGAUCCCCUAGUUUGAGUUUUUCAGUUACGUAUCAAUACUUAACUGCUGGAUUUUUCUUAAGGAAAUUGGAUAUAGGCUAUAUACUAUGUGUAAAAGUCAUGGAGAUCAAGUUUUGUGCUUUCAUUUGUCACAAUGCAGUUUUUUGUUUUCAUAAAUCAAGUUUUGUGCUUUCAUUUUUCUUUUAAAUUUUAAUUUGUCUUUCAAUCAGUUUUUUGUUUGAGAGAACUCUUAAUUUUCAUGGAAAUAUAGUUAUUUGUGAAUAUGGAAACUUGAAUCUGUGUAGACAUCAGAGUUCUUAUGGUUGUGAUAUGAAAUUUAAAUACAAACUUCCCAAUUUGUUUUUGGAAUUUUAACUAAACUUGCGUUGUAGGUAGAUCAUGCUAUUAAGAUAACAAAAAAAUAGGUAGAUUUGUGUAUGCAAUGAGUUGUAGUGAACAUUUGGCAGUAAUAGAAAUGGUUUAGGUGUGCACAGUUUUGGCCUAAAUGGUUAUCACACGAGCGUAAAUGUUUGUUUCAUUUGUGAUUGAACUCGAAUUUGUUGGAAAGCUUUUCAAUUUAUGAAUAUGGAAAGCUUUUCGUCUUUACUUCUAAACUUAUUUUCUGCUUGGUUGUUGAGAAGGUGAUGGAAAUAUAGUUAUCUGUUAAUAUGGAAACUUGAAUCUGUGUAGACUCCUUGGGUUGUCUGUUGUGUUCAGUGGAGGUUUAGUGUUUUAAUUUUGAAUGAUUUGUUUUUCGUUUCAUGGAAAUGACCUAUUAUUUGAUUUAAUUGAGUAAUUUAAUGGAAGUAUAUUCUCUUUUUUUUCUUUUCCAUAUUUCGUUUUGUCUGCAACCAAACAGGGUAAGGAACUGUAAUCUUUUUAAUUACUCUGCUAUCUCCGUGAGUUAUGAAAAUCAGACCUUUUGUUUUAUUUCUGUAUAUGUAGUUCCGAAGGAAUCAAGUGCCAAAAUUAGAAUAAACAUCCUUUAGUCAAGUUACGCACUUUUCCAUAGAAUGUUUGGUUUAGGGAUCCCUUAUACAAGCACAAUAUUCUUAUGUAUUUAAAUCGUAGUUGACCGUCAUGGUUUAAUAAGUGUGAAAACUGUCUUUAAGUCUUAACUAUACCAUUGGAGCGAUACAGUUUUAGUUAUUUUAUUGGAUCCGUUUGUUAGCGCUUUGAAUUCUUACUCUGAAUCUCACUCAUUUUUUGCAGUUUAGAUUGGACUCUCAUCACGGCAUUGUAAUCUGCUCUUGCUGCUGCGAUUAAUCUAACGGUUCUGAGGCGUUGCAUUUGAAUCAAGACUUCGGUAUGCUAGCUGAACUUAAAUGCAUUCUUUUCCCAUUCUUUCCGUUUGAGGCAGCGCAACUUUAUGAUCUUUUAUAUUGAUUGUUUGGUUUGAUCACCUUUUGUUAUUCGUUUGCUUUAUGCUUUGUUUUUCAUUCUUGGUUGUCUCUGUGAUUGUCUCAUUGUCCAGAGGUCGGAUGGUUAGUUUUUUAUUUUUUUUGUUCUAAUUUUGUUUGUGCAAUUCCGUUAUUGUUUGAAGGCCCGUUGCUAUCUCUGUGAUUCUGGUUUAACCCGGUGCUCUUAAUUCUUUAUCGGAUGUUGUUGGUCAUUUUAUCUCUUUUAUUUUGUAUUGGUUGGUUGGUGUUUUCGUUUGGUUUUCUGAUGGUGAACUAUCUCAUCCUCCCCGAAGUGUUUUAACAUGUUUUGUUGAUAAUUGCGCUCUCUAAACGAACUCGACAUUUUUUUAGAAAAAUCACAACUUCCAUAUUUAAGAAAAUGUGUGGCUUUUUAGCAAUGCAUGAAUGCAGCUAAGAUGUUCUGAAAAAUUCAUGGAUAUUUUACAUUCAAACCACAAGUAUCAUUAACUUAUAAAUAAUUAAGUUAUGUAUUUUCUUUAUCGGCUAUCACUUCAAAAUUUGAACUAAAACACUGUCAAAAAGCUUUUUGGUUGUGUUUUCCUUAUUCAUUAUGUAAGUUUCGCAAAUCUUCUACAUGCUGCAUAUUUUUUUGUUUGAACAUCUAUGGUUGACGAGUUACCUGCUCAAACGCCACUUUUUCUGUGUUUUGCUAACUGCUAAGUGAGUUAUGUAGGUUGCAAAGCAUAUAUUUGGCCGUCUUAACUGCAGGGGCAAAAUAUGUGUGAAUUGCAGCUUCCUUCUGUUUCUACAGUUUCAUAUAUGGAAACAGGCCUUCUGUUUUUUUUUUUUUUUUUGCCUUUGAACAAUUAUGGUUCCAAAAUUAGCUACUUGAACAAGUCCUCAACACUUUCUGCUUUAAAUUACCUGUUGAACUAGCUGCCUACACUGCAGGACACAUGUUAUGUGUGAACUAAAUGUUUCUUCUUUUUCUUAAGCAAACGGAAAUUGUUUGGAAACCAUCUCUUUCUAAUCAAACACGUACAGUUUCUUCCCACUCAUUGUGCAUUGUGUUUAUAUGCCAACUCACUUAAAUAUGUAUAACAGCACAAUUGCUUAUCUUAUUGGGCUCAUUCACUCAUGUAUCCCUCUGUUUGUUUGUAAUUGUGUUGAAUUUAUUCAACUUAAAUGUGUUUUAUCCAUCCGAUUACGUCUGAAACAGUGGUUCCCGCAGCAGCGUGCGGGCGUAUUUUCUAGUUUUUAACAAAAUUUUGCAAACUAAAUGACACGAUUGUUGAUGAGUGGAUUAUUAUUUUAGUGUUGAUUAACAUGCUUAUUUUAUUGUGGUGACACAUCAUUUAGUUUGCAAAUUUAGUCUCCUUGUCAUUACCUAUUUGUGUAUGAUGGCGGAGGCAUCAAUAAUUAGUUCUCACCAUUUGAAUUUGUGCAAUUGUGACAACAGAUCAAGCUUCCAAAUCUCCAAGGAACUAGUCUUUGACUGUUGAUCUUCCCUUCGUCGAGUCUGUAUUUGUUGAUCAUAAGCGGAGUCAGAUUUGAACUUCCCUGUAAGUUCUUAUUAUUCACUGAAUAAUACAUUAGUUGUUUCUCAUUUUAUUUGAACUACUUUUUAUUCAUUUGUUUCUUCACUUAAUUUGUGCAGCUCUUCACCUCAAUAUUGCUCAAGAACGCUUCCUUAUUUCUUUGGUUGCUUGGAGUUCUCAGCGCUCCUAAGAUGCCACUUGGAGAGGUUUUUCUUGCGGCGUUUCUACAGUUGCUGCUUGACAGGUUGACCCCUCGCGACAUUCUCAACUACUUUGGAAACUUCCGGGGUGUUGGAAAGAAGCUGGAGAAGUGGAGGGCCACGUUAACUACAAUCGCAGCAGUGCUGAGCGACGCCGAUGAAAGACAACGGACUGACGAUGCUGUAAAACUAUGGCUCAAUAAUCUCAGAGACCUUGCUUAUGAUGUCGAAGACAUGUUGGACAAAUUUGCGACUCAAAUGUUGAAGCGCACGAUAGAGGGACGUGAUCAAGCCAGCACGAGCAACAAGGUGCGAAACUCACUUUUCAAAAUUAAAUUGAAUUGGAAUAUGAACUCCGAAAUGAAGAAGAUUACGGAGCGGUUACAAGACAUAUCUGACCGAAAAGUUAAGUUUAGCUUGAAAGAUACUGGGACGUCUGCUAAGGAAUCGCGAAGUCUACCAUGUUCAGGCGUGUUAGAUGAAAAGCUUCUUGUUGGAAGAGAUGGUGACAAAGGGAAGAUUAUUGAAUUGUUGAAAAAGUCUACCAAUUUUGGUGUGGUUGCUAUAGUUGGCAUGCCCGGAGUUGGGAAGACGACACUUGCUCAACUUGUAUUCAACAACAAAGAUGAUGCCAUGAAGGAGUUUGAGCUCAAGGUCUGGGUAUCUGUGUCCGAUGACUUCGAUGUUGUGCGAGUGACAAAGGCAAUUCUUGAAUCAAUGAAACCCCUACCCGUUCAAGUGGAGGAGUUUAGUAAAAUGCAGCAUGAUUUGAGUGAGCAAUUAAGAGGAAAAAAGUUUUUAAUCGUUUUAGAUGAUGUUUGGAACAAAGGUGACCGUGAUCUAAACGAUCUCUGGUUAAGACUUAAAUCCCCUUUUGGCGUCGGAGCAGGAGGAAGUAAGAUUAUUGUGACAACCCGUGAUUUAAAUGUUGCAAAGAUUAUGGGAGCCACUGGAUUUCAUAAUUUGGAAUGUAUGGCAAAUGAUGAUUGUUUGGAAAUAUUUGAGCGACAUGCAUUCGGGGAAGUUAAUAGUGGAAAACCAGUAAAUUAUGAGUUAAUUCGGACAAAAAUUGUUGAAAAAUGUUGUGGCUUACCAUUAGCUGCGAGGACUCUCGGUGGUCUUUUACGUUGCAAAGAAACAGAUGAGUGGGGAGAAAUAUUGGACAACAAACUAUGGAAUCUCGCAGAUAACUGUAACCUUCCCCGCGUACUAGAGUUGAGCUAUCACUAUCUUCCAUCACAUUUGAAGAGGUGUUUUGCCUAUUGCUCAAUACUUCCAAAUGACUACGAAUUUGGGGAGAAGCAGCUCGUCCUUUUGUGGAUGGCAGAGGGUUUGAUUCAACAAAAACCUGACAACAAUAAACAAAUGGAGGAUUUGGGCCGCGACUACUUUCGAGAGCUAUUAGCAAGGUCGCUGUUUCAAGAAUCAAGCAAAAACAAUUCACGAUAUGUAAUGCAUGACCUCGUUUCUGAGUUAACACGAUGGGCUGCAGGAGAAAUAUGUUUUAGGUUGGAAGAUAAGCAAGGUGAUAACUUGCAAAGCACUUGCUUUCGAGGGGCUCGCCAUUCGUCUUUCAUUGCUGGUGAAUUUGAUGGAGUUAAGAGAUUUGAGGACUUUCCAAAAGCUGAACGUUUGCGAACAUUCCUGCCACUUUCGCUUUCAUAUUCCACGGGAUGGUUAAAAUUUUUGUCUCGUCAGGUUACUUUUAAGCUAUUACCACAGUUGCAAUACUUACGAGUGCUCUCGUUCAAUGACUACAAAAUAACUGCGCUGCCAGAGUCAAUCGGUGAUUUGAGGUUGUUACAGUAUCUUGACCUUUCCUACACAUAUAUAACUAGUUUGCCUAAAUCGAUAAGUACUCUUUACAACUUGCAGACAUUGAUAUUGGAACACUGUUACUAUUUGAAGUCAUUGCUUGCGGACAUGAGUAAUUUAAUUAAUUUGCGCCAUCUCAACAACUCAUAUGUAUCUUCGUUGGAAGGAAUGCCUCCAAAUCUAGGUAGCUUGGUGAAUCUCCAAUCUUUGCCUAAUUUUGUGGUCAGUGGUGGAAGUGAUCAAUCAGGAAUAAGAGAGAUAGGGCCCCUAUCGCAUCUCCGAGGGACAUUGUGCAUCUCAGGAUUGGAGAAUGUGACUGAUGUCGAGGAUGCCAGGAGGGCCAACUUGAAAUGCAAGGAGAGGCUUGAUUCGUUGGUCCUAAAAUGGUCUCAUUCAAGCGACACGAGAGAAACGGAAUCCGUUGUGCUUGACAUGUUAGAGCCUCAUACAAAGCUCAAGGAGCUCACCAUCAAGAGUUAUGCCGGAGAGGAAUUUUCAUCAUGGGUUGGAGGUCCUUUGUUCUCUAAUAUGGUGCUUGUGUGCUUACAGAAAUGUAACAAUUGUUUAUCGUUGCCUCCUCUCGGACAAUUGCCUCAUCUCAGGGAACUUUAUAUUAGUGGAAUGAAUGCAGUGGAAAGUGUUGGUGCUGAGUUUUAUGGAGAGCGUAUGUUGCCUUUUCCGGUAUUAGAGACUCUUGAGUUUGUGGAAAUGCAGCAUUGGAAGGAAUGGCUUCCUUUCCAAGCCGAUCACGAAGGUGGUGCUUUCCCUUGCUUGAAAACACUCUUAGUAAAAAAAUGUUCUAAACUGGAGGGUAAACUGCCAGAGAAC
rnacentral:lncRNA from 1 species